AUUGUAUUAGAUGAUGUAUGGGAGCAAGAGGUAUACUUCAAAAUACAUGAUGCUUUCCAGAAUCACCAAGCAAGUCGUAUUAUCAUUACUACACGAAAGGAUCAUGUUGGAGCCAUCGCUUUGUUGGACCACCACCUUCAGCUAGAACCAUUGGAUGGCCCUGAUGCAUUUGACCUUUUCUGCAGAAGGGCUUUUCACAACAAGGAGGACCACAAAUGCCCCAAGGAGUUUGAGGAAAUUGCUACAUCUAUAGUGGAUAGGUGUCAUGGCCUGCCGCUGGCAAUUGUUACAAUAGGCCGCUGGCAAUUGUUACAAUUGACCACGAAAAUACAUUAUUUGGAAUCAAACAUAUAAUCAACUAAGGAGUGAGUUGUCAACAAAUGAUCAUGUCCGAGCAAUAUUAAACCUAAGCUAUCAUGAUCUAUCUUUAGGCCUCAGAAAUUGCUUUUUGUAUUGUAGCUUGCUCCCUGAAGACUACCCCAUGUCACGAGAAAGCCUCGUGCGGCUGUGGGUUGCAGAAGGCUUUGUUCUGAGCAGAGAAAAGAAUACACCAGAGGAGGUGGCUGAGGGAAAUCUCAUGGAACUGAUUCACCGCAAUAUGCUUGAAGUUGUGGACUAUGAUGAGCUCGGAAGGGUUAGCACUUGCAAGAUGCAUGGUAUUAUGCGGGAUCUGGCACUCUCCGUUGCCAAAGAAGAAAAGUUUGGUUCUGCAAAUGAUUAUGAAGCAAUAAUACUUUCGCCGGUUGUCAUUAUGUAGGUGGAAAGUUAAUACUUCACUUAAGGUUAAAUUUCCACGUCUUAGAAGCCUUGUAGCUCAUGGAAUGAUUUCGUCCACCCCUGAUUUGUUAUCCUCAAUUUUAUCUGAAUCAAAGAACUUGACUGUUCUAGAGCUGCAAGAUUCUAAUAUCACCGAGGUGCCCACAUUUAUAGGGAAUCUCUUUAAUCUGCGGUACAUUGGGUUAAGGCGCACCAAUGUCAAGUCACUCCCAGAGUCAAUUGAGAAGCUCUUCAAUCUCCACACUCUGGACAUCAAGCAAACCCAAAUAGAGAAGCUACCACUAGGUAUUGUUAAGGUUAAGAAGUUGAGGCACCUUUUGGCUGACAGGUUCGCUGACGAAAAGCAGUCAGAUUUCAGAUAUUUUAUCGGAGUCGAAUCACCUAAAGGGCUGUCGAACCUGGAAGAACUGCAGACUCUAGAGACAGUGCAAGUGAGCAAAGACUUGGCUGAGCAGCUGAAGAAACUGAUGCAGCUCAGAAGCAUAUGGAUAGACAAUGUAAGUGCUUCUGAUUGUGAAAACCUUUUUGCGACCCUAUCGACGAUGCCACUUCUUUCCAGCCUGCUUAUCUCUGCAAGAGAUGUGAAUGAGACACUUUGCCUCCAAGCCCUUGAUCCGAUUUCCACAAAGCUCCACAGGUUAAUUGUAAGGGGCCAGUGGGCUUCUGGGACACUGAAGUAUCCGAUAUUUCGCAAUCAUGGGGAACAUCUCAAAUAUUUAGCGUUAAGCUGGUGUCAGCUUGGAGAAGAUCCACUGAGUGUGCUCGCUCCACACGUGCCAAAUCUCACCUAUUUAAGUCUUAACAGGGUGAAUAGUGCAAGCAUGUCACACCCGAUUUUAAGGACAAAAUCGAGUGCAUUAAAUACAUGUGCGCCAGGAUCAAGUUACACACAUGUACGACAAUAGUGAAUAUCAAAGACAGUGUUAAAUCGAAUAAAGAGAGUAUUAACCAUUAUUACAUGACCGAAAGUCUCACAUAAACCACAAAGUCUAAUUAUUACGCAGCGGAACUCCAAAGACGAUGACGACUCCACAGGCAGCCGACUGAAGAAACGUACGCCUAGAACUCCUCGAAGUCGGGGUAGUACUCCUCUUCCCAAUUAACUGGGUCUGAACAGCGGUUUUGCAAGGGUGAGUACACUUAUGGUUGGUACUCAACAAGUCGUGGGGAAUAGUGUAGUGUAAGGCUAAUUCAAGGUAUGGCUAAGGCAUAAAUAGCAUUCGCUUUUAAUUAAGUUGGUCAAGUUUUAUUAGCAAUUAACUAAGUAUAAGUUCAUACCACCCGAAAUUAAACAUGAACAAAAAGUAAGCAACAAAUGCAUGAAAUGAUCACAAGUUUAAUCCAUCUUUCGAUAAUAUUAUCAUGUGAGGGUCCAGGCCGCUCUUAACCGUGAGCACGGCUGAUCGAUUAGUUUAACACUCUGCAGAGGUGGCACAUCUUUACCCACAAGUCGCGUAAAAGUUCAAAAGAACUUUGGACCCAACCAUGCGAUGCUAGCUAGGCACCAUACCACACUUCCGAGGUGUGAUUGCAUAGGGACGCUACGAGGCCUUUACAAAGAUUCGCUAGCAAUGUGGUAACCCGCUAAGGUUUCAGGUCGAAGCGAAACAUAGCAGUCCCCUAGAGGGCAUAGUGUCUUAGCCAAGCCCACUUCCCAAGAGAGCGAGUGCUAUAUCCCAUCAACGCCUCCCCUCUUGCCCUUCCGGUAAGGUAACCCCACGCUAGAGUUUCUAAUUAAUCAGCCAAGACCAGAGCCAUUUAGUCUUGUGGUAGCACUGUUUUCCUGGGUGGUUCUCCAUGUUCCGAUUAACAAAUAAUGAUCUUGUCUUAAUGAAAGGUAUAACAGAAGUAAAGCAAGAUUAAGCAUUGUGUGUAGUUAAACCACCAUGUACCAAGUAAGCACUAAGCAUGAGCUACCCAACAUAAAGUAAACCGGUUGGUCAAGGCAAAGGUAAAUCAAUCUAGGCGAACCUUAAUUGGGACCCAUCAAUUUAAUCUUAAUAUGUGCAUAGCGUAAAUGUUAAGUACGAGAAAGUAAAGGUGUAUAGGACAACAAGAUAGUGAUCAAGGACACGACUUGCCUUCUUGGCCUUGCUCCUGCUGUUCGUACUCUUCGAAGGCUUGAUCGGCAACUCCCUCGAACUGCGGGGCGUCUACACGCGUCACACGAGCACAUACAAGCAAACAUAGGCAAAAGUAAGAAAACAGUACACCAAACAUAGUUAAACAGAGAAAAUAAGCUUGAAAAGAUGAUCUACGCUUUAAAACGAACACGUGGAUAUAAAGAACGCGAAAAACGGAGUUAAGAUGCAAAAGAUAUGAUUAAAACAAGAUCCAGGGACCUUUCUGUAAGAAAAACAAAACUUUUAGGGCCUAUCCGCGAAAACCGAGGGCUUAUACGUAAUUAUGCGUAUAAACCGAGGGUCUGACGCGUAAAAACAACAAACCCGGACGGCGGGUUGAUUUCUGGAAAGCUCAAGGGUUAAACCGAAAAAGGCGAGGGCAGAUCUGUAAAUAUUUUCAACGCGAUCUGGACCGCGGGUUGAUUCGCGGGUUGAUCUGGACGCGAUCUGUAAAUAUUUUCAACGCGAUCGGAUCGAGAUCGGACGGCCACGGUCGUCCACGACUCGCGACGGCGGCGGGGAAACAGAGCGGCGGCGGCGGCGAGCGGCGGCGCGCGGCGGCGAGCGGCGGCGGGUCGCCGGAGUUGGCCGAAACGGCGCUCCGGGGCACUAUUUGAAGCGCGGGUUGCACCAGAAGAAAGAGGAGGGUGCGGCGAUCCCGUUUUGGGGGGGUUCUCGUCGUCGGGAGCUCACCGGAGGCGGCGGGCGACGGCGAGGAAGAGGCGGCGGCGCUAGGAGCUCGAGCGGCUAGGGUUUCGGGUGCUGCGGCGCUGGCGUUUGGGCGGAGGAGACCGGGAGGAGGCGGCGGCUUUUAUAGGGCUUGGAGAUAGAGGCCCCGGGGGUUUAAACCCCUCCGAAGGAGGCGGAGCGGAGGGAGUUCGCGGCGGAGACGGCGCGCGGCGGUUGCGGGAGGAGUUCGGCCGGAGGUGGGAGACGGUGGUGGGCCCCACCUGUCGGCGGCCGCGGGCGAAGGCGGGCUGGCGCGGUUGCGCGGGCCGGCGCGCGCGCUCGUGGGCCACGAGGCGGGGGUGAGCGGCAGGCCGGGGUGAAGCGGUGGGCCGGCGCUUCGCGGGCCGCGGAGGAAACGCGAGCGGGCGAGCUGCGGAGCAGGCCGAGCGGAGGCGGAGCUGGGCCGCGGAGAAAAGGAGGAGGGGGCGACGCGGCGGGGAGCUGGGCCGCGCGGGAGAAAAAGAAAGAGGAGGCCGGCGGAGCUGUUGCGGGCCGGUGGUGAUGGUGCGGCUGGGCCGAAGGAAGAAAAAGAAAGAGGAGGGAAGGAAGUUUCGGCCCAGGAGAAAAAGAAGGAGAAAGAAAAAGAAAGAGAAAAAGAAAAGGGGUUUUGGAAUUUGAAUUCAAAUUUGGAAAUUCAAAAUUCAAACUUUGAUUCAAACUCAAGCAACCAAAAAUUAUGCUCCAGCAUGAAUGCACAAAUAAUUCCUAUGAUGAAUUAAUUGAAUUAAAGAAAAUGGAAUUAAAUGCCUAAAAUUUAAAUAACACCUUAAUUUGAGCAAAUUUUAAUGAGUUUGAAUUAUAGAAAUUUUAGGUGUUACAAAUCCUACCGUUCUUUCUGCUGGGUGUUUUCCUCACCUGAAGACGCUCGUCUUGAAGCGAAUGCCGGAUGUCAAGCAGAUGGAAAUCGGAGAUGGUGCUCUUCCACGUAUUGAAGGUCUUUACAUUGUGUCCCUAGCACAACUGGAUAAGGUUCCUCAAGGCAUCGAGUUGCUUCUUUCUCUGAAGAGGCUUUGGCUGCUGUACCUGCACGAUGAGUUUAAAACUCUGUGGCAAACGAGUGGGAUGCACCAGAAGAUGCAGCACGUUCCAGAGAUUCGUAUCUAGGACAACUAGAUGGUAAAUUCUCCAGUGGUAUGCUUGUAUGAUGUGUCUGCUCAGAACUGUGUUUGUUGGGCACUUUAUCCCUUUUUAUUCCAAUAAGCCAUGAAUUCUUCCUUUUGAUUUUUUUUUUAUUGUACAUUGAAACACCCAUGUAUGUGCUGUGUGUUGGUUCAGUUGCUUUAGAAACACUACUUUUGUUCAAGAACACUUCCCUUCUGUAUUUAACUUUUGUAAAUGAUGUUAUGAUCAACAGAUUUUGUGCAUGUGAGGUGCAUAAUAUGUGAACUUACAAACCAGCAGAAUAUUCAUAAUUUCAGGGCGUUUACUUUAUUUAUAUGCUACUAAAUUGAACAGUGCUCUUCACUUUGCCACUAACUUUUUGCUUUUCAUUUUUUAUGCUGUUAUUCCAGAUGGUGCUUCUAGAAAGUUCAAUUUCUCGUAAUUCUCAGUCAAUUUUCCAUUAGCACCCAAAAAUACUGAAAAAUCCUUCAGAAAAAGCUUGAAAAAAUGUAGAAAAUUAUUUUGAACUAAGAAAAAUAGUGAAAGCCUGAAAGGUACUCACCCCACACACACGCACACCCCAAACGAUUAAAGAAAGUCGUAAACUCUUAAUCACUGAAAAAAUAUUUUCUAAAACAAUAUGUGCAGAGAAAACUAUCCUACAAAUUUACUUUUUGUUGAAAUGUGUACGUUUCGAUCUUUACCAGCUCUUAUGGAAAAUCCUUUUUAAAGGAUUUCUACUAUAUUGUUUUUCUUCAAAGAUGAUAUAAAAAACUUUGUUUAAAUCACUAGUAGAGAACUGGCCUUUAGUCCUGGUUGGUAGGAUGUAUAUCUCCCGAAAAUCCAUCCGGGAUAAACUAACCGGGACAAAAGGGGGGGCCUUUAGUCCCGGGUCCUUCAACCGGGAGUAAAGGUCACCCUUUAGUCCCGGUUGGUGUCACCAACCGGGACUAAAGGGCCUGCCACGUCAGGCGCCGGACAGACCCUUUAUUCCCGGUUGGUAAAAGCAACCGGGAGUAAAGGGUGCCCCUUUAGUCCCGGUUGGGUUUCCCAACCGAGACUAAAUGGCAUCCUGCAUGGCGCCCUGCAUGGCACCUGAAAUUUUCAUGCAUCACGUACGUAGUACCGCGGUCCUUUUGUUAACCUUUAGUAGUUGAGAUUUUUUUAUAAUGAAAUCAACUAGUAUUUAAAUGAAUGAAAUUUGUAAUUAUACAAUUACUAUAUAUAUACACAAUUCAUAUACACAAUUCAACUAGUACAAAUCGAUCUUAGCGUGUAUUAUAUAUACAAAUCAAACUAUAUAUCUACAAUCUUGAUCCCAUCGAGGUGUUGCUCGGAACGUCUAAUUGUCGUCCAUUGUAAUAAAAUUCUCCUUUUGGAUUUACUACCUCGUCCAUUAGGAAUCCAAUGAGACCUUUACAUAUUGCCGCUACUCUUUCUUUCUUCAAGAGUCCUUGUUGAAUAUUUAACAUCUAUAAUUUGAAAAUUUAUGAAUGUCACAUGAACAAUUAAAUAUAAGGAGCUAGAAAAUAAUUAACUAGUAAUAGUUUUAUUUUACGUACUUUAAAGUUGUGCCACGUCAUCUUUAGUCCCUUGGGUCCCAGAAAACUGUGCAUGUGCUCACAGAUGUAGUAGCCACAUAGAUUAUUCCUGGGUUCCUAUCUUAAGCACUUCAGUGCGGAAAAAAAUAAGUUAUGAAAUAUUCGUGUUAUACAAUAUACUAAAUGUGCAGACUUCAUACGUACCGGGAAGUCUGUGUUCCAUGUAAGUUUUUCUUUGAAUGGACCUUUGUGUGUCCUUAUGAAUUGUUUCCAUGCGCUGCGGAUUAGAAUAAUGAAUGAUAUAGUGUAACAGGGAUAAAAUUUAGGAAACAAACUUUUGCAUAGAGAUAAAGGUCCAGAAUUAUUACAAGCCUAGCAUGUCUUGCAUGUCUUGGUACUCCGUCGGAUCUUUCCUUAAUGUAUUGAAGACAGUGACGUGGCUUCUUUCAUGCUCAAUUAUAAUAAGGAUCCAGUGGAAGCUGCGUACGUAAAAUGUUCAUGUAUAUUAGAGCUAACUAACAUUAAUCAGGUAAGGAAAAAGACAACGAAAGUAGACGGUAUACACACACUUACUUGAAGUUGUAUGGAAGUAGUAUGAAAUCCUUGAAUUUUUGUUUGUCCAGGAAAUUGUAUACUUCCACCAAAGUUUUUUCCAGCGAUAAUUGUAUCUGUUUUUGGUUAACUACGGAUGGAUCCAUGAAGCCAAUAUGUAGGUACACCUCUCAUCGGCAUGUCUGAAUUAGCAUCCUACAUAAAAUGGAAGACGAAGUUAGUAUGGUGACGCACACAAAAAAAUACUGAUAUGAGCCAAAAUUUGCAUGUAGAGAUAAACGGACACUUACAGAACCCAGGCGCUGACCAGAGAGACGUCCAGGACAUCAUGAUGGUACACUUCGUAUAUAUCCUGGAAGUCUAGCUACAGAAAUUUCUCGCCUUCGCCGUAAAAAUCUAUCGGUUUACCUUAAGGUCCAAUAUCUCCCUCGAGUCGGCGGACACCUUUAUGUACCAUUCAUGGAAUUCGUACAUCUUUGUUGAUAGCUUCCGUACCAACUCAGGCCUUACUAGAGAUUUGCCUAGCUCAUAAGUCCAUCUCGGCUCAGGAAGCGGUGCAGCUGGCGGCUCAACUUGCCCUAAACAUUCAUCAAGUCCCAGACCUGUUUCUUGCAUGAAUUUCAAUACUUCUACUUGUUGAUCCAAGGGCAUUGCUGCUACCCUUUGAGCGUCUUUUUUGAUAAAUGCUCGAGGUUGGGGACAACACCACUGGAAGAUGACUUUCCUUUCCUUUUGUCCCUUUCAUCAGCCUUUACUAAAGCUCGUUCGUAGUUUGAUAAGAGUGGUAUCCUUUUCUUGGCUCCUUCUUCCAUCCUGAUAAAAAAGUUUAAAUCUCUUCAAUUUACUGGUGGUGGCUCCAUCUCCCUUGCUUUUUUUCUUCAGCUUGUUUCUUGAACCACGCACUGGCAUCUGCUUGGAUUUCUGCCCACUAUUCUGCAUGACUCAUUGCCUCCCAGCGUUCCUUACGAGUCACUUCAGGCUCCUUUGUUUUCUUCUUUCUCUCUCUUUGCUUGGGAGGCGGUGCUUGUGACUUCUUUAGUGGUGCUACAAGUUCCUUCAUCGGGGCUGCUCUUGAUCCCGGCAACGGUGAUCGGGGAGGGGUGUUGUUAUUGUCGUCGUCGCUCCCACCACCGGGAUGUUGUGGAGAUGGAGACCUUGAUAGAGUAGGAAGCAACGGUCCUGGAGCAAGUUGUGCAGGAGAUGACGGUCUCGAGCUAUGAGGAGAAGGUCGCUGCUGGGGAUCUACGGGGAGCGGUCUUGAGCUCUGAGGAGAUAGCUCCGUGCCGGGAAUGAUGAUGUAGCGUUUGCACCAUAGGAUGAUCCCAUGAAGUGCUUCUACCAGUGUUCUUUCCCUGUCGCCUCCCGGGAGGUCGAUCUCUAGGCCUUCAUAUUGGCUAUCAACAAGUUGAUUUAUGCGGACGCAAGCAUAGCUAGGUGGAAUCUCCAUGCCAUGACUGCUCUGCCCUGCCAGGGUUGGUAACGCACUUCCGUAUGCUACCUGUACAUAUAGCAGAAGUAAACAAAUUAUUAAACUCCGAUCACGAGGCGUGGAUCAAUUGACAAGAUUGCAUAAAUAUUAUGUAUAAGUAUACCUUAAUAGUGAGGUUGCCGACCAGUGUAUGCAGCUCACAUGUGGUGCGUUGUGUGAUGGCAUCCACAGGGAACUGUUGCUCCUCCACGGGUAACCUGGGCGUUUGCGCAUCGGGGACCCCUGUAGAAGCACAACUGCUCAGGAGGCGUUGAGAAGGGCUGGCGCGGUUUGGAUUCAGCAAUGCUCCAGAUUGGGCCAACUCCGCAACUGCAUGAGCCACUCGAUGAUUGAUUUCCUUCAAAAUUCUUUCUUCUUUGUGCCUGCACUUUGGAUUCUAGCAUCUGCCGCUAGCUCUCCUCAAUCUGUUCCUUUCUUCGCUUGCGGCUUCUGUACGAUGCGAUGUCGCCUCGGAAAGCAAACUUCCACGGAAUGACCCCGAACCCUCGGCAACGUCCUGGGUGCUCAGGAUUAGCGAGGGCCAAUGUGAGCUCAUCAUUCUCUCGGUCCACCUUCAACCUCCUAGCCUUAGAAUCUUCAAUGUUCUUCAUAAGACGUUCGACCUUUUCACGUAUUGUCUCAUUGAAUAUCAACGUCCCAUCAUCUUGGCUCAAGUAGCCUCCAUGAGCGUAACACCAAUUUUUCGAUCGUUCGAGCCAUUCAAUAGUUGCAGGUACGAUUCCCCGUUCGAUCAGAUCUUGUUCCAUCUUCUUCCAUUUAGGAAUUGCUAUGCCAUAACCAGCUCGCCCUAGAUGAUGAUGGUACGCCUUCUGACUAGAAUUUGUAGUGUUGCUCAGGAUCUUUUUCACACCGUCUUCACUCUUCUUAUAUUCAACAAAUGCCUCCCAGUGGUCCCUCAACUUUGGCCACACAUUGAAGUCUGGAGUUCGGCCCUUCUUAAUGUAGUUGGCAUCCAGCAUCUUCUUGAACGUUUUGAAUUGUGUAGCCAUCUUCUUCAGCGUUCACGCUUUCACAUCCUUUUCAAUAUAACAUUCGGGAAAUGUGAAAUGUCUCUUGACAUCUUUUUCCCACAUCAUAUUAUUUUGUGUCUCCAGGAGCGCGUACGGAUUAGUGCUUUUGCCCUUCCAUUCUCUGAUGCUGAUAGGCACGUUGUUCCUUACUAUUGCCCCAAUCUGACUCACGUACUUGUUUGUUACUUUCUCGGGAGCAACCGGCCUGCCCUCUUCUGUCACUUCCGUGAUGACAAGCCUCCCUUCCAUCACCUUUGUACGACCUCGGGUCUUCUGCCCUUGCGUCGAUCCAAAGAGCUAACAGUUCAAGAUUCGUUAAUUAGUACGUACUAUUAACGGUGGUGUCAAACAAUACAAAUUAUAUACCUCGCUGUAACCUUCCGCCAUGGCAAGGUGUUGCUGGGGCUCAUGCUCUUCAUUCUCAUCACCGGACAUGUUGAGGAACAUGUCCGCCUGGGUACCCUCUUCAUUGGUUUACGAUAUUGGAAGGUUGUCACCACUACCAUCACCAGCGAUUAUCUGCUCCAUGAGAUACCUUGCGGUCUCGUCGUCUGCCAUUUCAACUACUGAUUGAAACAUACAUAGAAUCAUACAUGACACUCAUGAAUCAUAGAAAUCGCCUUAGUUGCAUGUACGUAAGGGUAUAUACAUGAAAUCAUAAAAUAACAUGAAUCCCACAAAGCUCGAAAUAUUUAUACAAAUUUCAACAAAUUAGUAGUACUUUGUAAGAAUUUCUACCAAAUUUCUACUAAUUUAUACAUAUUUAUUGAAAUUUCUAGCAAAUUACUACUAAUUCCUACUAAUUUUACAAUAACAUGAAACCCACAAAGUCCGGAAUGUUUAUACAAAUUUCAACAAAUUAGUAGUACUUUGUAAGACUUUCUACCAAAUUUCUAUUAAUUUAUACAUAUUUAUUGGAAUUUCUGGCAAAUUAUUACUAAUUCCUACUAAUUUGAAUGAAUUUCUACAAAAUUUAUCAACUGAUUUUCUAGCUAAUCUACAAAUAUCUAUUGAAUUUCUAACUAAUCUACUAAUUUCUAUUCAUUUUCUAACUAAAAAAAUAAAAAAGGCCCUUGCUGACGCAAGCCGGUGGGCUUGCGUCAGCAAGAGCUGUUCGUUCCCGACGCCAGUGCCGGCGGACCUCGCGUGGUCGACGGUGCCUAGCUUGGGCGACGAGGUGGCCGAGGCAGCGGGACGGCGGCGUGUGGGGCAGCGGUAUGGCGGAGGCGGGGACGGAGCGAGGUGGCCGCAACAACGAUGGGCGGAGGCGGCCGGCGACGAGGGACGGAGGCAGCACGCACGACAGAGGCAGUGACGAGGAGGCCCCGCGACGAACGAGGGUGCAGCAGUGAUAGAGGAGGUGGCGUUGACGGAGGCGGUGACUCGGACGGAGGCGGCGAUGAGGCCCCACGAUUGAGGCGGUCGGCGGCGACGAGGUUGAGGGGGCGCGACGGAGGAGGAUCAGAGGCGGUCCGGGACGAUGGAGGAGGAGGCGGUCCGGGCGUGGGUGAGGCGGUCGGCUAGCGGGACGACGAUGGCUGGGGCAAUGGGGGACAACGAUGGCGGCGGCAGGCGAGGGAGGCGGACGGGCAGCGACGGAGCAGGCGAGAGGGCGCGGGAUCUUGGCGGUGGUGUGAAAAUUUAGCUAAGUGUAACUGGCGUGGGGGCUAGAAGAGGAUACAGUGUCUUUUAUCCCCCCCUUUAUCUUGGUUCUCAAUUGCUCCCGGGACUAAAGGCCCUUUUGUCCCGGGUGCUAACACCAACCGGGACAAAAGGGCCCCCUUUUAUCCCGGUUGCUAAUUGUAACUGGGAUAAAAUGGUAUGUCCCAGGCGGGAAUCGAAAGCGACCCUUUUAUCCCGGUUGCAGUUGUCCACUGGGAUAAAAGGGGGGCCUUUUGUCCCGGUUUCUAUUGGCACCCGGGAUAAAAGGGACUUUUCCCACAAUUUCAUCUCCCGCCUAUUAUUUGCAAAAUGAUUUUAUUUAUAUUUUCACUGCAUUUCAAGAUGCAGCAACAAAAAACUUCACAUAUUUUGAACAUGCAAAAAUAUAUUUAAUUAGGAGUAUAUUGACAAUAAGUGUGAUUUAGUCAUUAAUUCUAUAUCAGUUCGUUUAGCCUCUAAAAUAGUUAUUUUACUGCAACGCUAUGAUCAAGAAAUUAUUCAAUUAAAUAAUUUCAACGUGCAAAAAAAUCCAUGUAUGUAUGUGGUUAACAUUAUUCAUGUUUAUCUAAUAAAUCUUCACCUCAACAAAUUUAAUAACACAUGAAAUCAUAUAUAGGUUAAAUUAAAAAUUGUAUCAAGUACUACACAAAGGUCAUGUAAAUUUAGUGCAUUACAAUACAACGUUGUAAAAUUUCUUCUUCACGAAAGUUCCUUGAUUAUGAUCGCGGCAUAAGUAUGGAGCCUCUUCUUUGAAUAGCAGGAUGCUUGGGUCAACCUCAACUGCGAAUGGAGGCAUGCCAUCAAACUGAUCAUAAUCAUCUGAUUGGUCUGUUUUAUCCUCGACUCCCAUGUUUUUUCUUUUACCUGGAAGAACUAUGUGGCACUUUGGCUCCCAUGUCUCUUCUGGAUUUCUCUUGGGUUUGCUACACAUGUCCUUCACAUAGAAAACCUGAUGCACAUCAUUGGCAAGAACGAAUGGGUCAUCACUAUAUCCAGUCUUGCUCAGAUCUACUAUUAUCAUUCCGUACUGAUCUUUAGUUACGACAGUUAGCUUCACCCAAUUGCAAAGAAAUAAAGGGAUGUACAACAGUCCGUAUUCGAGUUCUCAUACCUCCUGUAUGAAACCAUAAUACGACUCCUUACUAUUAUUUCUAUCUAUGGCAUCUAUGCGGACACCACUAUUCUGGUUCAUGCUUUUCUGGUCCUGGGCUCUCGUGUAAAAUGUAUAACCAUUUAUCCCAUAGCCUUGGAAUUUUACGAUUGUGGUAGCAGGUCCCAUGGCUAACCAAGCGAGCUGUGGGUGAAUCUCAGAGUUACCCAUAAGUUGUUGGCGCAACCAGGAGGGAAAAGUUUCCAUGUGAUGACGUGUAAGCCAAGCAUCGGAUUUCGUCGGGUUUUUGGAAACUACCAUCUGCCUGUGCUGCUCGAUAUACGGAGACACAAAGGAUAACUGUUGUAGAAUAGUCUAAUAUUUCAUGUUGAACAAAUCAGUAUGAUUGCUCAAACUUGAUUUCCUUCCAAGGGUACCCAUUCCCCGGAGCCUCCCCUCGUGGCGUGAAGUUGGAACCUCAAUCGAGUCAAUUGACUCAAUAAAAUCAACACAAAACUCGAUCACCCCCUCUGUUCCAUAUCCCUGGGCGAUGCUUCCUUCUGGACGGGCACGAUUAAGAAUAUAGUUUUUUAGGACUGCCAUUAACCUCUCGAAAGGCCACAUAUUGUGCAAGUAUACAGGUCUGAGAAUACCAAUCUCUUUUACUAGGUGAACCAGUAAGUGCGCCAUAAUAUUGAAGAAGGAUGGUGGAAAUACCAACUCAAAACUGACAAGACAUUGCACCACAUCGUUCUGUAGCUUUGAUAGCUUGGAUGGAUCGAUUGCCUUCUGCAAAAUCGUAUUGAGAAACGUGCAUAGCUUUACGAGCGGCAACCGGACAUUGUUCGGUAGAACACCCCUCAGUGCAAUCGGAAGAAACUGGGUCAUCAACAUGUGGCAGUCAUGGGUCUUGAGAUUUGUAAACUUCUUUUGUUUCAUAUUUAUUAUUCCCUUUAUAUUCGAGGAGUACCCAGACGGGACCUUCAUACUAUUCAAGCAUUCAAACAUGGUAUCCUUCUCUUCCUUGCUGAGAGUGUAACUGGCGGGAUGUAAGUAGUGUUGUCCAUUAUCUCUCUUUUCCGGAUGUAGGUCAUCUCGUUGCCCCAUGGCUUUCAGGUCCUGUCGUGUUUCCAAUGUAUCUUUUGAGGUCCCAUAAACACCCAUGAAGCCUAGCAAGUUCAUGCAAAGAUUCUUCAUCAGGUGCAUCACGUCUAUUGCGUUGCGAACCUCUAGGAUUUCCCAAUAAGGUAGCUCCUAAAAUAUUGACCUUUUCUUCCACAUGGGUGCACGUUCGUUAUCGUCGUUUGGAACAGGUUGGCUACCAUGAACCUUUCCAAAGACUCCAUUUACAUCCUUUAUCAUCUCGAAGACACGCUUUCCAUUACGGUGUGCAGGUUUUUUACGAUGGUCUGGCGCCCCUUUGAAAUGCAUCCCGCUCUUUCUCGGCUGGUGGUGAGCAGGGAGAAAUCGACGAUGACCCAUAUAGACGACCUUAUUACAGUGCUUCAAAUACAUGCUGUCUGUGUCGUCUAAACAGUGGGUGCAGACCUGAUAUCCCUUAUUUGUCUGUUCCGAAAGGUUACUCAGUGCAGGCCAAUCAUUGAUGGUUACAAACAACAAUGCUCGUAGAUUAAAGAUCUCUUGUCUAUCCUCAUCCCACACACGUAUACCUUCUUCCUUCCAGAGCUAUAAAAGGUCAUCUACCAACGGUCUUAGGUACACGUCAAUGUCAUUGCUGGGUUGUUUUGGGCCUUGAAUAAGCGCCGGCAUCAUAAUGAACCUCCACUUCAUGCACAGCCAGGGAGGAAGGUUGAACAUACAUAGGGUCACAGGCCAAGUACUAUGGUCACUACUCAACUCACCGAAUGGAUUGAAUCCAUUAGUACUUAAACCAAACCUUAUGUUUCUUGCUUCACUUUCAAAGUCUGGGAAUGCUCUAUCAAUUGAUCUCCACUGGGCCCCAUCUGCGGGUGUCUCAGCAUCUCAUCUUCCAUACGUUCUUCUUUGUGCCAUCGCAUCAACUUAGCAUUCACCUUGUUCCUAAACAAGCGCUUCAAGCGUGGUAUUAUAGAGAAAUACCACAUCACCUUCACGCAAACUCUCUUAUUGGGAGACUGCCCCUCGACAUCACCAGGAUCAUCUCGCCUGAUCUUAUACCGCAGCGCUUCGUAGAUGGGACAAGCAUCCAUUUUCUCGUAUUCAUCACCACGAUAGAGGAUACAGUCGUUAGGGCAUGCGUGUAUCUUAUGAACAUCCAAUCCGAGAGGGCAAAUAAUAUGUUUAGCUUCAUAUAUUGUGGACGGUAAUUCAUUAUUCUUGGAAAAAAUCUUCUUGACAAUGUUCAACAUCCCCUAAAAUGUCUUAUCAGACACACCAUUUUUUGCCUUCCAUUGCACAAAUUAUAGUGUCGUACCUAGUUUUUUAUGGCCCUGCUGGCAAUCUGGGUACAACAAUUUUUGGUAAUCAUCUAUCAUGUGCUGCAACUUUGCUGCUUCCUUCUCAGUUUCGCAAUAUCUGUGUGCAUCUCGUAGCACCUGAUUAAGGUCAUCAGUAGGGCCAUUUUCUGCAAACUCAUCUUCAUCAGCCUCGCCCAUUGUAGUAUCUGCAAAAGCUUGGCUUGCAACCCAGUCCGGAAUGUUGUCAUCUUCCUCCUCCUCCUCGCUGUCUUCCAUUACAACCCCUCGUUCACUGUGCUUGGUCCAAACCAAAUAGUUAGGCAUGAAACCGUAUCCAAACAAGUGGCUGUGAAUAGUCUCCCAGGAAUCCUUUGAAUACUACUUCUUGUUAUUGCAUUGGAAGCAUGGACAACAUACGAACCCAUUCUCUGGCUUGUUCGCUUUGACCACUUCGAGAAAAUAAUGCAAGCCAUCAAUAAACACCUUGCUCCGCCUGUCUGCAUUAUACAUUGUAGUGCAAAUAAUGCUAAAAAUUUAGAUAUAGAUAGAAAUACACAUAUUUAAAUUAAAGAUCCAAACAACAUGAUACAAUACAACAAGCCAUCCACUAGUUAUUAUCUAGGAGGACUUUAAGCAUCCUUGGGUGGUGAAGACGAAGGCGCUGACCUAGCCUCAUCCUGUGGUUUAUUUGUGCCGCCUGAAACGGUAGUACUAAGUGGAUGUGAAACACCCGGGACUGAGGGUGGAGCAUAACGAUCACCAAAAGGAGGUUCCUGACCCACGGCAACAGCUUCUUCAUGACGUUUCUGCAAAUAACGAAGCAUUGCUUUUUCCAACGCGCUCAUUUUCUUCGACUUAUGCUGAGGGCCAACUAUGAUUUUCCCCUUCCCGAAAGAGGAACGAUGAUCGCCCCCACCAUCGCCACUUCCUCCAGUAGCAGAAGCCAUCUAUGUACAUAAAUUCUUACCUUAGCAUUGCAGAAGUUGUUGAACUUGAAGAUCGUGAUCAUGUCGCGAGCAUGUCCUCAACUGGGCAGCACCGCACUUCGUUAUGAAAGAGGUUCGAUUCUACGGAAAAGGGGACCUAGUCACGAUGUCUGUAUCCACUCUUUCUCAUAGAAUCGAACCUCCUUCUUGACAUACGUUGUUGCUCGGCGGAGAACAACCUCGCCGAGAUGAACACGGUUUGCAAGUUCAACAAGUGGAUUUGAAAAACUAUAUUGAAUUUGAUAAGAUAAACCGUCUAGACAAGGUAGCAUCAUUCUUAAACCACUGCAAGAAUACAUACUAUAUAUGACACAUCAAUCUCCCUCACAUUCUAGCUCAAAAUACCUCUCCAUUUUCUACUUCAUCACAUUCUAGAAAAUAAAUUUUCCAUCUCCAAAGCAUAAAUCAAAGCGUACACGAGGAUGAAGUAGUAAACCUUCACAACACCUGUGUUGGCUGAGUGAAAUUCCCACGAAAAUGAGGGAAAAAAAUUCGGACAGCACCUCCCUUGCUUCGGCACCACCGGAGAGUAGGUGAAGCUCAGCUCUCUGUCUAUGUGGUGGACUGGCUCGGGGUGGAGGAGGAAGAAAGGCCUCUGUCUUGGUAUAUAAUGGGGAUGAGUUUUUAUCCCGGUUAAAAACUCCAACCGAGACAAAACGGAACACCUUUUGUCCCGAUUGAAAGUUUAGUCCCGGUUGGAGGCUCCAACCGGGAUAAAAGGGUCACGCCAACGACACCCCAGAACUAGCCGUUACAACCGGGACUAAAGGGGGGCCUUUAAUCCCAGUUGCAGAUACCAACCGGGAGUAAAUCUCCCCUCCAUUUUUGCCUACCGUGGCGCACCCCCUUUUGUCCCGGGCCAACUUUAAACCGGGACAAAAGGGGGUGCAUCGAAAGUCAGUUCUCUACUAGUGAAUGGUCCUGGAUUUUUUCAUGCUCUUUUUUUAUAUUUCCCAUGAUAUUUCCUGAGCUUUCUGUGAUUUUUAGCACAUUCUUUUACGUAUUUUUAGAGACCAUGUAGAUGAGCUUUCGCAAUAGAAUCAAAGUUGUGAUAGCAUGUUUAUUACUUGCAUUCUAAGGAAAUAGUGCCAUGAAUAAAUGAGAUGUGCUAACUUAAAAUGGCCAAGUUAAGAGCAUUGUUUGAGUUAAUGUUAUAAAGAAAAUGAUCUCGUAGAAAAAUAAAACAUUUGGGCACUAAUACACAUACUUUAUAAAAAAUAAGUUCCUUUAGGAAACUAAAGGUUAUUACAAAUGAACUUCCUUUUGGUAGAUUUAUUCAUCAAUAAAGACAUUAUGUAAAUCACAAUCAAUUAAGACUUUACAAAAACAGUUGGAAGACCUUUCUACGAGUUGUCUUCCUUUUUGUUUUUGCUUAUAAAAGAUGAUAGGUUGUUAGGGGAACUCACAUAAUAAUAUUUACAUGACGCCAAAUAUCUAAGCCGUUCGAUUGAGCGUUUUGGGUGCAAUCAGAUGAGAUCCCACAUUGUAAGGGACUACAUUGAUCCUCUUCUGAUCAAGACGCCCUCGAGAGCUCCGAUCCGCCGUGGCCCCUGCCUUUGUCCCGAUGAUGGCUCCACCGCCGCCGGCCGGAAACUCUGGCGCUGUACGUCCUGGUGGUGCCGAGCCGAGGCGAUCGACUGCAGGGAUCUGGAACGGCAAGCGGCCAAGCCUACCUCGUCGCGCCGCCGCCGCUGCCCGCUGGAGUCGAUGAAACCCAUGGUUGAAGAGCGGGAAGGCGAGGUCCUACUACUCGACCGGCCGACCCCUCCCACCACUGAACUUUGGUUUGGAUAGAACUCAGGUGAUCGCCCACUUCCAUCUCCCCUGUGUAUUCCUUUUGCAUUUGUUCCAAUCAAACACUAUUAUUGAACUGAAACCAUCUCCCAAACGAACUGAACAAAUCUUCUAAGAAAUCCGUUGACGUACCAGCAAAACAACGGUGCAUUUGCAUUCCAUUACCCGUCAUUCCGUUGUGUGUAUGAAGUAAUAAUCCGUAGCAGACCUCAGGUUUCCGAAUGUCAUAUGUUCAUGGACAUCUUGGAUAGCAUAAUUAUGAAACGAACUAUGUUCACUUCAAUACAGAUUCUAAAUGGGGGGAAACAUGUAGACAUGCAGAAAGGUGCAGGAAAGACUCCUGGUUUACUAGAAAAUGAUACAACACUUGCAACCAAUGAGUUGCAAUGAGGCUAUGACUGAAUUCAAAUACGAUGGAAAAAGUAUUGUAGCUAUAACUCAAGAGUGGAGUAAUUUAGACAAUGGAAUGAUAAGAUACUUCAAUGAUCAUUAAGGAAGGAAAUUUUAUGACUUGAGAUUGACCGCCUUGAAAUAUUCUUCACAGUAGUCUGGCGAACCAAAUUAUGUAGUAUUUCUACCAACUGACAAGAAUCCUCCACUGAAUGCUUCACCUUUUGCUGCAAAAAGAAAGGGCAUCAUAAACCAUGGCGACCUAUCUUUGGGUAGAGGUACGUGGAGCAAUUUUAAAUUUUUAUUUUCACUUAUCUGUAAUUUGCAGUUAUUGCCUCGUGCUAAGAAAUUCAGGUAGCUGCAAAAAUUUACUAAUUUUAGAGUUAGUGUUAGAGUUUUAUUUGUUUCUGUAAAGGUGAGGCCGAUAUCCCUAAAGGUACAAAAACUUUAUGAUAAAUGAAUUGCACGAAUCCUUUGGGAAGUUGGGCAUAGUUGGUCACAUAAUAUUGCAAGCACUAAAUGUGUGCACUUUGCAGCCCUCUGGCUGGUUGGUAUCUGCAUGUGGCAUGCUACGAAAGUACCUCUGACAUCUGAACAGAGCAAAUUGGAGCUAAGUACCGUAAAAUAGGUACGUCGAUAGAUGUAUAUGAGAGAACUGACCCGAUUAACUUUGCAAAAGAUAGUAUAUUAGAUAUUUCUGGAGGGAAAUUGGCUGCACAUGAGAAUAAAAAGAGAAGGGAAAGAAAGCUGACCGUCAUGCUCCCACAAGGAUCAGAAUCCUUAUAAAGUCAUGCAUGUAUGAAAUGAAGAACUACGAAGCCACUCGGCCAUUGUUAGCAAUGGAUGAACCAGUUAAAGCGGCACAAAUCACUUGCUGUCCCAUAUUAUUGAAAGCAGAAUCUGUUUCGUCAUGUGGCAUUUGGGUGUGAGUCUCCUGUACCUGUUCCUCUGACAGAACAGAACGAUCUACAAUCUCAUUCUCAGUUUCCCCUGCUGCAGUGGAAUCUCCAUCAUGAUCUACCUUAGGUGGUAUAGCCCUUUUGAGGACAACUAUUGGCCUGUUGGGAUGUUCCUUAGCCGCCCUCACCCAGUUUGCUUUAGUACCAUCAGUGACUCUACAAUCAAGCAUUAUUUCGCUCAGUCGUGUGAAACCUUUGAUCUGGAUUCCACAGAGGCCAUUCAUAUCUUUACAGAGCAGCUGAAGAGAUUUAAGAAAUGGCAAAGCACCUUCUUCGACCUUUGGAAAUGUUGGACGCUGCAGCACAAAACAUAGGCCAAGCAGCCUUGGCAAUCCCUUGUUGUUAAUGUGGAUCUCUUCAAGUUCAUCUGCAAUCAGCUUAAGGUACUGCAGAUGCGUCAAAUUGGUCAAAGCUGUGAGAAGAUCAGCUGUCAUUUUAGUUGAUUGAAGGUGCAGCUCCCUGAGUCGGCGCAGUGCCGUGACAAACCCAGGAAGUUCUAGUAACCUGCCCUGUAAUUUCAGUGACCUAAGAUAGCAGGGAGCCUUUAAAUCUUUCAAAAAGUCCUCAGAGCAUCCAUCAAAAUAGAGCGAAAAUGAACGAGGGUCAUUGCUUGCAUCCUUUUCAUCAUGAAUGAACUCUUGUAUGGCCUUCUGAAGAGUAGUCAAUCUAGUACUAGUCGCAGAUGACUCACACCAGAUCUGUAAUACUGUUAUGAUGGAGAGAAAUGCGACGGGCAUGGUUAGGUUGGAGCUAUCCCCUCCAUCAAACAAAGUAAUGAAGUUUUCACAGAGAGACUUGAGCGUAAUGAACUCGUGCAUCAUGCCAUAAGUUUUGCAAGUUUUCACUUUGGUAUUGAUGCUUACAUUAAUGGGUUGGAUGAUGUUCUGAUUCAUUAGCUUCUCAAAAUUUUCAGCAGCUGGAUCAUUGCAUAAAUUUGUUGGCUGCAGAAAUCCCUCAGCUAUCCAUUGGCUCUUUAUCUUUUUCGCCCUGACUGGAUGAUCACUAGGGAACAUAGCAAAAUAUAGAAAGCAUGCUUUGAGGGCAUGGCUUGGAAGGCUGGCAUAGUCAUGGGUCAACACCUGAUGCAUCCUGUCCAAGGUAUCGUCACCGCUCUGCAGAUCAUAGAAACGAGCCUUGUUGCACACAUCCUCGCAGUCUUGUCCUGUCGGCCAACUCUUUUUUUGCAUAAAAUGGGCGACAGUAGUCAGAGCAAGUGGUUGAUCAUCACAUUUAUUUAAAAUUGCUGCUGAAUCAGGCUGCAAGUAAUCUGAAUAUUCCCCUGGACAAGCAUUUCUCAGAAACAAUUGCUUUGAGUGUUUCUCAUCAAGUCUUCUCAUUUUGUGUAUGUAACCGUGGGUUGAGCUGCAGGUAUUGGCUACUGACUGGAUUUUUGUUGUCACCACUAUUCUACUGCUAACAUCUCGAGGGAAGGCAGGCUUUACAAUACUCCAUUGAUCUGACCUCAUGCCAUCAAUUACGAUGAAGUACCUGGAAUAUUUAGAAAUGAGGAUAUAAAAGUUAUCAAAGAGUUAUUCUGCAACAACAGCAAACUAAUGGGUCAAGGAAGAAAGAACAGUUUUCUUAUUGGACUGCAUUGAGCAUCACAUAUAUAACAUAUAUAUAAUUUCUGUAGUUUAAAGGAAUAACUGAUGUUUACUGAUAUAUGCUUUCAAAGAAUAACAUACAUAUGCUUUAAGUAGUGACAUAUUCACACGUGGAGUAUACAAUAUGGCCCAAAUUAGCAACUGAUUUAUAGGGAGCACGUGAUCCCUUUAGUUUUCUUAGCUAUUUCAGAACUUUCUUUCGGCUUAUCAUUCACCCAGUAUAGGGAGCACAUAUUUCUACAUAUCACUUCCCAAAGAGAAGUCUCCUUUUCUUUUCUCCUUAUACUACAAGUCUCAGACAUUAGAUUCAAAGUGUUUGUAGGUAGUUCAACUGAGUGCAUGAAUCUUUUCUGAAUCCUCAACAUAUUCUGUACGAGAAACUAUCUGAAUCUUUCAUUUCUCAAAGCCGAUGUCUUUCCUGACUAUCUAUGUUUGCCAUUUACGGAAAGAAUUUCAUUUCGAUGAUAACAUUCAGUAAUCAGACCAAUGAGUAGAGUACUAUUUUCAUUUUGCUAGAGGAUGGUAGACAGUUUCUACCUCUUGUUAUUCAGGAAGUUGCAAAGAUCAGCACUAAGCUGGUUGACAUUGGAGGUAACCAGAUCUGGCUUGUUCAGUUGACGGAGUAUCUCACUUAAGAGCUCCCCUGGAUCCCCAUGCGUCCCAGAAACCCGUGCCCUUUCCUCAAACUGCUUGCCAAUCUCGCUGUUGUACAACUCCCGGGCAAGGAUGGUCUUCCCCAAUCCAGAGAACCCAACUACGGAGAUCACCCUCAGCUGCUUAGGUUGACCCUCGGCUUCCGCCAACUGCUCCAGAAGCUCCUCCAGGGGAGCAUCGAUGGCAACCAGAUCAUCAGGAAGGACAUGCUGAUCCCAGGAUGAUUGUGCCAGCUGGGAUGAGGAUGAAUGGGACACUGAAUACCUCUGCUGCCGCUGGAGUGCUUCCUCCAGUCUGUACCUAAGGUGCUGCAUCUCUUCGCCUAACUGGGAGCGUGAUUUUCUCUUUCUCCCAGAUUUUCCUAACAGUACCAUGGUUGCUGAUCCGAAAACGCAUCAUACAUGAUGUGGUAUAUGCAAUCCUCCAUUUCAUAAGCUACAUGACGCAAUUCUUCAACCGAUAAACGCAGUAUGUGAUCAUCCUGCCCCAAGAGCUGCCCGUCAAUGGCACUGGUGAUUAUGGGAAGCUCUCUCAUCAGGAAAGUCACAUCUCCUUCAAAGCCCUUGUACAGCUUGUAUUUCUCCUCCACCAGCGAGAACAAUCUCGACACGAGGUUGUCUACAAAUGCACUCAACAGGCCAGGGUCCUCCAUCGAUCACAAUGGUUGUUAGCUAGGCACUGACGGUUCCUACUUCCUAGUGAGGAGAUAAAGUGCUUCCUGUCUUGCAAUGUAACAAUGGGGUGGAUAAAACAGACAUGGAGCACAUGGACCUUAAGGAGCAUCUUGUAGCAGGGGAGGAGACCACAUCUGGCUUUUCAUCUGACAGUAAAUUGCAGUUGUUAGCAGCACUUUUUACAUUAAAUAUAUCAUAAGUAUGAAGCCAUAUUAAAUUAGUACUAAGUCCAGCACAGAAAUGCAAUGGUUAUAUGUACAAAAACUGAUAUUCACACUGUAACCACUGAUAUUCACACUGUGCCGAUGCUUAUUACAGUCCUUCUUGGGAAGCUUCGUUCUUUGUUGGUCUCUCCUGUUAGAUUGAUCUCCUCCCCAAUGGGCCCAAAGGUCCAUCGGGACCCUGAUCCGCGCCCUGAUCGGGGGCGCUCACCCUAGCAUUGGGUGGUGGGCUCCUGUCGUGCUGCGCUAUAUAAACAGGGUGGGGGACCCGGCUCGGCUCACGAGGUUCGCCGCAGCCAGCCACCCCACCGACACACCUACCGAUCUAGGUUUUGCGCAGUAGCGGCGGGAAGUACCACCGCCACCUCACCGGCGACCGGACUCGGCACUGCGCGUCGCUGCCUUGCGCAGACUUCCCCAAGCGAACCAGCGAUGGCCAGCAGCUCUGCUGCUCCCACCCCUAGGGGUGAAGGUACCCCUAUCUCUCUCACUCCCUCUCGGCACACACCAGAAAUACCAUGUCCCUCAUGUUGUUUAUGAUCCCGACUAGAUAUGCAUCUAGAGUAGGCACGAGUCUAACAAUGCUAUCAGACACCUCACUAGAAGCUUUUCUAGAUCGGGAAAAAGAAGUAGAUCCAAAAGAAACAGAAAAAGUAAAACCCUAACCCUAACCCUAGAUCUAAAGAAUGAAAGCGGCGGCUUACCUGUCGCUGACUUCACCGCCGCACGUCCACCGACGGCGAGCGGCAAAGGCCGGCCGAGCCUCGGGCUCGCCGAGGAAAAGCUCCACCCGAGCCGCCGAAGCAUCCGCUCGGGACUCAGGGGGGGUGCAACAGCACCACCAAAGGACCGCUCGACGGCGGCGCGCCCAACCCUUGCGGUGGACGCGCACACCGGCGAGGGGACCCGUGGUGGCGCCGGCCCUCCUCCAUGGUCACCAUGGCCUUCUGGAUCUCGGUUUUCGGGAGACUCGGAGGGAGAAAGGGGGGAGGCAAGAAAGUAAAAGAGAGGGAGGGGGGCUGCCGCGGCCGUGCGCCGGCAGGGCCAUCCCUCAACCGCCGCCGCCGGCCAUCGCCGGGCGCAGGAGAGAUAGCCCCGCCGCCGCCGCCGCUACGGUGGGAUGUCGCGGGGAAAAGAAUAGACUAAGCUAGGGUUUUCCGGGGGAGCGGCCGUCGGAGAUUUUGAUCCGCUAAAAAUGCCGCUGGACCGUCGGAUUUGACGGACGGCCGAGAUUGUCCGGGCCAGAUUUGGCCCAAGCGGGUAAGAAGUGCAGGCCGUUUUGGCGGCCCAGGCUCAGGGUGCGGCCUGCGAGUGCACGAUCAGAGCCGGUCGGGCCUCAAGCCUGCGAUGGGCCGUGCGAACCGCGGCUGCUAGGCCAAAGGCCAGCAGGCCGCGCUCACGACCGGCCGCGUCGCGUGAGCGGGCCGAGCGCGGGAACGGGCUGUGGGCCGUUUUUCGCGGCUAGGCCAAAAAGCGAGUUUUGCACAGUAACGCUUGAUAAUUAGUUUUUUCUAUUUCCAGAAGCAUUUAAUUGAUGUUUUUUGCAUAGUUUUGGUCUCUAAUCUAAUUUGAACCAACGAGAUAAUUUGUAUUAGAGAUUAAUAAAGUUUACACAGUGUUUUUGCUUCUGAAAAUAGUUUUAUUCCACAGUUUUCCGCUGAAAAAAUAAAAAUUUAUUGCUCUAUUUAAAUUUAAUUUGAACCAACUAGACAAUUAAAUUUGUGAGAGCAUAAUAAAGUUAAUUAGAUUAUGGUGCUGUUAUUUUCUGACCAACGUUGUUAAUAACUGUAUCAUGAUUUAGGGAGUUUUUGAUGCUUUUAUUUCUAUUUCUGCCCAACGGUGAUAUAGUUUUAAAUUGCAUAAACAGUUGUAUGUUUUAUUUUUUGACCAACGUUGGAAAUAAAUCAUGCAAUUGUUGUUAUGAUCUUAUUUUGGAUUGCAAAUUUCAGGAUCAUUCAACUUAAUGGCUUGUCUCAAAGAGAUACCCAUUCUGAAAGGAAACAACUAUACAGAGUGGAGGAAGAAGAUUGAAUUCUCCUUCGUUUGUGGAGAAGUUGACUGGGUGCUGACUACACCGCGGCCACAAGCUCCAGAGAAGCCAGUGAGGGCUGAAGGUGAUGAUGAUGCUGCAUGGCAGCAAAAGGAAAGGGACUAUGCUCCACUGGAGUUGGCAUACACCCUUGAAAACAAACAGUGGACCACUGCCAACAAGAAAUGUAUGGCUUUGGUAAAGAAUACGAUUGAGCCUGCUAUUUUGGGAUUGAUUACAGAGUGUGACUCCGUCACAGAGUACCUCGAGAAGAUAAGGAAUCAGUUCACUGGUUUCUCAAAGCUAUAUGCUACCCAGUUGUUCAAGCAGCUGGCCACAGAGAGGUACAAUGGAGGAGGGACUGGCAUAAGAGAUCACAUCUUGAGGAUGUAUAACUUGGCAGCAUAGUUGAAGCCAAUGGAUCUUGAGCUCAAGUCUGGGCACAUUAUUCAUUUGGUUUUCGCUUCUCUGCCAAAAGAGUUUGACACCUUUGUUGUCAAUUAUAACAUGCAGCCAGAACAGUGGGACAUGGAAAAAAUGAUAGCCAUGUGCGUGCAGGAAGAGGACAGAAUUAGAUCCUCAUAUGGUGGUUCAUUGCACUAUGUGAAGGACAACAGGAAAAAGAAUGCUAACUCCUCUUUCAAGGCACGAGGAAAGGCUCCUAUGCAGCAGAAUCACCAAAAGCCUCUCACAGUAGACAAAGAUCAAUGUCUACACUGCAAGAAAAAGGGGCACUACAAGAAAGAAUGUCCCGACUGGUUAAAGUCAAUAAUGGCAAAAAGAGGUGAGAAUACUAUUUCCUUUGUAAAUGAAUCCUUGUAUACACAGUAUUCGAAAUCUACUUGGUGGAUUGACUCAGGUGCAACUGUUCAUGUUGCAAAUUCUUUACAGGGAUUCCGUUCGAUGAGGACUACGCAAAGAAGCGAAAGAUGCGUUGAAGUCGCAAAUGGAGUCCAAGCAGAGGUUGAAGCUGUUGGCGAUGUCUCUCUAGAGCUAGUUGAUGGUUUCAUGCUUGUACUUAGAGAUGUGCUUUAUGUUCCUUCGUUACACAGAAACUUGAUUAGCAUUUCACGUAUGGACCAUGAUGGAUAUGAAUGUCAUUUUGGAAAUGGAAAGUGUGCCAUUUGGUUCGAUAAUGCAUGUGUUGGUGUUGCCAUCCUUCACAAUGAGUUGUAUUUAUUAUCACUACGUGAAAAAGUAAAUUCUGUGUGUGAUGUGAAUAUGAUUGUAUCCUCGUCAGAGCAACAAACAAAGAAAAGAAAGAGAACUCAUGAAACAUCGUCGAAAUUAUGGCACUGUCGUUUAGGCCAUAUUUUGAGGGGGAGAAUAGAAAGACUAGUUAAGAAUGAAAUUCUUCCUCAAUUAGAGUUCUCAGACUUAGAACAAUGCGUUGAUUGCAUUAAAGGAAAGUUUGUAAAGCAAAUUAAAAAAAGGCGCUAAACGUAGCGCAGGAGUUUUAGAGAUUAUCCACACUGAUAUUUGUGGACCAUUUCCUGUGAAAAGCAUGGAUGGCUAUGACUCGUUCAUAACAUUCACAGAUGAUUACUCCCGUUAUGGUUACAUUUAUCCAAUUAAAGAAAGAUCAGAAGCACUGGAUAAAUUUAAGAUAUUUAAAGCUGAAGUUGAAAAUCAGCAUAACAAAAGAAUCAAAAUAGUAAGAUCCGACCGUGGGGGGGAGUACUAUGGUCGACAUACCUCAUGUGGCCAAGUUCCUGGACCUUUUGCAAGGUUUUUGCAGGAAAAUGGCAUAGUAGCCCAGUAUUCGAUGCCGGGCGAGCCUCAGCAAAAUGGAGUAGCUGAAAGGUGUAACCGUACACUGGUGGAUAUGGUGCGCAGCAUGAUGAGUUAUUCCACCUUACCAUUGGGACUGUGGAUGGAGGCGUUGAAAGCCGCCAUUCACAUUCUAAAUAGAGUGCCAAGUAAGUCGGUGCCCAAAACACCGUAUGAACUAUGGACAGGAAGAGUACCCUCACUAAACCAUCUGCGUGUGUGGGGGAGCCCAGCUGAGGCCAAAGUAUUCAACCCAAACAUUGGGAAGCUAGAUCCCAAAAUAGUAAGCUGCCACUUCAUUGGCUAUCCGGAAAGAUCAAAAGGUUUUCGUUUCUACUAUCCAGACAGAUAUACAAAGUUUGUAGAAACGAGACACGCGAUUUUCUUAGAGGAUCAGAUGGUGAGGGGGAGCAUGGUGGCUCGAGAGAUUGAUCUUGAGGAGAAGCGGGUGUGUGCACCUAAUCCGAUGAUUCAGGAACCAUUCUUCUCACUACCUAUUAUUCCCGCACCAAUAGUUCCUGAGGUCGUGGUGCAAGCACCUGCUACAGUCCCUGAUAUUGUGGUGCAGGCACCUACUGUGAUUCCACCCGUGGAAACGAUGAGUGAAGUUUUGGAACCUGUCCUUCAGGAGCCAACUGAACCCAUCAUUACACACGAGGAAGAGUUGCAGCAGCCACCUCUGAAUAAUGUGCCACAAGCAGAGGCACAGAAUGUGCCCGAAAGUGAGAGGCCUAGAAGGUCUCAAAGAGUCAAAAGAUCAGCUAUUCCUGAUUACUAUAAAGUUUAUAAUAUAGAAGAAGUUCAUAUAGAAGGUGAUCCCACUUCAUAUGAGGAAGCCAUGAAAAGUGUUCACUCAUCGAAGUGGCUAGAGGCCAUGGAAGAUGAGAUGAAAUCGAUGAGUUCCAACAAUGUUUGGGAACUUGAAGAGAUUCCUAAAGGAGCCAAAACAGUAGGCUGUAAAUGGGUCUACAAGACUAAACGUGACUCCAAAGGGAAUAUAUAAAGGUAUAAGGCGAGACUUGUGGCAAAAGGCUUUACACAAAGAGAAGGAAUAGAUUACAAUGAGACUUUUUCUCAUGUCUCAUGUAAAGACUCCUUCAGAAUCAUAACGGCACUGGUUGCACAUUUUGACUUAGAGUUACAUCAGAUGGAUGUAAAAACGGCAUUUCUAAAUGGGGAUUUAGAAGAAAAUGUCUACAUGAAACAACCAAAGGGUUUUAUCAUGGAAGACAAAGAGAAUAUGGGAUGUCGUCUGAAGAAAUCCAUUUACGGAUUAAAGCAAGCCUCUAGACAGUGGUAUCUAAAGUUUAAUGAUAUAAUAAAGAAAUUUGGGUUUCAAGAGAAUAUAGAGAACAAUUGUGUCUAUGCAAAGUUCAAAAAUGGGAAAUACAUUUUCCUAAUUCUGUAUGUGGAUGAUAUCUUACUUGCAAGCAGUGAUAUCAGUCUACUGCAAGAGACAAAGAAGUUUUUGUCCUCAAACUUCGGUAUGAAGGAUCUUGGUGAAGCAUCAUAUGUUUUGGGUAUAGAAAUUCACCGAGAUAGACUGAAUGGGGUCCUUGGAUUAUCGCAAAGGGCAUAUUUAGAAAAGGUUCUAAAGAAGUCUAAUAUGCAUGCGAGUAAGGCCACACCUGCUCCUAUAGUCAAGGGCGACAGUUUUGGGAAUUUUCAAUGUCCUAGGAACCAGUACGAGAUCGAUCAAAUGAAAGCGGUUCCAUAUGCUUCAGCUGUCGGAAGCUUAUAGUAUGCUCAAGUGUGCACUCGCCCUGACUUAGCUUUUGUCACCGGGGUUCUUGGUAGAUAUCAAAGUAAUCCAGGUGUAGAACACUGGAAGAUGGUAAAGAAAGCAUUGCGCUACGCGCAAGGCACAAAAGAACUCAUGCUUACAUAUAAGAGAUCUGAUUCCCUAGAGAUAAAAGGGUAUUCAGAUGCAGAUUUUGCGGGAGACAAAGAUGAUAGAAAAUCCACGUCUGGAUAUGUAUUCACUCUCGCAGGAGGAGCUAUCUCGUGGAGAAGCUCAAAACAGAAAGUAACUGCGUCAUCAACGAUGCAUGCAGAAUUCAUAGCAUGUCAUGAGGCCACGGGGCAGGCGAUGUGGCUAAAGAAAUUUAUACCCGGAUUGAGAGUGGUUGACUGUAUUCACAGACCACUAAAGAUGUACUGCGACAAUGAGCUAGCAGUAUUCUAUGCUCACAACAACAAAUCAAGCAAUGCUUCCAAAACCAUUAAGAUAAAGUUUUAUGUUGUGAAAGACAAAAACCAGGAUCGCACUAUAAGUCUCGAGCAUAUAAGAACAAAAGAUAUGCUUGCGGAUCCGCUCACGAAAGGCUUACCACCCAAUGUGUUCAGAGAACACUUAGCCGGCAUGGGUUUAAGGGAAAGCCUAUGAUUCCUGGAUUGGAAAAGGCCCAAAAGAAACAAAAUUGUUUCAAAAUAGAGAGGUGUGUUAUAGCUGUUGAUUCUAUCGGCGAUUAAGCUGUGACGAUGAGGCAUGCUCUACAUAUUAAUCUACGAUGAAACGAAUAAAAGCGAAAAGUGUAAAGUUAAAAGUAAAUGAUGAGAUCAAGGGGGAGAAUGUUAGAUUGAUCUCCUCCCCAAUGGGCCCAAAGGCCCAUCGGGACCCUGAUCCGCGCCCUGAUCGGGGGCGCUCACCCUAGCAUUGGGUGGUGGGCCCCUGUCGCGCUGCGCUAUAUAAACAGGGUGGGGGACCCGGCUCGGCUCACGAGGUUCGCCGCAGCCAGCCGCCCCACCGACACACCUACCGAUCUAGGUUUUGCGCAGUAGCGGCGGGAAGUACCACCGCCACCUCACCGGCGACCGGACUCGGCACUGCGCGUCUCUGCCUUGCGCAGACUUCCCCAAGCGAACCAGCGAUGGCCAGCAGCUCUAUUGCUCCCACCCCUAGGGGUGAAGGUACCCCUAUCUCUCUCACUCCCUCUCGGCACACACCAGAAACACCAUGUCCCUCAUGUCGUUUAUGAUCCCGACUAGAUAUGCAUCUAGAGAUCCUAGGCAUGAGUCUAACAUCUCCCGGGGAUCAGCUGCCAGAGCCAUUGAAGCCACAGGACAAGCUCGAGCUCCUCAAACAAGAUCUAGAAGAAAUACAUACCUUGCUUAUGGAUCUUUCAAGGGUGGAAGCUCCCAAGACCAUGGCCAAACUCUGGAUGAACCAGGUGCGUGAACUGUCUUAUGACAUCGAGGAUUGCAUUGACAAGAUGAUGCACCCCCCUUCCAAUACUGGCGACGAGAACCGCUUUGAUGUCGAAGAAUUUAAUACUCUAAUGAAGCAGGCAAGCGACGCCCGCAAACGAUACCACAGGUAUGAUCUUGGGCGUUGGGCAUCCAAUCCUACCUUUAGGGUCGUCAACAGGGAAGUGUGGGUUCCAACCAUGGACCUCGUUGGUAUUGGUGAUUCGAGGGCCAAUCCUAUCAAUUUGCUUAGCAACGAUGCAGAAAAGUUGAUGAAAGUAAUAUCUGUACUUGGACCUGUGGGUGUUGGUAAGACUACACUUGCCAAAGAAGUGUACCGUCAAAUGAAAGGACAAUUCAAGUGUCGAGCUUUUGUGCGAGCCUCAAAGACGCCUGAUACAAGGAGGCUUCUCCGGAGCAUCAUCUCGCAGAUCCAGCGCCAUCAACAACCUCCUCAUGGUCUCCCCGUGCAAGAGCUUAUUGAUUACAUAAGAAAACAUCUGCAACAGAAGAGGUAUAUAUGUUACACCCUAGUGCUCCAUCCUAUAUAUCCAAAAGCAAGUAGUAACCCUUUCGGACAAUCUGUGUGAUGCAAUUGAUUGAGGGUCACUGAAUUUACUAAAAAUCUAGAUGUACUAGUCGUUUUCCAUAUGUAUAUAAUCUCAAGUUCAGCUUUCUAUUUAUGAGUAGCAAAAAUGGGAAAUUUGAAAACUUUUAUAUUGAAAGGGAAAUAUGUUUAUUAACAAAGACAGAUGUUACUACAGACAACAAACAUUUUUUGCUUCUUCGAAGACACUUGGGUUUAUAGUUGAAUCUUUUAAAGUUUGAUAAAGUAAAUCCCAAUAUUUUGGAGCUUACAAACUCCAUUGCAUGCAAAGAUUGUGAGACCCAAUAGAUUGAAGUGAGUCUUUCAGAGAUUGUGAGACCAAAUAGAUUGUGAGCCAACAAUCCUUCAAAGUCAUAAUUUCUAAUUUGAAUUAUCAAUUGUCCUGGCACAACAUAUUUCUAACAUCUUAAAUUAUCUGGCAGGUAUUUUAUUAUAAUUGAUGUAUUAUGGGAAACAAUUUCUUGGGAUUUUGUUAACUAGUCCACCAACCCGUGCUCCCGCACGGGCUAAUAUUUUUAAAAGCUAUUGUAUUUAAAAAUUAUUUAGAAAUGAAACUCCUAGCUAAUAAUCAAAAUUGUUUAAUUACUACUCUCUUAUUUUUCAAUACUUCAACAUAAUACUUAUAUAGAUAUGUACCUACCUUUGUCCAGUUGUGAUUGAUUUUUAAUUAAUAAUUACUCUAUGCACUUUUUCAUCCAUAUUCAUACUUUUCCAUUUUGUAUCACACCUCUAAUCCUCCAUACAUUAUGUUUAGCAUACAAAUCAAUAUUUUUCAUUGAUUCCUCACAUACUUGUAUAAAUGGUCUAAAUGGUGGCACUCAUCAUAUGUAUAUACUUUAACUUAGUAUUUUUAUAUUAACAAUGAUAUAAAUAGGUAAUUUAGAAUCAUAUAUUAGUUUACUUUUUGACAUUUCUGAAUGAUGCACAUGAAGAUAAUUAGAUUAAGAUGUAGGUGUUUACUUUAUGUUAUUUUUAAUAACGACAUUCGUGGGUUAAUGAUAAAAUUUUAGAAUGACAUUUCAAGUUAUGCUUUAUAAUGAGGUGUAUUAGUAAAUUGGAUGAAUAUUACGGGGUUACUUUAUUUUUUAUAAUAGCUGAGCUCGAUAAUUUAGAUUUAGGUUUAGAGCUCAUUUUUGAAUAUUUUCACAAUAACAGUGGUGGGUAACUUUCUAGAAAAUAUAAUAGAUCAAUGACUAUGAUUAUUAUAGUUUACAAGAUUGAUGUUUUUUAAUGUUUAUGAGAAUUUGUCUCUUUUUUCUAGCUUGUCUCGUGGGAACUAAUACGGAGUCUCCAAUGGAAAAAAAAUAAGACUACAUUGCUACAAAACUAUUAUCAUAAGCUACCUCUCGUUUGUUAAAUAUUCAGACACAAUACUUAUGUAGAUAUAUAUUUAAUAUCUUCAUCAAAUUGUGAUAGAUUUUAGUUAAUAAUUACUCUAUAAUAUUUUCAUCCAUAUUUAUAAUCUUUAACCUUUCACUUUGCAUUGCAAGUAUACGCUUGAAUUUGUUUAAUGAAUCCUAAUUUUGAGAUACAAUUUUACCAUAGAAAUUUAUAUUCUCAUCACUUUAUAUCCUUGUAAAUGGUGACACACAUUAUACGUAAAGACCUUAAUUAUUAUAUCGUAUACCAAUAGUGUAAGAUAUAGACGAUUUAGAAUCCUAUAUUGCUGUAUAUUUUUAAUUAAGGUUAUUUGAUUAAAACGUAGGGUUACCUCAUGUUAUUUUUAAUAAUGGUAUGUGUGGGUAAUAUAGAUGCAAAUUUAAGGGGUUACUUUAAUAAUAAUAGUGGUAGUCAAUUCAGUUUCAAAUUAUGAGGUUAUUUUAAAUACUGUUUAUAAUGGCAUAAGUGGGUAAUUUUAAUGAAGAUUAAGGGGUUACUUUAGUUUAUUUUAUAUAAUGGUAGAGGUGGGUAAUUUAUAUAUAGAUUUAGGGGGUUACUUUAGGCUAUUUUCAUAAUGGCAUAGGUGGGUAUUUUUUAAAAAAACAUAAUAGAUCCAAUGGCUAUGAUGAUUUGAAUCUAUCGAUUGAUGGUCGGAUGUUUUUCUUUUUUGUGAGAAUUUUUAGGAUUUCUCUCUUUUUCUAGAGUGUCCACCUAGGAAUCCUAGGUGGCUUUAUCUGGAGGCUUUAAAAGGAGCCUCCAAUUAGUAAUAGUAAGAUGGUGCUUUUCCAGAGGGUAUUGAUUGUAGUAGAAUAUUAAUAACGACUGACAUUGAGGAGGUAGCUCUCGAGUGUUGUGAUUAUCAAUCUGAUUGUAUUUUUAAGAUGGAGCCACUAAGUAGAAAUAAUUCAAGAGAAUUGUUCCUCAAUAGAAUGUUCGGCUCCAAGCAUGAAUGCACUGAACAACUUAAGGAUGUUUCAGAAAAAAUUAUUGAAAAAUGUGGUGGUCUGCCACUAGCAACAAUUUGCACAGCUAGUAUUCUAGCAAGCCAAUCGGACAACUCAGAGCUAUGGCUGCAUGUCAAUGAAUGCUUAUCUAGCUUUAUAAGAAAGAAUCUUACUUCAGAAGGCAUGCUCAGCGAAAUAGUAGGGAUGAGCUACAAUAGUCUUUCGGACCAUUUGAAGACAUACCUACUGUAUCUUAGUAUGUACCCUGAGGGGUACACAUUCUUGAAGACCGAUUUGGUGAAGCAAUGGAUUGCCAAAGGUUUUAUCAGUGCAGUAGAAGGAAAAGAUACAGGCGAAGUUGCAGAGUUUUAUUUUGAUGAGCUUGUCUGCAGGGGACUCAUUCUGCCAAACUGUAUAGAUUUCUCAGAUGAGGAUAUCUUCUAUACAGUGCACUCCACAGUAUUUGAAGUAAUGAAGUUAUUAGGUGCAAGUCAAUGGAGGAGAAUUUUGCUACUGUUAUAGACUACUCUGAAGCCAUUACAAAGCUUUCUGCGAAGAUUUGUCGCCUGUCACUCACUUUCAGCAGUGCAAAGCAUGCAACAAAACCCGAUGGCAUCGCACUAUCAGAACUACGAUCUCUCACCUUCUAUGGGCUUGUCAACUGUCUGCCUUCAAUUAUGGAGUUUAAGCUACUUCGAGUUCUAAUCCUUGAAUUUUGGGGUGACAAAGAAGAGUUAGACAUCAUUGGAAUCAAUAAAUUGUUUCAGUUGAGGUGCUUGCAGAUUAGAACAGAUAUGACAGUAAAACUACAAGCUAGUAUGCAGGAACUUCUAUGUUUGGAAACACUCGAAAUGUAUGCAAGAGUAACGACAUUCCCAUCAGAUGCUUUUGUUCUCGCGAGAUUGUUGCAUCUAUGUCUCCACGAUGUGAUAAAUGUGCCUCGAAGGUAUUGGACACAUGAGAUCUCUUCGUACACUUCAAUGUUUUGACCUUAGCAGAAUCUCCAAUGGCAUUGUAUGGAGCCUUAAUGAGAUGACUAACCUGCGUGAUCUUCGGCUUACCUGCACUACAGCAUCGUGUGAGCAUCAUCUAAAGAGCAACUUGAUAGCUCUGAUGUCUUGCCUUGAGAAACUUGGCAACCUAAAAACUAUGAUUCUUGCUCCUUCUGCUUCUUGCACGAGCAUUAACUUGUGUUGCUCAGGCAUUGUAUCUUCUCUGCCCAUUUCUCUUGGGAGACUUGAGUUGUUACCACCCAUUUGUAUCUUUUCAAGACUGCCCUUAUGUAUGGGACAGCUCCAAAAGCUACGGAUUUUGAAAAUUGUUCUUGGGGAAUUGAUGGGAAGUGAUAUUUACAGCAUCGGCAGAUUACAGGAACUCACCAUUCUCUCUUUGUAUGUCAGACAACCAACUGGAGAACUCAUUGUCGUCAACCGUGCAGCAUUUCCAGUUCUAAAGUGUUUCAAAUUAAGAUGUGGUAUUAUGCGCCUUGCUUUUCAGGCAGAUGCAAUGCCUGGUCUUCAGAGGCUGAAGCUCGAAUUCAAUGCGCACAGUGGAGAGCAAAAUGGCAAUAUGCUUGCUGGCAUUGAACACUUGUUAAACCUCCAAGAAAUCACUGGCCGAAUUGGGGCAGCACCAGGUGCAGAGGAAUCGGAUAGAGUGGCUGCAGAGUCUGUGUUCAAGGAUGCCAUUAGCAAGCAUUCAAGACUUAUAAGCUUCAACCUACGAAUUGUCCAUUCCGUGGACCAAGAGUAUGGGGCUUUCUUCUUGAAAUUUCAUUGGACCAUUACAAUAUUCUGUUGCCCACUACUUGCAUUGAUUGUGCAGCGGCUUGGUGGUUUGCCCAUCCAGCUUUCAAAUUCCAGACUUUUGACUGAGAGUUCAAAAAAUCAAAAUCAGGGAUGGCAAGAGGCAAUUGAUAUUUAAUACCUUGCUUGAUCGUGUUUAAUCCAAUGGCUUUAAUCAUGGCGCCGGUUCUUGAGUUCCAUCUAUUUGCCGAUAUGUGCGCGGGAAACCACUUUUCAUAACAAAUCUGAUAAUGGCUUGUUCCACUACUGCUUUACUCCCAACGCUAUAUGAAUCACUUCUUUUAAGAUAAACUGUAAAAAUAGACCAACUAAUCCAUUCAUUAUUUCAUUUUUUUCAUGCUUUCUAUUUUUUACCAUUAAUCUUUUAGUUUUUUAGUCAUGAUUAUAGAGUUUUUGUGGCGCGCAUGCAAUUUAGUUCUUGUGGUGUGUGUAGUGUGAGAUAUGUACUCAGGUUGGACCCUAUCCGAUCCCAAUGCAUGUUUUUCUCUAUCUUAAUGAAAUGACAAGCAGUCUCCUACGUUGUUCAGAAAAAAAAGCAGAUUAGCUCAAGUAAUUGCAGGAGUAAACCAAUGUUUGUUAUUGUUUGGUCAUAUAAUUCUAGUUGGUAUGGUAGAAAUUUUGAUUAAAGUUACCAUCAAUUCUAAUGUAUGUGACUAAAUAUAUAUGUGAUGUGUAUAUGUGACACAUCCAAUGUAUAUACAGAAUUAUAAUAUAGCACUACCGAAAUAAGUAUACUUCUAUAAUAUGAAUACAUAAGCUACUGUGUGAUAUAUUUAAUUGUUUCUUAAUCUGUUCUCUCUUCUUGUUCUAAUAUAGUGGACGUUGUUGUUGUCAGGAUUCCCCAAUUUGCUGAUACUCCAGAAAGCUGUUCUGGUUCAGGUAAUAAAAUGUAGUUCAACUUACGAACUUUUUAUUAUUUUUCAUUGGAAAAUACAUUUGACGUACCAGAUUAUUAAUGAUUAUGUGCAAAAGUAUUAAGAAGAUAUAUAUUUAAAAAUGGUAAAUAAACUCACAACUGUGGUUUUCUUCUACCUGUGGUUUUCGUUUUCAACUUCCCACGGAAUGUCAAGAAUCCUGAAGAAUUUUUCAAUGGUUAUUUUUAUUUGCGGUCCUUUUUUACAAUUCCCCUCAAAAUGUCAAAAUGUUUUCUAAUGUAGAUCGGGGAUUUUAUUAUUAAGUUUUAUUUACUAGAUGUCCAAUGGUGUCGUUCGUUUGUCAAGAAUUAUCUGUGUUUUUUGUUGCUAAUUUGUUUUCCCUGGCCCAACAUAAAACUAAAUACCCCGGCCCAUGAAAUUUAAAGAAAUUUGUUAAGGAUAACAAAACCAUACGCCACUUACUAACUAAUUAAUGAGGGAAUUUCUCUGUUUUUCUUUUUAAGAAAAACAGUAAUUAUUACAAAAGUUAAAUAACUUGGACUUAAGAAAUUGCUUAUAAGUCUCAUGUUGGUCGCUUUUGUUUUCAAUAUAUUAUUCCUGUAAACCUUGAAUACCUUGAACAUCGGUUUGCCCACAAUUAAAAUAGUGGUACUGUAAUCUAAUUUCACAUAAAGGUUCCGUUUCACAACUGGGACAUUUUACUCUUUGGUUAGAAACCUAAAAUAUAAUUUAUAUAUAAUGGGAGAUACACAAUUACGAGUUACUGUAUUUGAGAUUAGUAAAAAGUGUCCCACCCUGAAUUACCGUGUCUUUCUUAGUAAACUAUUAAGUGUAGGCGAAAGGGCCUCUAGUGAAGUGGCGGUCUUAAGUGUAGGCGAAAGGGUCUCUAGCGAAGUGGCGGUCUUAAGUGUAGGCGAAAGGACCUCUAGCUAAAUGGUUAGACCACCUGAGUAACAUUUAGCAUGCCUGGAUUCGACUUCCUAUAGGAACGAAUUAAACGGGUUUAGAAUAAAAAAAUUAUAAAAAAUAGGUUGCGCUUCCCUAGUGACUUCGGUCAAAAAAGACUAUCAAGUGUAGAAUAGUAUUGUACACAAUGUAUAAAAGUAUGAAACCAUAUGAAGUCAACCAUUUUAUGUUUACAAAGUUAUUCUAAAAAAAAUUACUUCUAGGCAAGGAAAAGCUAAUAAUGCUCCUUCCUGUUAGAAAGAGUCCUAAUCUGAUGUGGAUAAGGCUCUGCACCUGGCUAUAGCCGGCCGAGUCCUGUUUGUAUUUGGUUAAGAUAGAGAUACGGGGAGGAGUCAUGAUCCUUUAAGUUUCCUUACGCCUAGGAUCCUUCUCCCCUAUAUAUGUAACUGUAUUGUCUCUCGAUUAAUCAAUCUACUAUUUCCAUGCAUCUCUAUUGCUUUCAUGGUAUAACGAGUUUAGGGUUCUUCUACUCAAUCUCGCUUCCGCUCCAGCGUGCCGUUUUCCCGGCGCAGCCCUAGCGCGCUUCCUUCUUGGCGCUGCUCCAGCUUGCCCCUCUCCCCCGACGCUGCUCCAUGGCUGGCACCACCUCUGGUGCUGCCAUCGUCAACCCUGGCAAGGUCCAUGACCCCGACACCAUCGCCGACGCUGCUGUGGAUCUCAAGCGCACUGAAGAACUUCGCGCUGCUGAUGAGGAACGCGAGCGCGUCGCCUAGGCCAAACGCGCGGCCGACCUCGCCCACGUGGCUGACGCUGAUCGCGAGGCUGCCCUUGCGCAGCAAGAACGCGACGCGGUUGAUGCUUGUCUGCGCGCCAACCGGACUGAAAGUUUCUGAAAAAUGAAUACCCGGUCUUUGAGUGAAGCCCCGAUGUACCCACCGUGCUUUAUACGGCUCAAGCGAACCAUCAGCCUUGAACUUGUGUUUGAACACCCACUUGCCGGUCACGACAUUAGAACCCGACGGUCAAGGAGUGAGAUCCCAAGUAUUAUUGGCGAGGAGAGCAAAAUAUUCUUGCUCCAUGGCGGCACGCCAAUUGGGAUCAGCGAGAGCUGCACGAUAACUCCAUGGCACUAGAGAUAAAACUGACACCUCAUGCUUGGUAUAGCCGAUUUCCUUCGCAUCUUGUUCAGUUUGGGUUUGUUUAGGCCAAGACAAAUACGUCCCUGUUCAUCUAUCAUCACGGUGGGGAUCUGAUCUACUUGUUGCUCUAUGUCGAUGAUAUUGUGCUGACUGCUUCCUCGGCGGCCCUGCUACAGCGUACCAUCCAUGCCUUACAGCAAGAAUUCUCCAUGAAGGAUCUUGGUCGGUUGCAUCACUUCCUCGGCAUGCAUGUUCAGCACACUGCCUCAGGUCUAUUUCUUUCUCAGCGCCAGUACAUGGUCGACAUCCUUGAGCGGGCUGGUAUGAGUGACUGCAAACCGUGUACCACGCCUGUUGAUGUGAAUCCCAAGCUUGCAGCAGAUGGUGUACUAGUUAAGGAUGUUACAGAUUUCCGCAGCCUGGCAGGUGCUCUUCAGUAUCUGACUUUCACUCGACCGGAUAUUGUGUACGUCGUUCAGCAAGUUUUCUUCACAUGCACGAUCCACAGGAACCGCAUCUAGCUGCUCCCAAGCGCAUCCUGCGCUAUGUUCGGGGCACAUUACAUUUGGGCCUUCAUGUGUGCCCCUCCUCUCAGACCAACCUGGUCGUUUAUUUUGAUGCUGAUUGGGCCGGUUGUCUAGAUACUCGCAAGUCCACUUCUAGUUAUGCUGUGUUCCAUGGUGCCAAUCUUGUCUCAUGGUCGUCCAAGCGUCAGAAUACGGUCUCUCGCUCUAGCGCUGAGGCUGAGUAUCGGGCGAUCGCCAAUGUCGUUGCUGAAGUGACCUGGCUUUGUCAGUUGUUGUCCAAGAUGCAUGUUCCCUUGCGCAAGACAACACUGGUCUAUUGUGACAACAUCAGCUCAGUUUAUAUGUCUUCUAAUCCUUUCCAGCAUUAGUGUACCAAACAUGUGGAGAAUGAUCUUCACUUUAUCAGAGAGCGUGUUGCCCUUGGUGAUGUUCGUGUUCUUCACGUGUUGGCGACAUCUCAGUUCGUGUCACACCCGAUUUUUGGACAAAACCGAAUGCAUAGCAUAUGUGUGCCAGGAUCCGUUCUCACACAUAUGUUGACUUCAUAAAUGAAUACAUCAAAAACAGUGUUCAAAAACGUAAAUAAAAUUAGUAGAUAACUUAUUACACUCCGAGAGGUAGACAUGAAGGUCUUUAAUCGUUCCCCGAUAACUUAACACGCACACACACAGCGAAGCUUCUCCAUAGGCUUGACUGGUGAACACUCACCUAGAACUCCUCGAAGUCGUCGAAGAACUCCGCUUCGUCACAAGCUUCUGAACAGCGUUUGGGCAAGGGUGAGUACACUUAUGGUUGGUACUCAGCAAGUGGGGGAAACAUGCAAGGCUCACAAGGAGAGGCUCAAUGGCUUUAAGCGGUUAGCAUUUUAGUUGGUCAAAUUUUAUUAACAACACCUAUUUACUAGAUGUAAGUUUAUACCAACCCACUUAGGCAUAAAGCAUUAACAAAAACCUGGAGAUAAAGGAACCACGAUUUGUUCUCAUCUUUAAGCUCAAUUAUCAUGUGAGGGUCCAGACCGCUCUUAACCAUGAGCACAGCUAAUAUAUCAGUUUUACACUCUGCAGAGGUUGCACAUCUUUACCCACAAGUUGCGUAAAAUUUCAAAAGAACUUUAAACCCAACCAUGCUGUGUGGGCCAGGCACAAUACCACACUUCCGAGGUGUGAUUGCAUAGGGACGCUACGAGGUCUUUACAAAGAUUCCCUAGUAAGAAGUAGUCUGCUAAGGUUUCCAGAUCGGUAGCAGGAUAUAGCAGCCCCUUAGUGGGUACAGUGUCUUAGCAAAGCCUACUCCUCAAGAGAGUGGGUGCUAAAUCCCAUAUACCACCGCCCUCUUGCCCUUUCGGUAAGAUCGCUUCAAACUAGAGUUUCUAAUUAAUUACCCAAGACCAGAGCCAUGAUAGUCCUUGCGGUUGUACUAUUUUCCUAGGUGGUUCUCCAUGUUCUGAUUAAAUCAAGUGAUCUUGUAUUAACACAGGUAUAGCAUAAAUAAAGGUCAUGAUUAAUAUUCUCAAAAUUAAGCAACUAAGCAAUUCUACCCAACAUGAUUAAACAUGUGUUCAAGGAUCAGGAUUAAAAACUAGGUAAGUCCUUAAUAGGCAUUGCCGUCAAAUUAUGCACAUACAGGAAAUUAAUAAAGUGAAUAAUCAUAUUAUUGGGAUGAAAAAGAAUAUGCAGGGGGAGAUAACCACUUGCCUUCCUCGGCAAAUUGGAAGUACUCAUCUUCAAAUGGUUGCUGCUCCUGACCUUGACCUUCCUCGAAUGGCACUUCAUCUACACGAUCACACAAGUAAAGCAACCAUAAAUAAAACAGUACACCAAACAUGACAAAAGACUGAAAACAAACUCCUAAAACUAACAUUUAUGAUGAGACGGUCACGUGAGCGCAAGAAUAACUAAAAUCGGAGUUAAAGCGGUGAAGACAUGGAGUAAACAAGUUUCAGGGGCUAAAACAGAAUUAACUAUAUACUUCAGGGGCUAGCAAGGAAUUUUCACAAGACUCAGAGAAUAGUGCUUGCGAAUACAGAAAGGUACAGGGUUAGAUAUGCAAGAUUACAUGGCUUAGGUUGAAAAGCUAGUUAAUACUUCCACGUGAGUGGACUUUUCUCUGAAUUUACAGUAUAUCUUGUGGCAGUGAAUGAGACCCCUAAAACUGUCAGUGAUUUCUUGGCCCAACUAACGAGCAAUAUCAUGUGUAUAUAGCUUUACACUGCAGAUAUUGCCGAUAUUAGAAUGUGGCGGGGGAAGCCCGAGCGGCUAGAGUGGAUGGUGGGGGAGGAUGAGAGGAGGGAGUGGGAGGUCUCACCAGCAUCGAUUGCGGAUGGGGGAGGCUCCGACGGUGGAGAACAGAGACGCAUGAACUAGGAACCGAGCGAGAUCCCGGUGCUGGCGGCAGCGAUGCUUGGGGUGGGGGAAAGGUGGGUGAGUGGUGGAAUGGAAAGAGGAGCUCCGGUGGAGAGGUUUGGGGGGCUUCAUAGGGCGCGAGGAGGAGCAGAAGGGGCGCCUGGGGGAGGUGAAUCGGGCGGCCGGCCAUUGAAGGCCAUGGGAGUGGGGGGCUCCGUUUACAGGAAGGGGAAGGGGAAAUGAGGGCGGCACACACGCGUGGAGGUGCGGCACAAGGAACUGAUGCGGUGCUUGAAGUUAGGGAGGCGCGGGAAGGUGAGGGGGCCCCAGGCUGCACCGUGCGCAUGCGUGCAAGGGAGAAGUUGCGCCUGGAUGGAGGAGAGGGAUGACCCUGACGGGUGGGUCCUACCUGUCAGUGGGAGAGGGGAGAUAGGCUGCUAGUUGGGCCACUUGGGCUGGCUAGAGAAAGAGAUUGUUGGGCCAAAAGAAAGAGGAAGAAAGAUUGGGCCUGCUUGGUUAGAUUGGAGAGGAAAAAGGGUUUUAUUAUUUUUUUUAAACUUGCAAACACCACUCAAACAAAACCAAAAUGAAAGAUAAAACCCUAUCAAGCACUUGUUCUCUCUAAAAUUAAAUUCGAGUGCUCUUUCAUUUAUUUAAGACCAUAAUUUAAUAUUAUUAAUUUAUUUAAUCCAUAGAGAACAAAAACUAGACCGAAAUUGCUUACAUUGCAUUUAUGAUGGAAUUUUGGGUGUUACAAAUCCUACCCCCUUAAAGAGAAUCUCGUCCUCAAGAUUCGGAAAGAUUGGAAAACAACUGAGGAAAUUAUUCGAUAAGCUCAUCUUCUCUUUCCUAAGUAGCUUUAUCUUCCGAGUGAUGACUCCAUUGUACUUUGCACAUUCUGAUUACUUUGCUCUGAGUGACUCUCUAAGAUGUUUCCAAUAUUUUGACAGGAUACUCCGAAUAGGUCAAAUCAUCCUUCACAUUGAGUUCUUCCAGUGGUAAUUGUUCUUCGAGUACUCUGAGACACUUCUUCAACUGAGAUACGUGAAACACAUCAUGAACAUCUGACAGUCGAGCUGGUAGUUCUAUCUGAUAUGCCACUUCUCCUUUUCUUUCCAAAAUUUGAACUGGUCCAAUGUAAUGAGGUGAUAGCUUCCCUUUAACCUUGAAUCGACGAAGACCUCUAAUAGGUGAUACCUUGAGAUACAUGUAAUCUCCAACUUCAAAUGUUAAUUCCCUCCUCCAAGUAUCAGCAUAACUCUUCUGUCGUGACUGUGCAGUCUUGAGAUUAUCUCGAAUUAUCUGAACUUAUCUUUCAGCUUCUUUAAGAAUUUCCGGUCUAAAGACUGGACUUUCUCCUGUCUGACUCCAUUACAACGAUGUUCUACAAUUUCUUCCAUAUAACGCUUCAAACAGGGUCAUGUUAAGACUUGCUUGAUAACUGUUGUUAUAAGAGAAUUCCGCGUAAGGCAAACUCUUAUUCCAACUACCUCCAUGCUUUAAAGCACAAGCUCUUAACAUAUCUUCUAAGAUUUGAUUAAUUCUCUCAGUCUAACCAUCUAUCUAUGGAUGAUACACAAAACUAAAAUUAAGCUUUGUAUCCAUUGACUCAUGUAGCUUCUGCCAAAAAUGUGACGUGAAUUGAGUACCUCGAUCAGAUACUAUUUUCUUCGGAACACCAUGUAGACAUACAAUCCUUGACAUAUACAGCUCCGCUAACUUAACUCUACUAUAGGUUAUUUUAACCGGUAUGAAAUGAGCAACUUUAGUCGAUUUGUCCACAACAACCCAUAUGGAAUCAUAACCAUUGCGAGUACGAGGUAACCCAACGAUGAAAUCUAUUCCGAUCUCUUCCCAUUUCCAUUCAGGUACUUUCAGUGGUUGAAGUAAACCGGCUGGUCUUUGGUGCUCUACUUUUACUCUUUAACAUACAUCACACAAAGCAAUGUGGGUUGCUACAUCCCUUUUGAAACCAUACCACCAAUAUUUCUCCUUCAAAUCCUGAUACAUCUUAGUACUACCAGGGUGUAUGGAAGAAGCUAAAUUGUGUGCUUCCUUCAAUAUGCGUUCACGAAGAUGGUCGAUCUCUGGUACACAGAUCCUUUUCGUGAAUCAAAUAGUUCCUUGAUCAUCUUCAGUGAAGUCUGGGGCCUUUCCUAAACCAAUUUGGGUGUUGAUCUCCUUGAUUUUAGCAUCUGUCAAUUGCCCUUUUCUUAUCUCUUAUUCCAGUGUAGGCUCAAUUUCUAUGGUCCUAGCUUCAGUAUGGGCAACGAUUCCUAAGUUGAGUCACUCCAUUCCCCAACAUAACUCUUGAGACAUCAACUGUGCUAUAGUCACAUUAGCUUGACCUUUUAGGCUUAAAGCGUCUGCUACGACAUUUGCCUUGCCGGGGUGAUACUGAAUAUCCAAGUUAUAGUCCUUGAUCAACUCUAACCAUCUGCGCUGCCUUAAAUUAAGAUCUCUUUGAGUGAAUAUGUACUUUAGGCUUUUGUGGUCAGUGAAGAUCUGACACUUGUUCUCGAUCAUGUAAUGUCUCCAAAUCUUUAAUGCAUGCACAACGACAGCUAAUUCCAAGUCAUGAGUUGGAUAAUUUUGUUCAUUCUUUCUCAACUCAUAAGCUACUACUCUACCUUCUUGCAUUAGUACAUAUCCAAGACCUAGACAUGAAGGGUCACAAUAAACAUCGAAGCCUUUGUGUAUAUCAGGCAUUAUCAUUACAGGAGCAGUAGUCAACUUCUUCUUCAGCUCUUCAAAACUCGCUUGACACUUGUCAUCCCAUUUAAACUCUUUUCCCUUUUCCAAUAAUGAGGUUAGAGGUUUGACGAUCUUUGAGAAACCUUCAAUAAAUCUGCGGUAAUAACAUGCUAAUCCAAGAAAACUUCUGAUUUUGGACACAUUCUUGGGCGGAUUCCAAUUCAACACAUCUUGAACUUUGCUUGGGUCUACUGUGAUUCCUCCAUCGGUGAUAACAUGUCCAAGGAAGGAAACUUCCUUCAACCAAAACUCACACUUACUAAAUUUGGCAUAUAGCUGAUUCUCCCGAAGCUUCUGUAACACUAAUCUUAAGUGAUCUUCAUGCUCUUAUUUAUUUCAAGAAAAAAUACCAAGAUAUCAUCGAUGAACACUACCACAAACUUGUCUAGGUACUCCAUAAACACCUUGUUCAUCAAAUACAUGAAGUAUACUAGGGCAUUCGUCAAUCCAAAAGACAUCACAGUGUAUUCAUAUGAGCUGUAUCUGGAUGUAAAUGAUGUCUUGGGAAUAUCUUCUGCUCGAAUCUUCAACUGAUGAUAGCCUGAUCGCAGGUCAAAAGAAUUUUGCACCUCUCAUCUGAUCAAACAGAUCUUCAAUCCUAGGAAGUGGAUAUUUAUUCUUAAUAGUCACAUCAUUAAGAGCUCUAUAUUCCAUGCACAUUCUUCUGGUGCCAUCCUUUUUAUCAACAAAAAGUACGGGUGCUCCCCAAGGUGAAGAACUAGGACGGAUAAAUCCUUUACUUAAUAAUUCUUUUAUUUGUUUCUUUAACUCAACCAAAUCCUUAACAUCCAUUCUAUAAGGUCUUUUAGAUAUAGGUGAAGUGCUGGGUAAAAGAUCAAUAGAGAACUCGACAUCGCGGUCAGGUGGCAUACCUGGUAAAUCCUCAGGAAAGACGUCAGGGUAUUCACAUGCAACAUUGAGAUUCUCCAAAGAUUUUCCUUUUAUCUGGUUCACUAUACCCUUUUCUUCAGACGGGGCAGUAGCCACAAACUCAAUUCUAUCCCCUUAGGGCUGGUUAAAAGCACUGACUUCUUGGCACAUAGGAUAAUUCCAUCACAUACUUCUAACCAGUUCAUUCCAAGAAUCACAUCAAUACCAUUGGAGUCAAGGACCACUAGGUGAGCUACGAAAUCUACCCCCAUGAUUUUCAAAUUGACUUGUGGGCAUAUUCAACUUGUUCUCAUCUUACCACCUGGUGAGCUAACUAGCAAAGUUUUCUUCAUAGGUUGUAAAGGUAUGUUAUGCUUUGCCACAAAUCGAUCGGUUAUAAAUGAGUAUGAUGCUCCAGAAUCAAAUAAAACUUAUGCAGGUUCGGAAUUGACAAGGAACAUACUGAAUACAACAUCUGAAGCUUCCUUGGCCAUUUCUGCUGUCACAUGGUUCACCCUACCAUGCAUGAAGUUAUGAUGGCCCUUGUGUCCCUAAGAAUUCGGAUUUCCACUACGUGCUUGAGACUGUUGCUGACCAGAAUUUUGACCAUUGUUCUUCUGCGGGGUCUGCAUGUUAUGUUUGGGACAGGUGUUGGCAUAAUGUCCCACUUCACCACACUUGGAACAGCCAUUGGGUCGAACCGGGGUAAUUGGAUUGUUACGCAUUGGUGCUCCUGUGGGCAUUAUUUGCUCGGUUUUGCUGUGGGUUUGAGGUGUGUUGUACCUGUUGGUUGAAACGUUGAGGUUGCUGAGGGAAAUGUUGAAACUGCUGAUUCUGUUGAUAACCUCCUUGUCCUCCUGAAUGAAACUGUGAUCCCUGCAACGAGUUGAAGCGAGGGCGAGUGUUGCCGCUAGAUUGCCCUUGCGACUGAAACUUCCUCUUUUGUUCGCCUAGUUCCUUACGCUUGUUCUCCAAGCCAAUGGCUUUGUCUAGCAGAAUUUGGAAAUUGGGGAACGUGUGACUCUGUAGCUGAUAAUUAAGUGGUCCAAUCAGACCAUCCAACAAACGCUCUUCUCUCUUCUCAUCUGUGUCCACCUCAUUGGGCGCGUAUCGAGACAGCUGUGUGAACUUGUCGUGAUACUCGCUAACUGACAUGUUGCCUUGCUUCAAAGCCAAAAACUCCUUUUGCUUGAGCUUCAUCACACCAGCUGGAAUGUGGUGUGUGCGAAAGCUGUUUCUGAACUCUUCCCAAGUAAUGGCAAUUGCAUUGGCGUGGGCAGUGGUGUAGGCAUCCCACCAAUCGGUUGCGGCUCCUUCCAAGCAUCCUGCAGCGUACAAGACCUUCUCAUGGUCAUUGCACUGUGUAAUAUCCAGCUUCUUACUGAUGACCUUCAGCUAGUCAUCAGUGUCCAAAGGAUCCACUGAGUGGGAGUAAGUGGGAGGGUGGUGGCUCAUGAAUUCCCUGUGCUUGUCUCGCGGUGCCUGAGGUGCUUGUGGUGGUUGCUGGUUUUGCUGGGCUUGCAAAUUCUGAACAGUAGCAGUGAGGUUCUGCAGCAGUUGCAUCUGAGCAGCCAAAAAUUGUUUCAUUGUUGAACUUGGUGGCGGAGGUGGUGCUUGAUUCUGCUGAUUAAUUAUGUGAGCACGCCUCUUACUUGGAACAUCUUGUCCUCCUUCUGACCUGCUUUUACCAUCUGAGUGUUAGAAAAAUGAAUCUCGAUAAGAAUGAUGUUUUGAUAAGGUAGAUAUAAGAGCAAAGAAUCAAGAUUGAGACCCAACAGACUAUUAACUUUAUUUUAUUUAAUGAUGCAUUUGUGGCCAUCAAUCCACAAAACAUCCCGGACAAUACAAAGAUCCAAAUCAAAUAUGUUUUCAAACAGCAAACAUUAUUACAUCACACGUCCUCGCAGGAAUGGUUCUAUCGAAAGACUCUGGAAGGCAACCUUAAAAGAAAACCUAGUCUAAAAGACCGGUGACCGAGCUAGACGUGCCAUAGCAAAGCCUCUUGCGGGGUGGUGAAGCGGUGGGGUAGUGGAGCUCGGCUGCCUCGUCUGCAAGCUAUGCCUCAAGCUGUGCGAUCCUAGCGUGAGCAUCCUGCAGCUCCUCAUGGAUCUUGGCAAGAUCUGCUGUAGCUCCGUCGAGGUCGGUGUUGAGAGUAGCGGUGACUCGAGCAAGGAUGUUGAUACAGUCUUCUCCGGCUUCUCCCAACUGUACAGCUGUGUCCUCGGUGCCACUGACUCAGCGAGGAAGGUGUCGGUAGGUAGUGGUUCUCAACUCUUGGCGGUGGGUGAAGCAGAGGGCCGACAGAGCUCUCCUGGCAGCAUCGCUGACGACUGCGAUGUAGGUGGCGUGAGGCGUAGUGGAGUCGUGUGCCAUGCAAAUCCUCAAGCCUCUGGAAGUCGCCAACCGUUCCCUGAUGUGGACCUGAGUGGCGUAGUAGUGGUUCAUGAUGGAGUAGGAGACACGGUGAGUGACGUAGAGGGGCUUCAUGGUGUUUCCCAAAGUCUACAGUACUUCCCAGAGCAGUGUGGGAAAGUAUCCAAGCUCAUCCUCUGAAGUCUGGUAGUCACAAGCUGGUGUUACAUUCUGUUGUCCACCAUUCUGAUUCCCAUCUUCAUCUCCACUGUUGUUAUCAUGGCUACUGUCGUGGUCAUUGUCGCUGCUGUGAUCAUUGUUGCUGUUGUAGUCAUCGUCAUCCUCAUCCUCAUCUUCGCUGUCAUUCCCGGAGUCAUCGGGGUCUCCACCAUCGGCAGCAAGUGCUGGAGCAAGAUCAGCUGGUGCUGAAGCGUCCGAUGCAGAAGCAGCUAGUGCAAGAGCAUCUAAAGCUGGGGCAGCUGGUGAUGCUGUCGGGAUCACCAGAUUCUCAUUCGAGUCGACCUCCAUGAUGCUGCCGUCUUCCAUCUCGAUGUAGUAGUAAACCUUCUCUGGAUCCUCUUUAACCUCCUCCACAGGCUAAAUCGGAGUAGCUGGCUGAGCAGGGGCAAGGCGAGCCUUAUAUCCUGCAGUGCUUUUACGAGCGAUCAACCUGGUCCGGGCCAUCUAACAGAGGAAGAGCAGAUACUUAGAACAAAACCAAAAGGAGACAAGUUUUUGUGACAAAGAACAAAAAUAAAUUAGAUUUUUUAAUGAGGAAAAUAAGAUAUUUUUGAGCAAACAUGGCUUGCUAAGAAAAUGAGUCCUUAUUCUCGAUCAUUUCUAACUAGGCUUGCGUCCUACAGUCAACAUAAAUAAACUCAGAGAAUAGUGCUUGCGAAUACAGAAAGGUACAGGGUUAGAUAUGCAAGAUUACGUGGCUCGGGUUGAAAAGAAUGUAUAUAAGAACUAUAGGGGCUUCUCUGCAAGAUUGGCUAGACACAAGGAAUAAGAACAUAAAUAAACAGAAACUCCACGGGCUAGAACGUGAAAUCACCAUCUUCUUCCUCCUUUUACCAGAGGCACGGCGCAGCCAUGGCUGGCGCCUGGCUGGCGCUCCAGCGUGGCGGGGGAAUCCUAGGCGGCUAGAGUGGAUGGUAGGGGAGGAUGAAAGGAGGGAGUGGGAGGUCUCACCAGUGUCGAUUGCGGAUGGGGGAGGCCCGGCGGUGGAGAACAGAGACGCACGAGCUAGGAACCGAGCGAGAUUCCGGCGGCGGUGAUGCUCAGGGCGAGGGAAAGGUGGGUGAGUGGUGGAAUGGAAAGAGGAGCUCUGGUGGAGAGGUUUGAGGGGAUUUAUAGGGCGCGAGGAGGAGCAGAAGGGGCGCCCAGGGGAGGUGAAUCGGACGGCCAGCCAUUGAAGGCCAUGGGAGUGGGGGGCUCUGGUUAUAGAAAGGGGAAGGGGAAACGAGGGCGGCAUGCACGCAUGGAGUUGCAGCACAAGGAACUGAUGCAGUGCUUGAAGUUGAGGAGGCGCAAGAAGGUGAGGGGGCCCCAGGCAGCACCGUGCGCACGCGUGCAGGGGAGAAGUUGCGCCUGGAUGGAGGAGAGGGAUGACCCUGACGGGUAGGUCCUACCCGUCAGUGGGAGAGGGGAGAUGGGCCAAAAGAAAGAGGAAGAAAGAUUGGGCCUCCUUGGUUAGAUUGGAGAGGAAAAAGGGUUUUAUUAUUUUUUUAAACUUGCAAACACCACUCAAACAAAACCAAAAUAAAAGAUAAAACCCUAUCAAGCACUUGUUGUCUCUAAAAUUAAAUUCGAGUACUCUUUCAUUUGUUUAAGACCGUAAUUUAAUAUUAGUAAUUUAUUUAAUCCAUAGAGAACAAAAACUAGACCGAAAUUGCAUACAUUGCAUUUAUGAUGGAAUUUUGGGUGUUACAGUUCGCCAACAUCUUCACCAAAGGACUGUCAUCUUCGGUCUUCACUGAAUUUCGAUCUAGUCUCAACGUUCGCUCCACGAACGCUUCAAUUGCCGGGGGGGUUGUUAGAAAGAGUCCUAGUUUGAUGUGGAUAAGGCUCUGCGCCUGGUACAGCCGGCCGGGUCCUGUUUGUAUUUGGUUAAGAUAGAGAUACGGGGAGGAGUGAUCCUUUAUGUUUCCUUUCACCUAGGAUCCUCCUCCCCUAUAUAUGUAACUAUAUUGUCUCUCAAUUAAUCAAUCUACUAUUUCCACGCAUCUCUAUUGCUUUCAGUUUCAAUAAAAGAAAAUUGAAUAUCUAACUAUUUUUUUGUUUUUCAAGACGUGACACUCAAUUGUUCGUCGAUAUCUGAUGGCAUCAGUGAGGUAGACGAGGUAGAUACUAUUCAAGAAUUGUUGCCAUUCAACAAUGCAAAUUCAACAGAUAAUAUAUUAUUGUUACCGAAAUAUAAGGUGUAUCCUUAAAUCCAUAAUGAAUAGUGUAGUCAUAAACUCCAAGGAAGUUUUCAAAUUAAUCUGAUAAAAAUAAAAAUAUCUAGCCAUUUAUUUAAUGAGAAAUUUUAGAGUGCUUGAAAAAAAUAAGAACCGUCCAUCCGGCGAAAUUGAAUAGUGGAAACAAAGUAAGUAUCAUGAAGUACCUAAAGAAAAAUACCAAUUUCAUGGAACCAAGUAAAAAAUAGCGAGAAAUUACUAUGAUGCUCUUUUAAUUAUGUGUAGAUCUAUUUAAUUUUUUUAAGCAAGAUAAGAAAGGUACCUGACUGGUACUUUACGUUUGAAGAGUUUAGUUACAAUGCUUUUAAAGUACUAGUGACACUUCCAGGUACUUUCCUUUCUUACCCUUUUUACCAAAAAAGAAUUAAAUAUAUUUAAACAUAAUUACAAGGGCAUCAUGAUAAUUUCUUACUAUUUUUGGUACUUGAUCCCACCAAAUUAGUACUUCUUGGUAUUUUUCUUUAGGUACUUCAUGGUACUUCCUUUGUUUCCAUCGUUCAAUUUCACCGGAUAGACAGCUCUCAUUUUUUUUUCAAGCACUAAAAAAUUUCUCAUGUUUGAAAUGUUAGAUUAUCUUUAGGGAUGUGCAUACUCACGGUCGUUCCCCAUAUGGUUACACAAUUUUUUUUCAUAGUUACCAUCUGUAGUUGUCAGACUCGCGAUCUCAUGUCUCGCCUGUAGCACAUUAUAUACACAUCUUUAGUGCCAUUCAAGUGUUGUUUUCAUACAUACUCUUAUACUAACCCACCACUAGCAGAAGCCAAUCGGCCCAGGGCUUCUUGGCCUCCACCGACGCUCAUAUUUGGCAAGUAAUCCUUCGAGAUGACUUAGGGGCUAUGUUUGUGAAGAUAUGGCAAGGAUCACUUCGGGAUCAAAGAGGAAUCAAAGAAGAUCAAGCAGAGAUUUGGAAAGUUAUUGAAGAUCAAUCUCAUCCCGAAGCUACUGACAUGCCAGGCCCACAUGGAUACAAAAAUAAGCUUACAGAACAUCUAAGAAGACUUGGGAACGAAGCAGAGCACGAGACGAGGAAAGGAAGGCCCAGGCCGAUCGGCCUAGAACCCCCUAGGCCGAUUAGCCUGGGGUGUUUCCUCAUCCUCUCGCCUUCCAAUUUCUACCACACAGUCUCCAGGCAAUAAAUACUCCAAAAAAUCACCCGGCACGGGAAGGAAUCAAUUAGAAGUCGGUGAAACCAAGGGAGACACACCAUAGGGAGCUGAGGGCCGUGCAAAGUCUUUGAGGUUGUCUAGGUGAUGACUUAGGCUAGACCCUAGCUGCCAUGGUUGUCCCUGCGUGGCGAAGCCAUGGUGGAGUUCCGAAGCUGAUCCUUGUGAUCAUAAAGGCUUCUGUACACACGAUGGUGAUAUCAAUCUACUCUAGUCUUUACUGUAAUCUACUAUGAUGCAUGCUUUCUCUCAUAUGUUCUCGGCUGGCAUAUGUUUUUAGUCGGAAUAAAUGUAAUCAUGGUGAUUAGUCUAUAUCUUGCGGAUACAUCUUAGUAGUGCGUAGGAAGUUGGUGUGAUUAUCCUUGCGUGGUGACAGCAUGCGGGAGGGAAAAGGCUGAAGAAUUAUGUAAUCUUUAUCAAGGUACGAGAUAGAUUGGUUACCACUUUGGCUGGAGCUACAACAAGAAGACAACAGGCUCAAGCUACCCUUCGGUUGUGCUUUAUUGUAUAUAUAUUUGGAUGUGAUCUACCCUUAUUCAUGAUAUCAAUCUCUACACCAAGGUUACCUUUAUAUGCAAUAAGUGCUUAUUAAUAGGAUUAGAUCUGUAUAGCUAGAUAGAGAACUCUAGUCAGUUCGCUGUUGAUUCACGGAUUGAUAAACCUUGGAUGGAAUACUCUAAGGGAAAAGCUACGAUGAUCUAUGCCUUUACGGUACAGCAUUUGGUGUGCUUAAGUGCCAUCAACAGCCAACGUGUGCCUCCACUGCACUCCCUGAUGACGGCCUGGAUGACGGGGGAGCCACGCCGGCCAUGGCGGCCACAGCGCCGUACACGGUGGAUCCUUGGAGGCGCCUGCGUGCCCCUACUUUGCAAGUCUAGGUCGGAGACCCGUGCACCCGAGCUCCGAGCCCCCCUGCUUCGACCGCGGUCAACGUCCAGGCGAAGGUUGCCAAGCUGCUGCUCCACCUCCUAUCGUGCUUCUGCUACCUCCUCCUGCACCUCCUCCACCUCCAGCCACCGGGCGGCAGUGGUAGCCGCCACGUCUUGGGUCACAACCGCGGCCUGGUGCUGAAAGGAAUCGGUGCUCGUAGCCUUAGAGGGGGAGGUGGUGAAUUAGGCAACUUAAAAACUUAACCUAUGACUUCCACUACUUUACAUGCAUGUAAACUAGACCAUUCUAUACUAGAAGUACAUUCUAUGGUUGAUUUAGUGUGGAACCCUCAUCCCAAAACAAGUUUUACAACCUAUAGCUAAUCCUAUCAAGAUACUACUCUAGGAAAGUAAAGGCACACAAGUUGCAAGUAUGAAAUGCGGAAACAUAAGAGGUUAGGAUGAGGGGAAACAAACUCUUGACAUGAUGAUAUUUAUCUCAUGGUAUUGGUAGGCACUAAGCCACCACUAUUCCACAUUGUUGAAGCACUCACAUAAGAGUAUUGCUUUCCGGUCACCAAAUCUCUCCCAAGGUGCCCCUUGACUUGCCACAAAGGCUCAGCCACUAAGGCUCACGCCAAGUCCCUCGUGACUUGCCACAAAGGCUCGGCCACUAAGGCUCAUGCCAAGUCCCUUGCUCACCUUGAUGUCGUCUCCACUAAGAAGCUUCCAUGAGUCAUCAUCAUCAUCAUCAUCUUCACUUGAGCUUCCAUGAGUUGCCAUCUUUCUCAACUUCUUCUCUUAUUGACUUGAAAGAGCAAGGGUUUGAGUUGGAGAAGAUGGUUCCUUGGGCUUGUCCUUGAGUUGCAUCUUGGGCUUGUCCAUUAGCUGGAGCUCAAAUGCUAUAAUCAUUUUAAGGAUAUUAUUUGGAGUAAACUCAUCAAGCUUCUUCUCAAAGAGAAUUGCCUUUACCAAAUCAUAAUCUGAGCCUUGGAUUGAUUGAAUAAUCAACCCGAGGGUCUUGAAUCUUCAUGGAAGUCAUCAUCCAAGUAGUCUUGCGGCGUCCAGCCCCCGAGCUUAUGCGCCAGGUGAACCGUAGGAGCCACGUCGAGUAGCUUUGUAGUGUUCAGCCCCCGAGCUUGGGAGCUAGCUGAGCCACUGGAGAUAUUCUGAGUAGUGAUUGGUGCUUAGCCCCUGAGUUCGGGAACUAGUUUGUGCCUCUAGAGGCAUGCUUGGUGUCGCGACGAGCGUCGUCGCCAAAGCUUGACCUGAAAGAAAAGGCGCGUACAUUAUGUAGCAUAUUUGUAGGAUACUUGAAACCGCUGAAAUUUAUUCAGCAAUCAAUGUAAACAUUAUGUGCCAUGCUCUUGUUUCAGUCAUACUCUUUCCGAGUAGUUAGCCUGUUACAUUUUAGGCUCAGUCCCCGUUUAGUUGUAGCCACUGCGCGUGUGAGAGCUUUGUCUCGUGCACUCAUAUGGGCACUGCUGUGUGCACAACUGAGAGCUUGGUCUCAUGUAUGUGUGCUAGCAUUUGGUGUCACAGGUGCACCCGAGGCUUUCACAAGUUAAGGCAUGUUCUGCUCGAGAAGAGUAGUGACCUUAAGAGAAGACAAAAAGAAAUAGUCGCUGUUGCAACAAAAAGAGAGCGUGGUAGCGCGAAAGAGUUUGCUGUACUCCGGCGAGUAGAGCGCGUGUUGUGCGUAAGAGCUUCCGGUGAGUAGAGCGCGUGUUGCGUGCAAGCGAAAAAUAAGCUGGAAAAUAACUUAGAAAAAAUAACUUAGCUUGAUUCGUGGAUGAUUGUUGACGAAGCCGUGACGGUCGUUGAUGAAGCCGUGAUGGUUGUUUACGAAGUUGACUAGUCGGAGGCGAUUCUGACUUGUUGUCGACGAUGCAAAGUUUGCCCCGACUAAUUUUUUAGUCGAGAUGAGGAGUUGGAGUAGUCCACCCUCGACUAGCCUUGGAGUCGAGACGAGUAGUAGAAGUAGUCAUCAGCGAGCGUCGCGAUGUGGUCAGAGUAGUCGUCAGCAAGCCGCCCAUAGUCGGCGGAGUCGUUGGCAAGCCAACCGUGGUCGUCGGCGUGCCCGCGACAUAGUUGAAGAAAUCAUCAGCGAGCCGCCCGUAGUCGUCGGCGAGCUCGCGAUGUAGUCAAACUUUCGAGUUGUACUCAAACUUGAAGUCGCUGUUGGACUUCGAGUCGGAGUUGAAGCUGGAGUCACCGUCGGACUCCGUGUUGCGGUUGAACCCGGAGUUGUCGUCGGACUCGGAGUUGUAGCCAGACCCGGAGUCGCCGUCGGACUCCAAGUUGUAGUCGGACUCGGAGUCGCCGUCGGACUCCGAGUUCAAGUCAUGGUCGGACCCGUAGUCGUCGUCGGAGUUCGAGUUCGAAUCACGGUCAAAACCAAAGUCGCCGUCGAAGUACGAGUUUGUAGUCAAACCUUGAUCCGAGGUUUAAUUUGUUGAUUUUCUCAAUGAGAUUUUCUGCAUCUUCUGGAAGAGAGUUCCUAUCGAGGAACUCUUCUCCUGGUUGUUGAUGAUGCAGCGUUGGAACAACCUAGUGCCGUCGGUGUUGCAAAGUCAGGAGUCAAAGAUGAAGGUUGUGCCCGCUUUGAAAGCGAACGCCGGCUCGAAGAUGAGGUCCUUCAAGCUCGCCCUAUGAUCGUGAUGAUCUGCCCCACGGUGGGUGCCAAUGUCGGUGUUUUAUACCGGCCAUCUACCAAGGGGUACCCGAGGUAGUAGAAUGUGUAGCAGGGGAUCGCCGGACCUGGAACUUGAAGGUAAGAGCGAGGACACGAGAUAGGGAUUUAGACAGGUUUGGGCUACUAGAGUAGCAUAAUACCCUACGUCUUGUAUGGGGGUGUUUGUAUAUUGCGCCCUGCGCUUGGGUGUUGAGGUGUGACCUGCCGAGCUAGGUACCCCUGCCCUCCUUUAUAUACUCCAGGGGGCAGAGUACUAGUCGGAUUACAAGGAGGAGUCCUAGUAGGAUUACACGGGAUGAGUCCUAGUAGGAUUAUAGGGGAAUCCUAGUAGGAGUCUAACUUCUUCCUUCCUUGCGGGUAUUGGGAUGUAUCCCUGACAGGAGGAGCGGAAGGCGUGGGAGUGGACGAAGGCAGCGAGUCUCGAGGCCAUGAGUGCGCCAUCGGAUCUUGGAUAGGGAAGAGGGGGGCUGGGGGAGCGCCGCUCCCGCCGGGUAGGGACAGAGAGAGAGAAGAGGGGUAGGUUGAAGAGAUGGAAAGAAAACCCUAGCUCUCAUACCAAUUGUUGGUCCAAACUGAAUUCUUUACAUUGACUCUGAAUAGCGAUUCAUGUUUGGUAAUACAUAUAUAGGAUAAAAGCAAGGGUAGGUAUCUUAGAGAUAAGGCUUGUCGUUGUCGAGAUUAGCGGAUCAAGACUACAGCAAGUGAAUUUGUUUUAUGCGCGUAAGGCUCGGAUGGUUGCGUGAGAGGACACGGGGUUAGGCUGGUUUGGGCAGGAAUAGCCCUACGUCCAGUAUGAGGAGCUGCUUGUGUUACUCACGCAAGGUCUGUAGUAGGGGUUACAAACAGGCGAGAGAGGGGAGCUGAUCCCAAGUCUCUUGGGUGUGCACUGAUGCUCGUGAGGAGAGGGUGUGAGUUCUGUUGGCUUGAGCCUCUCUUGUCUCAGGUCCCCUGGUUCUCCUUUUAUAGCGUAAGGAGGGCACAGGGGUUACAGGUGAGCCAGGCGUAUGGAAAAGUAAAAGAGAUAAGCUAAGUAAAGUAAAACAUAGGGAAAAGGACCGAGUUCCUGGGUUGCCACUUUCCUCUCCGGCCUUUGUCUCUCAUCAGCGUGGCCGCCGGAGGGGGGCAGCUGCCAUUGGAUCCUGUUGGCGAUCCCCCGGUCGACCGUCGUUGCCAGACAUGAUGAUGAUGUUUGGCCGCCGCAACUGUGCUCGUCGUGGGGGCGGCUGUCCUUUGUAGCCCUGCAUGUUGACCGGGAGGUGCGGCCAAUACAUCUCUGCCGACGUACUGAUCGUGAAACUGGGCAGCGCUCCCUCCUAUGCUGGGGGCGCGGGUGAUGAAUGCCCUACGGCGGACAGGAGAGACAACGGACUGGGGCGGUGCCGCUGUAGCCUGUGCGGUCAUGGCUACAGUGUUCCGCCUGGGUACUGUGGCGGGUCACAUCGAGGAGCGCACCAGAGCCGAGGUGCAUUUAUGGUGAGAUUGGUGGGGGCCCACGAGAUUUGCGCCCUCAUCUGCUGGUUUGCGCCCGAGGUGGAUUCUUGUCUUGUGGGCCCGGAUGAGUCCGACCUCCUGUGCCCUGGGUCGGGCGUAUCCGACCCCAGGACCAUGGGUCGGGUGAGGCCAAGCCUUACAGUGAGGGGUCGGGCGUAUCCGACCCCAGGACCGUGGGUCGGGCGAGGUAGAGUGGAAUGCUCCUUGCCCAUGCCGGGUCGGCGGAGGUCACUGUUGCCGCAGAUGGGCCCGGGUGUUUAUGUUCUGUGUUUAGGGGCGUUAUGAGGUCGUUAACAUUUCCCCCCAACAAGACUAGAGAUAAAGUAGCUUUUACACCAACCACUACUAGACUUAUUUCAUCAUGUUAAUUGUUCACCAGGUAAAAAAGGAUCCUAUUGAGUUGGGGCAAUGUACAACUAAGGUGCUAGGAGAGAUAAAUUCUGAGGUGAGUUCUCGUACUUUAGCUGCUACAAAUGAGUUAACUUGAUUGAAUUUAAACAUUAGUACCAUGUGAUUCUUGAAGUACUACAACAAUAUCCCUCAAAAGCUUUUAGGAUCAACUUUUCAUAUGAUAUGAAUCGUCUAUCGAAUUCCGACAUGCAUUCAUGGGGACUAUAGCACUGAUAACAAAUAAACAAUGACUAUACGCGCAAGACCAGCAGCUAAACCUCCAUGAUGGACCAAUGCAAGGGAACAAGAUGUAGAGCUUUGUUGUGGACUCCUUUUACCAUAAGUAUACUUACAGUAGGCGCAGGGGCAAGGAGUCCACAACGAUCCCAUCUACAAGCCGCCAGGAUUAAUAGAAGUUGGUUAGGAUUUGUUAAAGAGUCCUGUACGGAUUGGAUAAGCUAGUUGGUCUGUUAUAUAAAGGCCUUAGUAGAUUGUUUAGGGAUUAUCGAAGGAAUAAACUCUCCCCUGUUCUGGGCGUGAGUUGUUCUUCGACGAUGGCGGAGAAAUCUGUCUCGGUCACCGGUGACAACAACUCGUCUGCAUACCUAUUGCGCUCCAACUCCCAGGCUCACCUGUUCCUACAGUCUCCCCUGCAUUUUCCUCGCCGUCACUCGCGUCGUAUCAAUUUGGUAUCAGAGACAGCUGCUGGGGCAUCGCCAUCCAUGGCCGGCCCUAAGGACGAUCCGGAGACCGACUCAAACAGCUCUCCACCAUCAACUCCCGCCUCGACUCCCAUGAACGUCGCAUCGCCCGCACCGAGAAGUAUCAAGCUGGCGAUGACACUUCCGAAGGCGCCACGGAGGUUUCGCCCGACUAAGCUCACCGCAAUCCGGGCAGCGGCGGCGGCAAUGGCAGUGGUGGCGGCACUGACGGCCACGGCGAUGGCUUUGGUGGCCCUCACAGCGGGCGGGCCCCUCAGCACUACGACAGCCCCGGGCGACCACGCCCACCCAAGCUGUCGUUCCCCAAGUUCGACGGGGAAUCAAACCCCUUGCCUUGGCUCAAUCGGUGCGACAUCUUCUUCCACGGACAUCAAACCAUGGAGGGAGAGAAGGUGUGGAUGGCUUCUCUGCACCUUGAAGGCACGGCGGCCCAGUGGUACUUUCAGAUGGAACAGGAAUUCAGCAUCCUCUCUUGGGCGCGAUUCGCUAAGUUCAUCAACAUGUGCUUAGGGUCGCCCAUCCGUUCCAACGCCUUAGGCAAGCUCAAGGAUCUUCAUCGCACAGGCUCGGUAGAGGAGUACGAGCGGCGAUUUCUGGCGCUCCUCUGCCGCUGCGACAACCUAAUGGCUCAGCACCAGAUCAAUCUUUUCACGUCUGGGUUGGGACAGCCGUUGGCCUCUGAUGUCAAGCUGCAGCGGCCGUCCAACCUCCAGACGACCAUGAGCCUUGCGUGUGCCUUUGAGCUACGUUCCAAGGAGGCGACGUGUGCUAUCUCCGGAACUCUACGGCAAGGCCCCCGUCCCUGCUCCGUCGCUGCACCAUCCGCUCCUUCAUCGGCCCCAGCAACGCCAGAUGAGUCGCCAUGGCCGUGUUUUUGCCGCCUGUCUGCCGAAGAGCUGGCGGAGAAGGGAGCCAGCGGCCAGUGCUACAUCUACCCAGAGAAGUUCUCCAAGGACCACAAGUGCGCCGGCCGCAGUGGCGUAUUCCGCCUGGCCAUGGACGAUGAGGCAGGAGACGUGCAGGUCAUCCCUGAUGACAUCCACAUCUCCCUCCACGCUCUCCACGGCAAUUCCACGGACGCCACGAUCCGUCUCCAUGUCUCUAUCCACGGUGUUCAGCUCACUGCAUUGGUGGAUUCCGGCUCCACACACACCUUCAUCCACGACGAUGUUGCCCGCGCCUCGGUCUCGCCAUCACACGUCGUCACGGACUACGGGUUAAGGUGGCUAAUGGCGAGCACCUCACCAGUCUGGGCAUCUAUGCGUCCGCUCCGGUCUGCAUCCAGGGCGAGGCAUUCUCUGUUGACUGCUACGCCUUGGCAUUGGAUGGCUUCGACAUCAUCCUUAGGGUGACGUGGCUGAAAACCUUGGGGCUGAUCACUUGGGAUUUCAACGACCUCACUAUGGCCUUCCAGUACCAAGGGCGUGACCUGCUGUGGCACGGCAUUGGUGGUGGCAAUGUUGAUUUGGCAGCCUUGACGGCCACCCGGGAUCUCAUGGAUGCCCUUCUGCUCAAAUAUGGCGGCAUUUUUGCAGAGCCCCGUGGCCUUCCUCCGCAACACCUACAAGAUCACUGGAUUCAUCUACUACCAGGUUCUACUCAUGUUGCUUUCUUCAGCCGGGCUGUGACUCCCCAUCACGCCAAGUUACCAGCUUAUGAGCGUGAGUUGAUUGGAUUGGUGAAAGCCGUGCGUUACUGGAGGCCAUACCUUUGGGGUCGGCAGUUUAAGGUCCGGACAGAUCAUCAGAGCUUGAAAUUCCUCCUGGAUCAGCGCUUCUCUACGAUACCGCAGCAUACUUGGGUCAGUAGACUUUUUGGGUACGACUUGUUGGUGGAAUAUAGACCAGGCAAAUUGAAUGCUGCUGCUGAUGCAUUGUCCCGCAGGGAUGAAGAAGUUGGGUCCCUUCUUGCCCUCUCUAUGUCGUCAUUUGAGGUUUUUAAGGCCCUGCGAGAAGAGCGGGUUGGGGAUAGUCGAGCAAUUGACUUGCAGGCUCAACUUGUCGCUGGAACUGCCCCAAGUGGCUGGUCGGAUGUGGAUGGACUGCUUCUCUACAACGGCUGUGCAUAUGUUCCAGAUUGAUCUUCCCUUUGGCAACAACUUUUGGAAAAUGCACAUGCCUCUGGCCAUGAAGGCAUUCAGAAGACUUUACACAGACUUCACUUGUCUUUUUACAGCUCUCUUGCUAGCAGAUUGGUCCGUGAGUACAUCCAUGGCUGUGCGGUGUGUCAACGCAAUAAAUCUGAACACUUGCAUCCUGCUGGCCUCCUUCAGCCGAUUCCUGUUCCUUCGGAGAUCUGGAAUGAUAUUGCUAUGGAUUUUGUGGAAGGUUUUCCUCGCGUGGGCGGAAAAUCGGUGAUUCUGACGGUGGUUGACAGGUUUUCCAAAUUUGCUCAUUUCAUAGCCUUGGGUCAUCCUUACACUGCAAGCUCUGUCGCUCGGGCAUUCUUUGAGAGCAUCGUUCGGCUCCACGGGUUUCCUUGCUCAAUUGUCAGUGAUCGUGAUCCGGUUUUCACUAGCAAUUUUUGGAAGGAAUUGUUUUGUUUGGUUGAUGUUAAAUUGCUGCUCAGUUAGGCCUUUCACCCGCAGACUGACGGCCAAUCAGAGGUGACCAAUCGGACUAUUUCCAUGUACUUGCAUUGUUUGGCUAGAGAUCGCCCUCAUUCUUGGCUUCAGUGGCUCCCUUGGUCUGAGUUCUGCUAUAAUACUUCCUACUAGACUGCCAUUGGUACCACUCCCUUCCAAGUGGUUUAUAGCAGGGAGCCUCGAACCUUGCUGCGCUUACAACCUGGGGCUGCCAGGGUUGCAGCUGUUGAUCGCCAGCUUCGUUAUCGCGAUGACUUCUUGUCCGAGAUUAAACAGCGUCUUCUGUUAGCUCAGGAUGCUAUGCGUCAGCAGCAUGAUAAAAAGCACCGGGAUUUGGAGUUUGCUGUUGGUGAUUGGGUAUGGUUGCGUCUUCAUCAUCGGACUGCUGCCGGGAUCACUUUUGCUCGCUUGACGAAGCUCAGUCCUAAGUACUUCGGGCCCUUUCAGAUUCUUGCUCGAGUUGGCUCGGUAGCCUAUCGUUUACACUUGCCUGCAAAUUCUCGCAUCCAUGAUGUGUUCCAUGUUGCUCUUUUGAAGAAGUUUGUCGGGGAGCCUCCUACUACAGCACAGCCAUUGCCUUUGCCACCCAUUGUUCAUGGUCGCGCCGUGCCUACUCCUGAGAAGAUUGUGCGUGCUCGCCUUUUCCGUGGUGUGUGGGAGGUCUUGGUACAGUGGGUUGGACAAUCGACUGCUGAUGCUACUUGGACACCGGUGGACGACUUCAAGGCGACUUAUCCUUCCUUUCAGCUCGAGGAUGACCUGUUUCUCGGGGAGGGGGGAAAUGUUGUGGACUCCUUUUACCGUAAGUAUACUUACAGCAGGCGCAAGGGUAAGGAGUCCACAACGAUCCCAUCUACAAGCCGCCAGGAUUAAUAGAAGUUGGUUAGGAUUUGUUAAAGAGUCCUGUACGAAUUGGAUAAGCUAGUUGACCUGUUAUAUAAAGGUCUUAGUAGAUUGUUUAGGGAUUAUCAAAGGAAUAAACUCUCCCCUGUUCUGGGCGCGAGUUGUUCUUCGACGGUGGUGGAGAAAUCUGUCUUGGCCGCCGGCAACAACAACUUGCCGGCAUACCUGUUGCGCUCCAACUCUCAGACUCACCUGUUCCUAUAGUCUCCCCAGCGUUCUCCUCGCCGUCACUCGCGCCGUAUCAGCUUAGCAUACGUGAAGAUACUAACUCCAUCCAUACAUAUAAGACAUUUUGACAAACAUAAGGCAAGCAACAUUUGUGAAUUCAGAUUUAGUAGCUAACUGUAUACAACUUUUGCGAUGAGGAAGUGGCACAAGAUUCAUAGCACAUUGAAUGGACCAUAGUUAUAAUUUUUUAACUAGUUUAAAUAUAUUUUUUUAGAAAACUUAGUUCAUUCUCUGAUCCCCGCUACUACAGAUAAUAUCCGAUCACUAAUAGUUCAUAACCACUUAACCAGCAUCACUCUGGUAUUGAACAGGCAAAUGGACAAGUAGGAGUGAGUGACAUAUACUCCAUGAGCUUCACUGCCUCUGCAGUAAUAAGGGCCCAUUAAACUAUUGGCCACUCCAAUCGACAUUUGUCUUUUCAAUGGUAGUCUCCUUUUUGUCCUCAACUAUUGUCUAGAAAGUUAAAAUGUGGUACGAAAAGAUAUGACUUCCAAUUUGGCGAAAUCCAUCCCUAACAGCUCGAGGGUGAAAUCAGACUUUCACAAUAGUUAGAGGACUAAUGUUGAACGUAACAUAUCUUUUAACUGGUGUGAAGUUUUUAUUUUUAUAAGGAGGUGUGAGGUGUUAAUCCUCUUCUACGAAUCACGGUAUGUGAUGGUAAUGUCAGAUUGGAGAACUCUAAACUGUAGAGCAUGUUCAGUUUCAACAGAAAAGGCCUACAUGUCUCAUUGUCUCUCGUACCAGUAUCAUAUGUACCAUCAAAUUUGGUUCUACAAAGUAAACGAGAUGGAUCUCUCUCUUAGUCUCAGCUUAACAAUUGAAUUCCUAGGAAUUUCUUUUAUUUUUUGCGUAUUAACAUGGAAUCCCUUUUUUCGCGUAUUAAUGUGGAAUCCUUGACCCUAUGUGAAUCAGGAUGGAUUCAUGAUACUAUAUUUACAUUGCUAGGUUUAUACUAAUAGUUUCAAGUAUAAAUCUUAAAAACUACAGAUUGUUCGUCCAAACUAAACUACUAAUUUAAAUAAUUGUAUAGCAAACUAAAGUAUUUAACAUAUGCCAUGUCACUAGGUCAGAAAAGAUUUGUGCUAGCUCAUGGGAUUUCCAGUACUAGCGAGUGAUAUUGACAUCCAUAAGCACAAAAGGUUAUGGGCCCACUCCGUCAAAACCUGCCAAAUGCACCUGUGCUGGCGGGUGACAUAAGGACCUGCCAGCACAAAUCCUCAUUUGUGCUAGCAGGUUCUUAUAUCACCCGCUAGCACAAAUACUUUUCAAUUUAUAUGGAUGGGAAGGAUAAAAAAAAUUUAAACUAGUUAAAAACUUUGUUUUACAUAUCACGAUAUAUUUUUAACAUAUAUUAGACUAUGUAUAUGUUGUUGUGUAGGCGUUGCAAAAAAUUAUAAGUGAUUUACUAUUUUCUAAGGUAUAAAUGAUUAUAAGGAUGUUUAUUGGAAUUAAUAUGUAUUUGAACUAAUUUUUUCACAAAUAAGAUCAAAAAAUUUCAGAAAAAUGACGUUAAAGACACAAAGUCCCUGAAAGAUUCACAAAGUUUUUAGGUACAUUUAUCACUUCUAUUAAAACUUUUAGUGAAAAUAAAUUCUAAUAAUAUCUAAACGUGUUCCAAAAACUAUAUAAAUUGGUAUGGAUCAUUUUAUGAGUUCACAAUCUUUGCAUAAAAGUUUCAAUAUAUUGUAAGAAAAUUGGAAUAUAUAUUGUUCACAAAUAUAUACUUCAUCUACAACAUUUCAUAUAACUCAAGUGAGGCUUUAAGCUUAUGAACUAACUUAGUACUAUAGUAAUUUGUGAACUAACUAAUUCAUAAAUACGAUCUCGGAUGAAUACAAAGUUGAUAUUAAAGUUGUAGAUUUAGAGUAGAUCUAAAAUUUUGUAGUUGACAACUUUUUCAUUUAAAGUUUUUUAAUAGCUCAAAAUAUCAUUGUAAACUCUCUAAUUUCAAAAUCUUGAAUUUUAAAAUUUCAAAUGACCUCAAAUGCAAACAAGCUCUAUAUCAAAGUUGUAGUGCUUAACUAGAUAUAAACUUUUAUAGUUGACAAAUAUUUCAUUUAAAAUCGUUUAGCUGCUCAAAACUUCGUUAUAAGGUUAUGAAAGGAACACGUUCUGCUACAUCAGCGAUCCGUGUCGAUUUUUUCUCCCAUUGGCUAGAACCUCCUCUUCCUGCAUCCAUCCCCUCUUAUCCCUUCCCUCUCACUCUCUAUCCUUAUCCAUUCCUCUCACCUCAUUUUCCAAGGGCCAAGGGGAGGGAGCAUCGGGGGAGCAGCAGGAGGGCACGACUGCGCAGGACACCAGCCGGCUGCGAGCAGCGCGGCAUGGCGGCAGGAGGGCACAACACAGCACCCCUCAACCCCGAUAGCUGGUGGCGCAUAGAGGCCCGCGUGGGGCCCCAGUGCUAGAGGCGAUCGCGGCGCCCCUGGAUCCGACUCAAGGGGCCCAACGGCCGGCGGCGGCGCACAGGGCUCGGAGGCUAGCGCGACCCCCUCAACCCCAGCCCUGACGGCAAAGGUGGCCGGCGCGGCGGUGCGGCACCGGCCGCAGCGGGCAGGAUGGCGCGGCGGGCGAGGCACGGCGGCAGGAGGGCACCGCGCGCUGGCCUUUUUUUCCUUUCUUUUUCUUUUUAUAUUUUAUAUAUUUUCUUUUGUUUUUUAUGUAGUAGUGAAUAUGAAUAUUUCAUAUUUAUGUAAUAUUGCUGUGGUAUGUUUAAUGGUAUGAAAAAUUAUAUAUUGUUCAUGUUUUAAUUUGCUUUGUGGUUGGAGAUACAUAUUUUAAAUUAGCAGAAAAUAAUAAUUUUGGAAUUGGUGGGAAAUAAAAUUAGAAAAAUGGUGGGAAAAAUUAAAAAUUCAAAAGGGGAAACGAUCUGUGUUGGCGGGCGUCUUAAGCGUCCGCCAGCACCAAUCCAUUUCUGCUGGCGGGCGCUCACCUGCUAGCAUAUAUGCCCAUUUCUGCUGGCUUAAGGUUGCCGGCGGUUAGGCAACCCACCGGCGCAAAUUUUUUAUAGCGUAGUGUGUUACCAAAAAGUUACGAAUUGAAAAAAAAUUCUAUCACAAAACUGCUGAUUUUUUUUGCAAUUCAUCGUAAAACCACACGUUUGCAAUUUGGUUUCACCUUAAACGUGCAUGGUUGUGUUUCCUUGAUCUGGGCCAAAAUAGUUUUAUGAGUUAGUAAACACUGAUGUAAACCCUACUCUCUGACUAUGGAUCUCCCAUUGAAAUGGACCCCAAUUCCCAUUUCUAAAAAUUCAAGCCUACGAACCUCCAUGACAGUCCCAAGAAGACUAUCACGUGCGAAUCUCUGUCUCAGAUAGUACAAAUCCAUACCAACACAGAAAUAUAAAGCAACAACAUAGUAUAUCAAAAUAACAUGAGUAGCGAGGACAUCUCUAGGGCAUAUGCUGGUAUCAGGACUAAAUCAAGAAAGGUAAAACAUCUACGCAGCGGAAACAAAAGCUAUGGCGAACUCCAUCUCCAGAGGUGACUCAAGCAAAGAACCAUCCCUAGUCUUCUCAUCCGUCGUUGUCGAAGUCAUAGUCGGGCUCCGACCCUGAAAAGUCACCAUCUACCCGAGAAGCGGGUAGGCUAUGUCAAGUCCCAAAAGCAGCAAGCUAAGGAAAUGGGAAAAUAUACUAUAUGCACGGGUAAAACCUAUAUAUGGUUGUUGGGGUUUAUGUAGCAGCAACAGCAAUCAAGGAAGCAGCAAUACAGCACACCUCUGAGGUCAACACCUCAAACAAGGAAGUCGGCACAAAUCGCCGGAUUCUUCACUCAAGGGUCCAGCACCCAAACACACUAGGCGAUGUGAGAGCUCCCUUCCCUCAUAUCUCAACGGCAAACGUCAGCCUAUCUUAAAAGGGGGAGGUAGAAGGAUAAGAAAAGUCUAGUCAGAAGUAGUAGUAGUCAACAGCACUAUCCAUUACCAGUGGACACGGACUAUAGUUAUAGCUUUAUACACUCUUAGACUUCAACUACCGAAUUUAGUACAAAUGUUUAAGUUCAGAAACUUGAGAAAAAAAGAUAAAUAAAGUAUUCACUCCAUUUUGAAAUAUAUGACAUUUAAAACGAAUUAAUCGAAAAAUAUAAAUUAAUUAGUCUGUUCCAAACGUCAAAUAAGGGUAAGAUUAACUUAGAAUGGACGGUUCACAUUAACUUGUACUUGGAGUACCAGCAGAAAAGCAGAAUCUAUACCUAAACAACGGUUUGUUUACCACACGACUUCUUGUUCUAGACGGCGCCGCGUGGCGAAGCGACGGACUUCAGGAUUCGGACGGCGCUGGUUGUAGUAGAAGAGGCCGACUUCUCGUUGCAGAUAGCACCGGUGGGAGAAGUGGCCGUGUUGAAACCCCGACCUUCCAGGCAUCGCUUCCACCGGCCUACGGAUGUCAUCAGCAGCCAUUGACAAACCAGCAACCGGAGCGGCAACGCAGCGGCCUUCAGCGCGCCGUCCCAGGCGAUCUCAUCGGACGUCGUCACGUCGACAGAACCGCCACCGCAUGUGGGCGCGAGCAGCGGCGGGUACAGCAACACGACGAUCUCGGAGGACGGCUACUAUUGGCGCAAGUACGAAUUGAAGGGGAAGAAGUGAAACCUGAGAACCCGUGCAGCAACUAGUCCGGCCGCCCCUCUGCUGUUCGUCGCUAACGUGUGGGUACUAGAACUGAUCUUCCAUAUAGUGCUUUUAUCCCGAUUAAUUUUAGUUCCGAGUCAAAAAUGAAGCACUGAAGACCACCCACGGGAGGGGCUUUAGUUCCUGUUGUAAAGAUCAACUGGGACUAAAGCUCCCGCUUUAGUCCCGGUUGUAACGGCUAAAAAAUCUAACACCAACGGUGGGAGCUUUUGUCCCGGCUGGUAAUUCCAAUCAGGACAAAAGAUUUAGUCCCGGUUGGAAUUUCCAACCGGGACGAAAGGGGCUCACGCGCCCCCCCCCCCCUUCACUCUCCACCUUAUCUCCUCUCUCCCUUUCUUUUCCUCCUCCCAGUGCUAACUCUUCCUCCUCUCCCUUUCGUUUCCUCCUCCCGGUGCUAACUUCUCUCCCUUUCUUCCAGGCGGGCGCGCGGGCGGGCAGGGGCAGCAUGGGCGGGUGGGCGGCGCGAGCGGCCGGACGGGCGUGCGUGGAUGGCGAGCGGCGGGCUGGGCGAGCGCGUGACAGGUGAGCGGGUGGCUGGGCGCGGGCGGUGGAUGACCAGCUGGGCGCGCACGGGCGUCAAAGGGUGGAGGCAGAGGGGUGGAGGUGGGCGGUGCAGGAGCCGAGGCAAGCGGAGGCCGCGGUGCAUUUUUUUAUUUUUUUUACUUUUGAAACUUUUUAGUUCGGUUGGUAACACCAACCGGGACUAAAGAGGAUCUUUAGUCCUAGGUGGAUGAUCCGGGACUAAAGGACCCCUCUCGUCCCAAAAAUUUUAUCCUGGAUGAAUUUUUGAAAGAUUUGAGACCAACUAACCGGAACAAAUGCUCAGGUUUCUACCAGCGGGGCCCAUUUAGUGAGCGGGCCCACGCUUCCACAACCUAAGGCAGAGGGACUCGAUUGCUGCAGGCAAUACUGCUCUUAUCGACAACCUGAGCAGCUGUACACAGAGCCCUUAAUUUUUUUUAACUUUAGAGAGGCCGAAAUAUUUAUAUAUUAGCAUAAAUCUUGUUAUUGUUGAGGCUAUUAUAUACCUGAAUGGUACGUAGCUUCACCGAGCAAUCCACCCAUUUGCUCCUGACUCUCUUCUAUGCUUCAUCAGUGAAAAUAGCCUCCUUUGGUAGCCUCCAUAUGUGAGUAAUGUUUCAGUGUUUAGUUGAGUUUUUUUUUGUAAAAGAAAUGUUAGAUAUAUCUUUUCAAGCAAAAGUUGCAUACAGGAUACAUAUCAUGCGAAUUUAUACAGUACAGUUUUGAAGCGAUACGGUUUGGAUACUUAGAAAAUAACGUAUAUUUAUAGGAAUAAAUAUCUUUUUUUGAGGGUUCAAUGUGGGAGAAUAGUCUCUCACCUGACAUAUUGGAGGAGGUGAACCUUCCGAUUUGUGUUUUUUCUCAAAUAUGCGGUACCUAUCGGUACUUGUUUUUGUUUCUAUCGUUUGGUCGGAAAACAAUUAAUAAAAAUUAAAUUUAAGGAUUGUUUUUUUACUUCCCUACCAAUUUGGUACUUCUUGGUACUUCUAUUUAGAUUUCUCGAGAUGGAUGACUCUUAUUUUUUCCAAUCAUUCUAAAAUUUCUCAAAAAGAUUUAGUUCACCUUACAUUCGAAGAGCACGAUACCAAAGUGAAGUGAUGUCAUAUUCUAGCAUCAUCUCGGUCGGCCAGUAGGUCCAGAGCAGAGAAAAAAAAUCAUACUUACAUGUACUAACUGCUAUGAUAUGUAUGGCCUAAAGUAUAGCCUUAUACGGUAUAUAUAGUAUAGGUGGUCGCUUUGCUGGCGUCGAGUUUUCCUUUACCUUUGUUUCUAAAAUAAACCUGUAAAUCUCUUCUAUAUUAAUAGAAAUGGCACAAUCCGUCCGUUCAAAAAAAAAAAAGUAUGGCCUAAAGUUUACUUUUAGCACAGGGUCCUCAACAUGCUGCUGGGGACGGCCCUGACUACUACAAGUGUACCUUCCCCGGCUGCUUCGCCAGGAAGAAGCUGGAGAGGUCGCUCGACUGCCAGAUCAUGGAGAUCGCGUACAAGGGCAGGGAUAACCACGCAAGGCCGCGGAACACGAGCAGGGGCUCUGCAGGCACGGCGGUGCAGGUGCUGCAGAGCGGCGGCGGCAACGCGUCCGAGCGCAGGUUUGGAGAAAUGCCGGCCAUGUCGACCGUCAGCGACACCGAGGUCAUCGACGAUGGCUGCCGGUGGAGGAAGUACGGGCAGAAGGUGCUGAAGGGGAACCCAAACCCAAGGUAAGAACCCCACAAAAUUUACAGGUCCAUUCUUGUUCUCCCUACGCGUCGUGAAUGUCGCCUUGGGCCUCUGCCUAAUACAGGAGCUACUUCAAGUGCGCGAUGUUCGGCUGCCCGGCGCGCAAGCACGUGGAGCGCGCUUCCCACGACCAGCGCUCCUUCGUCACCACCUAUGAGAGCAAGCACAACACAACCACGAUCUGAAUGCAGCGCGCGGCGCCGGAAAGCAACAGCAGUAUGCCCGGCCUGACGGGGAGUGAGGGGCUGCUGGUACAUAAGUCAUUGACUCUGCAACUGCAACACAAGAGGCAGAGACGACGCGUGCAUUAUGCUGGCAACCCCAGCGUUUGGACCUGAUAGAGGGGGGCAAUGUCUUAAUUUGAUCCAAAAAGGACCAAGGAGGAGCUCAAGCUGGACAUGCAUGUUUUCCCCGCACUCGAUGCUGCUCCCUGACCGAAGAAUCGGAGGUUUAAUGCAGAAUCCGUCAAGUACAAUAAAAUGUAUUUGAAUCUCAAUCAAUAAAAUGUAUUGCGGAAAACAAACCAAAUUCUGGCUCCACGUAAAGAAUGCAGUCAAUUCCCUAAUCACAAUUGUUGCCUUCCAAUCAAGUCUUAGAUCUGUACUUUAACCAGCUACUCUAUCUUUGACCUGUCAAUGUUGGCAAAUCUAUUACCAACAUUUGUAUUGUUUUGCGAAAUCCGAUUACAAGCCUAAAAAAUGAAAUGUUCAUUAGCUGUUUGGAAUUUGUGAAACCAAUAUAUACAACACAAAAGAGCAAAGGAACAUGAUAGACAUUCCGAAUAUUAUGAACAUAGCAAUUUCAGUUUACCAAAUACUUCUAUAUAUCAUUCUUUAACUGAAACACAUAUUUUUAGCUAGACAGGUCAGAGGAACUAACUUUUAGAUCUAGAACCUUAUACAAAUAAAUGUUCACCUCCUAUAGAACCCAGCCUAACUUGGUUGAUCGAGGUUAUGGAUGUACACCCACAACCCAAGUUAACUCCCUGUCGAGGCAAAUUAACGUGCCUAUUUUUUGCUACAAUGCCAGUAGGCCAUGGAUUUUACCGGCACCUAUAUGGUCCAUAUCUUCAAUAAUUUAUUUAUUGAAAGUUACAGCUUGAUAUUGCUAUGCAACGUAAAAUUUAUUAUUUCUGAAGAUGUAAUAAUGCUCAUAACAAGUUUACAUGAAUAGUUCCUUACCAUUCAGAGCCAUCUACAGUGGUAAAUCCAAAACCUUUAACCUCAUCUUCAAACUGAAAUGCUCUCUCAAGCCUGUCAAUGCAAAUAGGCAGCCAACCUUUAGCAUAGUAAUUUUUAUGGUAAACUGAACCGUAUGUACUUGCGCAUUCAAUCUCGUCAUCGUUAAUGAAAAUAGUGUUAGCCUCUCACUAAUAUUGAAUUAAGGGGGUAAUUGGGUCAUCAGCAUAGCCACCCAGGAGUGUAGUCCAUGUGGCGCUGAUCGAGAUCCAUGGUACUUAGGUUAUGACGAGCCAUGUGAAGCAUCUAGGCCUCUAAUUUGGGUUUGGUAAUUAUUGACAACGUUUGUGGACUAACAAUUUCAUUGGAAAUAUGAGUAUAGGUUAGUCCCGGAGAUGAAUUGAGCUUCAAUGGAUGCUAAGGUGAUUGCUUUGAUGAAUUUAUAUUGGAGAGCUCAAGGCAAAGGUAUAUGGUAGGGCUUUUCUAUUUUACCGGUCAAAAGUUGCUUAGUGGAUGAUAAUUGAUCGGGUUAGUAGCUAGGCUAGAUAGCCGUACUAUCAAGUGGGGUCAAUUUCAUUUGCUUGACGGUUCUAUAAUGCCACUUCGUUCAAACAAUUGCGUUGCAUGCAUAUGGGUUUAUCUUGUUUGAAAAGUGAAAAGAAUGACUGGAAAAAUGUGCUUUGAAUAUGGCUAACACGUAGUGUACAGCAGACGGUCUCUUGCAGAGGCGGACCGUUCUUUGACUUAGCCAAAAUUCAAGUUUGUUAUGCUGUGCUGAAAGGACGAAGGGCAUACGGUCCGACCCUAUCGGACGGUUCACCACAAGGGUGGCUGACUGCGGCGAGGUGGCACUACACCACAAGCGCGCGGCAGGUUAAUGUUCACCUGGGCAGACUUAAAAAAAAAUGUUUCACCUGGGCAGAUCAUCAGGUCCAAAAGAGAUAUUAAACAAACAGAAAGGUUAUGUGGUGUUGAAACAGCAGUGUGAGGAAGACAAGACGUGUCAUUCCUUUGUUCGGCUCAACACUGGGCCCUCUUUAUUUGUUUCCUAAUUAUUCAGGAAUAAAACUGCAAUCCAGUCAAACGGUGCAUGUGCUUCCAUCCAUAUUGGGAUCCAGUCAUGUCCAUGUGGCCUUAAUUACCGCAGCUGCUGGCAAGUUUUUUGAUGAAAAGCUGCUGGCAAGUUUAUGAUCGAAUUGCAUGCCCCCAGACAAGAUUGCUGACCAGAUUGCUCAAUUUUUAAGAUGUAUAUCAUAAGGCUGUAACCAGCAUGCAAGUUUUUGUUCCUACACUGCGUUUACUCAUUUUUUUUAUAAUGAUAAAACCAUGUAGCCUAGUAGACUGAAGUUUUCUGUCUACCAUAAGUCGUUAUUGUUAGUGAAAGUAUUAUUUAUUGAAUUGCAAAACUUUCCUAUUUGAAGGAUUGAUUUAUUAGCAGAUAAUCAUUGUUAAUUAUGUAGAGGAGAGACAAUAGGAUCAUCUACUGUAAAACAGAAACCGGCCUUAUCUUUAAUACAGAUGCACUAGGAAAUUCUAGCAGGCAUGCUGACAAAUAAACGUGUAAGGGAGCUUCUUCCCUUGUCGUGGUCAAAGAAGCAUUACCUAUAGGUAGAGUUGUUCCACAAAAAGACACCCCCACGAUUCGCCCCUAAAUUUGUGCCGGUAACUAACAAGGGAAACUUUGGGUGGCAGGCGACAGCAGUUGCUGAACUGUAACUAUGCUGAUCUGAUUUACAUGUGUGAACUGCUGUCCUUGACAGCACAUCCAAGAUCUGAUUCAUAAGAGCAAAGAAGUGGUUAAACGUACGUUCAAUACGUACGCACACAGCAGUCCGGCAUAAAUUCAAUAACUAUUCAAUGAAAAAUAUACCGUUAUAUUCCCGCCUGUCCCGACAAUGGCCAUGUACUGCUGAUCACUACCUGUCAAGUAGAAAGCAACAAGACUUCCGUAAACUCUAUUCAAUUCAGUUGUAGGUUCCGCUGAAUUAAUGCUCCAGAACUGUAAAAUUUCAAUAAAGCAUGUGUUACAACAAAACUACUCCUAAGCCACAGCAUGGAAAUUUGUUUACUCUUUCGAGAGGUGAAAAUAUGUUUUAGCAAGAGGGAAAAGAGAAGGCAACCUUAAUGCUGGCAGGAAAAUUGGGUUCCAAGCUUGCAGAAACACUAGCAAAAGUAUUGGUGUCCAUGGGAUUAAAGGUCACCUGAUGUAGAUCGUACAAGUCUCUCUUAAAACUCCGAGUACAAACCCAGCCCAUAUCCCAGUCCCAUAGCUUUAUCAGAUGGUCGUCAGCCGAGGAAAGAAGAUAAGGUUGAGUUGCAUGAACUGCCAGUGAUCUUACUGCUCCGCUGUGAGCAUCAAUUAUCUUAACAUUUUCUAAUUCAUCAGUAUGUGUGUACACGUGAAUUGUCCCCCGGCUAUCACCUGAUACAGCCCAUUGUUGUCUUGCAAUAAACUUCACUGAGAGGUAACGACGCUUACCCUCUGUUAUAAUGUGGAAUGUCUCAAAUGUGUUUGACUGCCGAUGACAUGAACAUAAGCUAACAAUUUUGAUAUGAACAAAUUAAAAGGUAGUACAACUAUAUAAAUGAGUUGUAUAUAUUCAGUUCUUUUGUAUAGUACUUUAUUUCCACGACAUUUUUAGAAACAAAUAAAUGCUACUUCAUGAGCCAAAUUUUGUAGAAUAAGCUAUAUAUAUGCAGUCACUAUAGCAACUAUAUUGAUAUACUUAAAAUAUAUCUUCAUUUUUGAUAGAUCUUUUUUUUUUGCUGCAACACCGAAGGUGAAACAAAAUCAUUAUCUGGUGAGUAGGCACGUACCUGCAGGUUUUUCUUUGAAAUGCAAACUCCUUUGGCAUGACCGGUCAAAAUCCUGUCACAUAAUUAAAUAAUUAGGAAUGAAUGCAGAAGUUAACUAAUUAUUAACUCAGCCCGAUGUUGGGACAACAAUAAGUAUAUGUUGAACCCUCACCAUGGUUUUGUAGGGUGCACAUCUAUAGAUUUCAGACCUCCAAUAGUAAACAAGGGAAAUCUCGGAGCAACCUAUACAAAGUGACUGUUAGCCUUAGAGAUGCUCAAACAUAAGAAAAUAUAGAAAGAGUAUGGAAAGUGGAGAAAUAAAUCUCAUGUAAACCAACAUUAACUAAAAAAGAGAAAGAAAACAAGGAACUAUUUUACAAGACAUGCCAUAGUAUACUACUCACAUGUGGCUCUCCUUUCCCAUUUGCUGUAUCCGGGUCACAGUUUAUUGUCAAAUUCAAAGGCACCUUGUGUGCUUCGCCUCCUUUCUCUCUGAUCUGUCCACACAGAUUGUCCAGCAGGAUUGUGGUGUUUGAGUGGUUAUCCAUAUCGAUGUGCUUUGGGAUAUGAUUCCGGCUCCAGGUGUUCAUGUACAGGAUUUGAAGUCCAUCCAUAUCUGAAGGUGGCUUCAGUUGCUCUUGAAUUGCAACAUAGAAAACACAAGUGGAAUGUGGCAACACAUAGCAUUCAUUUGCGCAGAUGUACCUCACCGAGUUGUUUGGGAUAAUAAGAAAGAAAAUUUCAUCUUCUGUCUUGUUGAUUAGGCUUACUGUGCACUGGAUGUGUUUGUUUGGUUUGAAUGGUAGGCGGAGCUCCAUGGGAUAGACAUCGAUCAAAUCAGUGUGAAUGUACCCAAGGCUUCUCUGCAAUUAAGAACACAAAAAGUUAAACCUGAAUACAUGUUAAACCAGAACGACGAUUACAAAAAGCUACAGUUAAAUCUGUAGUUUUGUGAUACAAAUUCUUAUAUCUUUAGUUUUGCGAUGACUAUGAGAAACAAUCUAUAGUUUUAUGAAAUUUACUCAAAUCCUGCCAAGCCAACAGUGAUAAUUAGGAAUAUGGAAAAUAGGGUGGAGGGAGAUACAGGAGCGGCAUUCAGCCAAGGGUAUUGGAGUCAGGCAUCCCUACAACAGGUACCUAAUUUGCAAAUUUUCUAGAGGUGUAGUAUUCCCCUUUUUUUGUCAUUCCUUUUGUUCUGUGAAGGGUUAGCUUUCGCAGUAUUGUUAAAAACAUUCAGUGGACUUGGGAGUUACUCAUGACACAAAGAGGCGGGCAUACAGGCUGAUAUUGUAAGAGUAAGUUGGAUCACAAUGACCUUGGGCAUUUAUGGCACAGCAAAUUAAAGAUGAGGUGAUAAAGGUGAAGAAAGAAAAACAUGGCCGGUAAGUUUGGGAUGGCUUAGGACAUGGUUGUUUAGGAAGCGAAGUCUCAAAGAAGGAAAUGAAAGGCUAGGCUUGGUGUGGAAUCUCCAAUAAAUUUUCUCAUACCCCCUCCCCCUCUAAAAAUGCUACAGACAGGAAAGAACUGAUUCUAGGAUCUAACAGUCACCGAAAUACAGUGGUAUUUGUUUAGCUGGAAUUGACUAUAUAUGUGAAAAUAGCUAAGUAGAUGACAUCCUACAAAGUAGUGUUUGUGGGACCAUGCUAUUUGUCAUGACUGAACGUACCUCUGCCACUGACAAUGCAUUCAUGCCAGUUCUGGAUAACUCGUCGGUACAUUCUGCUACAUCAAGCAUCUCAAUUAUUUGCUGUAUAUCUGGUCUUUUUGCUGGGUUCGGGUCCAUGCAAUCUAUGCUUAUUUUAGCACAGACUCGUAUUUGUUCCAACAGCACCUGUGUCAUUGAUAAAAUCUCCAACCUGCUUGUCCAGCUUUCAAGUACCUAUGAGAUUUGAAUGAUUAGUUAUUAUUUAAGAAAAAGAGCAACUAGUUUCCAAACAGGAAUUUGAACGAUAUAUAGUAUUGUUCGAUAAAAAAAUAAUAUAUAGUAUUUCCCAUGAGUGCAGAAACUGAUGGCCAAAUUUCUUAAGCAACAUGAAGUCUUGUGGCCGAGCAGGGGCAGAUCCAUGCCUCAUUGGUGGGCAUGUGGCAUGAGUGAAAAAUUUUGGUAUUGGUUUCCUAUUUUGGCACGUUAAAAUUUCUAAGUUCCCCUAACUUUUUCAGUAGUGCUAAGUCAUUUAAAAACAUGUCAAGUUUUAUGUCUUUGAAAAAGGGUUUUACUUCCAAACGUCAAAUACUACAAUUGACAUUGUGCAAUAAAUCUUUUUGCACUCAAGUUCUACAUACACUCAACUUUGUAAUGUUUCUCUAUAAGAAAGCUAUGUAAAGUAAAUAAAAACAUAACGUCGCAAUAAAUAUCUCUACCUUCUCAACUUCAGAAUAUCCUUUUUGUCCUGUCAGUAUCUCUUGGACUAUAACACCAAGACUAUAUAGGUCAGACUUGAAUGUCAUCACAUGACUAUGGGAUUCUGGCGCCAAAUAUCCCCUGCACCAAAAUUUGUAUGGACUGAUAAGUUAAUUUGCAGGAAAAAAAAAGAGUGUUUUUUUGGUAGGGGUGUUCAAACAUGAGGGACAAGCUCCAACUGGAUAUGUAUUAGAUGAAUAAACAAAAACUAAAUCAGGCCUCACAGAAGCUAUCUUGCCAGUCUGAAAUUUGAGGGAAGCAUUACUUUUUUGCAAGAUAACCAGUCUUACUUGAAAAUUUCCGUGCAAUCUUGUAGAGUUAGGGCCCUUUGUUUCAAAAUGAAGAAGCUACUCCUAGUCGUCUAAAUGCAAAAAAAAAGAAAGGAAACAAAGAAUAAGAGCUUUCUACGGACCAAGCUAGCUUACAUUGAUCCAAAUAGUUGAGAUGUGAUAGCUCGGCUUUGCUGUUCAUCAAAGCACUUGGAGAGACCAAAAUCAACAAUUUUUGGCUCCAUAUUGUCAUCCAGCAGUAUAUUAGCUGGUUUGAGAUCUAAGUGAACAAUACGCUCACCAUGAAGGUAAUGUAAGCCAUCACAAAUUCCCUUGAUUAUUUGGUAGCGCUUUUUCCACUCAAGACCACCAGAUGCGUCUGUAGAGGCAAACAAAUAAAGAGUGUUUACACCCUUGUGUCCUUAAUGAUAUAUGUUCGCUAGUUUAGCACAAAGGUAGAUACUUUGUAUAAUAUAUUGUCCUUUGCAGUAUUGAAUCUGGAAAGAUAUAUGAUUUUUUAAUCAAUCCCACCACAUGAUCCUACCGGUUAUAAAUUCAUGAAGACUCCCUUUAGGAAGAUACUCAAAGCAGAGCAACCUCUGUCGUACAUCUGCCAUGACAAACUUGCCACCAUAGUCACACAUUUUCCCCUGCGUAUCUGCACAAUAUCCAAGAAAUCGAACUAUAUUUUUGUGCUUCACUCUCAUCAAACAACCAACCUCUUGGUUGUAUUUCUUUUCAUCCAUAUCAAGCGUGUUCUUCAGCUUCUUAACAGCAACCAUCUUACCAUUUCCAAGCAGUCCCUGCAGUCAAAAGUCACACCAUUGCGUUCAUCGCACGAACACUAUUUUUUAAACUAAAAAAUCAACUGCAAUUAGGAUGGGGAGUUGAGGAUCAUUCACCUUGUAAACCACCGCAAACCCACCACUACCAAUUUGCAGAUCAUCAGAGAAAUCAUUUGUGAUUGCCUUUAGAAGUGGUAAAGGAAGAUCUGUUGGCUCUGUGUUUCUAUUAAGUAGCAUGUGCUCCAAGAUAUUGUGGGUACUAGCUUCAGAGUCCAUUUUCAAUUACAAAUAACUAUAGCCUUCAAAGUUCAAAUAAGAUAUAGGAAUAAAUUUUAAUGAAACCUGGAAAGAGAACUGCACAGCUAUGAAAAGGAAUUUUGGAACUGAUCUUGGGUGACAUGUAACCAAAAUAUGAGAAUAGGGAGAAAUGAUUCUUUAAUUUGGAGCCUGAACUAUAGAAAACAAUCCCAAAUUUAUCAUAUAAAUGUAGCUUCCUUGACACCUCUAGGUCUAUCCCUCUUUCUAGCCACCCAACACUUUUGGCUAUUAUUUAUCUGACAGGUAUGGGUGCCAUUUCAUUAACUUCACUAUUCGAUCACAAAGAAUAUAUGCUUUCACAUACAUGUUCCCAACUCAAGAAAGACAAUAUUGUUUACCAUGAGAAUAUGCAAUCUGUUAGAUUCUUUGGAUUCAUGAAAACUAUUAAAUGAAAAUACUAGUGUUAAACACAUGCAGGAGCAAUGAAAUGAGUACCUGCUGAAGACAUGCUGCCUGUAGCCCUUUUGGUGGUUAAGGAAACUGAACUAUCAACGAUGCAUUAAAACCCUGAAUCAAAUCAUGGUGAGAAAAUAGUUAAAAACCUGCAGGUACAACUGAAUAUAGGUGAACUGCCAAGCAAUUUAUAAGUAGAAACCAUGACCAACGAAAAUUCAAUGAGUUUGCUGCAGGAAAACAUGUGCUAUCUUGCAAGAAAAUAAUGGUUUCUGGAUUAUGUAAGUCCCUGCUGAAGCUCAGAAACAUGUAAUCUUGGAACGAAAAGAAAAUGUCUAAAGCACAAGCUUCACCCGCUCAACUUCAGCAGUAAAUUCAGUACACUGGAGCAGACCAAACCAGAACGACUUGCACUAGAAUGUUUAAGUUUAUGAAUCAAAUCAAUCAAAGUUCAGUAGAUAAGACGCACCUGUUUGCAACGGGAGGGACAAGAUGGGGACGAAAGACAUGGCUUGAGCUGCAUACGUAUAUGCAUCAAUACCAGAUCUGAAGUCUUCGCCUCUUUUCGUCUUCAUUUCUUUGACCUGAGAGCCUUAACAAAGUCCACACGCUUGGGGGCGCACAUACCACACUCCGCCACAAUUUUUAAUAUAUGUUCUCGUUUCAACAUUUGCUUCUAUACAGACAAGAAUACAAAAUACAUCACUAUCAUUUGGUUUCCUUUCAUCAGAUAGCAAUGUCAGCACUCGCCCAUCCCUCUAUUUCCUAGAAUAAAAUUUAUACAUCUACAAUCUUGCUACCAUCACCAUGUGAACUGGUUGAUACUCCUCCGUUCUUAAAUAUAUAACACCAUUGACUUUUUACUCCAAUUUUUACCACCAAUAUCUAUUGAACGAGUUAGUUAAAUAUACGACGCCGUUAACUUUUUACUCCAACUUUUACCACCAAUAUCUAAAAUACCAUUGACUUUUUACUCCAACUUUACCACCAAUAUCUAUUGAACGAGUUAGUUGAAUAUACGACGCCGUUAACUUUUUACUCCAACUUUUACCAUCAAUAUCUAUAGAUAUUGAACGAGUUAUUGAACGAGUUAGUUAGUUAAAGUAAAAUAUAUAUCAUUAUGUCUAUUGUCAAAUGUACUUUAAAUUUAAAUUUAAUUUAUACGUUUAUCUAUUUGCAAAAAUACUUUUAGAAAAAACGAAUAGUCAAACGGAUGAAAAAAAAUCAACGGCGUCGUAUAAAUUAAAUAGAGGCGGUAGAUAAGAAGCCACUUGGGUUUUUGACCUCUACUAUAUACAGCUGAAGGCUCGGAGAAAUGUUUUGAAAUUGAAACACCUUUAAUAUUUCUCCGCCGCCAGUUCGGCAAUCGGCAGUCCGCCUCCAGCACCCCGCGAACGGCCGCUAACCUAUGGUCGCCAUCGCCAUCCGCUUUUCCGCGCUGUGGAGCAGUACGGCGGAGCUGCGAGCCGGAGAGGGCCUUGGCGCAGGAUCCACCUCCGCGCCGCCAAAAUCGAGCUCAAUCCCCCACCCAACUGCCAAAUCGACAGGGUCGCCACGAAAUCAAACUCCAAUGCCCGGAAAUCGAGCUUCCGGCCACAGGAGCGGACGCCUGGACGCCCAUCCAGAUCCAGCAAUGCGGGUGCAGCUUCAAAUAACGGCAGCAGUAGAGGGAGGUAGGGAGGUCCUCUGGUGCGUGGAUUGAUUUCUAUCUUUGGAGGUACCUGACUCCUCGCUUGUAGGGAAGGAAGGAUUCUGUUGUUCGUUUGUGCUUCAAUUGAUUUUUUUUUUCCUAAGGGAAACAAGAGGAAAAAAAAAAGAAAGGGUGAAAACGAGGAAAGUGGGCUUCCCUUUUCAGUACGGCCCAACACAAGAAGAUGUGGAGCCCAUGAUUGCACAACUACCAAAUAAUUGUUGUCUAUUAAUCGUGUGCGCGCAAGGAAUUCCACCCAACAAACGAUGCCGCACAUCCUGCGCUGCAUCCGUUGAAAUUUCCUUUUCACUCGACAUAGAGGGGCUCAUGCUGUCACCAAAUUCGCUGAUGCCGAUCCGUCUGGAGCUUAUCCCUUCCGCCCUCUAUCUACAGUAGCAUCUCUAAAUCCCGUCGCUUCCAGCCCCUCUCCUCUCUCCCUUCGGCGGCUCGUCAGCGGCGAGAGGGAGGUGGGCCGCCCACUGCCUUCCUUUAUAGAUGUAUAUUAAGCUCGUUCGGCUGGCUGCUUUGCAGCUGGCUUCUGCUGCUCGGAUGGACUUUUUCUGAAGCUUGUGUGUGCUCGGAUGGACUUUUUGCGUUUCUUCCCCACCACCGCCGCCGCCGUUGGGCUUCUGCUCGUCGUCGGCAACAUGGUUGGCCAGGUGAAGCCGAUGCCAUCAGUAUAAAACUAACACUAUCUAGAUCUGUACUAAAACUAGGGGAUAUAAACACGGGAUACCGAACCGUGGUUCCUCCCCUCCCCCUCCUGCACCGGAGGGGCAACCGGAGGCAGGAGGAGGGAACCAGCGACAGCGGCGCCGGGAUGGUGACCGCCUCUGUAUUCGCCGGUCUUGACUGAAUGACUUUAGCAGAGGACUCGGGAAGACGCUGGAACUCUCGCAACGACGCAUGUAGGAAGAAGGGUCACUCCUGUCACCUGGGCUUGGGCUGGUGACAUUUUGCCACGUCCUUUUGUAGAUCCAACAAGAGGAGCCCUGGGAAUAUAUAUGAUUGUUAACUGCUCCCUAACUAGCUUUCUGAUGGAGAAAAUAUGUAUGUUUAAACCAUGCCCAAGAACAGAGCAACAAGUAGGCCCUAUCAUUAUGCCACCACGGACAAUCCAUCCGCAGCAGCAAGCCCGGUCAGAGUUGCUGAGAUCAAAUCCCCUACCUGCUUAGUCAUCUCCAUUAACAGCGGCAGGGCACUGAACCACGAGCAGCAAGAUCAUUUCAACCAAUUCAUGCAGCUGUGUUAAGUUUGAGAUCAUCCUACUCAUCGCUUUUAGCCAGUAAUUAACCGGCUGCAACGGAGAGGGGGUCCUCCGGUACAUUCGUUCGACUGGUGAAAGCCUUAACACUGACCGUGAUGGCUAUUGCCCGAAAUAUCUCCGGCUUGCCUACAGCGCCUACAGCUACAGCUUGUUCGUUGGUGCGCCGUGGACCACACGCACUCCCGAGCGGACCCACGGCUGUAAUCUUUCUCUUUUAGCCAAAUGAUACGGAACGAAGAAUAGAUUAAUAAUAAAAAACAAGGAAUGGAAUAAAGUGGCAAGGAGCAUCAAGGAACGGCUGGUUCACUGCAUUAUUGAGUUGCAUCUCACUGCAGCCCUCCUCACACUGGUACGGUGAGCUCCGGCUGCAGCUGCAAGACGACUAGCAGGUGCGUACUUGCUUCUCUGAAUUCCCGCUUAAUUGAAAGACAAGGCUGAACUCUGAAUUCCUUUCUCUGGGUAUACAUAUGAUCCUCCACAACUGCUUCAGUUUAUUUCUUUUUUGUGAACGUCCUGUGAGGCUGUGAGAUCUAUCAAAUCGGUUUGGCAACUUUCAUCGCAGAGAGAUCUGCUUCUACUGCCAUGGCAUCCCCAACAUCCAGUAUGGUUUCAUCACAAAACUCUACUACUUUUGCAUCUAUUGGUAAUUGGUUUCGUGUUUCUUUCUAAUUUCGUUCUUUCUUUUUUUUUCAAAAGAUUGAUUUGAUAGGAAGUGGUAGGAAACGAAUUGAAGAGAAGGUUUUCUUGGUAGUACCUGUACAAGGCUGCUAGUCUUGAUGUAGAAGAAUAACGCCAUGAAGGGUUGGACAGAUGACCAUCCAAGGAAGCUACAAUACUCACUAGUUAAAGAGAUUACAAAUAAUUUUGCAGAUGAACUUGGACGCGGUACAUUUGGACGUGUGUUUAAGGUACCCCUAUUAAAUUAAAAAUCUCCUUUGUAAUGUUCGUUGUAAAACAUACGAUGUUUUUAAAUUUAUUUACAUUCAUAAUCUCUGACCUCCUUCUAUCUCUUACAGUGAUUGUGGGUAAACCUUUAAACUAAAUAUCUCUUCUUGCCAAGCUAACAUUUGAACCAGGGUCAUGGUAUAAUUAAAAGUGUAGUUUAUAAUCCAAAGCUCUAUUUGUUGCAUAGGUGUCCUUUGAGCCAUGGGAAUGUCUCCAGAAAAACAUAUGUGGAAAAUAUAUCAAAGAUGGUUUCUGUUUCUAGACCUUAUCAUUAGCAGUUUUAAAUAAAAGAACAAUUUGCAAUGAGCUCAUAUCACAGAAAGUAUUACAAAAUAUAUCGCAAAUGGUUUUUAUGUCUAAACCUUGCCACAGAUACUUAGUUUUGAAAGCAAAACAGUCAUUGGUGGCCUUGAGACUAUCUGUAGUAGUGAAUGUUGGAUGAUAUUGUUGUUUAUUGUCUUAACAUCGGUUAUAUGAGGAUGUGUGCAAAAGGAACCGAGCUAAUCGUAUUCAUUUUCAUUUAUAAUUCUCUGUUACUAUAUAUCAGCAUAGAAAAAACAAAAUUAUUAUGUGUAAUUAAAGAAGGUGUUUAAUAGGGGCUGCUUGAUGAUGGAGAAGAGGUUGCUGUGAAGCUGCUUCGUUAUUUCACGCCUGAGAUCAGUGACCAGCAGUUCCAAAAUGAAUUUGGAAACCUUAAGAAGCUCAAGCAUCCUAAUAUUGUACAAUUGUUGGGGUUCUGCGAUGAACCUGAGGAAGAAAUUAUUGAGCACAAAGGAAAAUUAAUACUUUGCUAUAGGAUACGCAGGGCACUAUGUCUUGAGUAUGUGCCCAAUGGAAGCCUUCGCAAGUUUCUUUCAGGUAAGGUGCUCAUGUGUUAUUGCGUAAUAUUAUUUCGGACAUUAAAAAUAUUCUUUGCAUUAUGUAUAUUGAGAAUAUUAUGUUUGUUCUUGUAGGUGGAUGUCUUAGCAAGAAUUGGCCCAUACGCUACAAAAUAAUUAAGGGAAUCUGUGAGGGUCUACAGUACCUUCACAAGAUUCCCAUUUUCCAUCUUGACUUAAAACCUGAUAAUAUACUGCUAGAUGAGAAGAUGUUGCCAAAAAUCACCGAUUUUGGUUUAUCUAGGCUCAUCGGUGAAGGGAACACCAAAAGGACAAUGACGCCUCUAGGGACACUGUAAGAUUAUUGUCUCCUGUGAACUUUUGAUCUGCUAAAUUGUAGUUAUUCCUUAGUCUCACUUUGCUAUGUCAUUUAUGUUCUGCUGCAGUGGAUACUUGCCUCCAGAGUUCAUUAACAAUCAAAUAAUCUCCAGGGAAUAUGACAUAUAUAGUUUAGGUGUUAUAAUUAUGCAGAUAAUCACUGGAGUUACAGGCUUCUCUGAUUUUGCUGACAUGGAGCCCCAAGAAUUUAUUGAACAUGUAAGAAUAAUUUAAUUAAUCUUAAUUUAUAAGCCUCUUAUAUACUAGAACAUGUUCGAAUAAUUUAAAUAAUCUUAAGCGGGUUACAUAUAAUGGAUGGAUUGAGCCUAUCGACCAGUAUAUAUUAGGUAAAAUAUUUAGGGGGCGAGGCUCCCCCGGAUACAUAUGGCAGUCUACGAUAUGUAUAUCUACAAGUACCAAAUAUACUCUAACAUCCCUCCGCAGUCACAGCGGGAGUAGUGCAGACGGUGAGACUGGAGAAGAAGCCGGAGGUAGAAGCCUGUAACGCCCGCAGAAAUCACUAUCUAAAAUCACCCGUUAAAAAACCAUCUUUAAAAUCUUUUUACCGCUGAGCUCCCGGAAAUCGGAAAUCUUCCCGGUGUUUUCGCGGUCCCGGUACCCAUGCCAGCCCCCACCUAUCUUUUUCCGUGCCCGUGAAUCUCGCCGCGUGCCGUUGUCAGACGCCGUGCGCGUGCCCCGACCACGUGCCGCGAACGCCGCCGGUCUCUUCCUUUUUCCUUCUCUUUUUUUCCCCUUUUCUCCUUUUCUUUUUCCUUCUUCUUUCUUUCUCUUUCUUCUUUCUUCUUCCUUCCUCUCUCUCUCCUCCUCUUUCUUCUUCCUGGCACCGGGCGCCACCCCCCCCCCGGCGCCACACCUCCUGGCCGGCCAACGCCAUCUACUCCGGCGCCCCCAUCCCUGGCGCCAUACUGCCCCGUCGCCCGGACCCGCGCCGCCCGCCUGGGGUCCCGCCGGUCACCUCUGCCCGUCACCGGCCCCCUCGCUCGGCUCGGUCCCGCCAGUCACCUCGGCCCUCCCGGCCCUGCCGGCGCGCCUGGCGCCACGCCACCCGGCCGCCUUGGGCCCGCGCCCGGGGCACGUGCCGCCACCCGGCGCCGACUCCCCGGCCGGCCUACCCGGCCCCUACCCCGCCGUACGCCGCCGCCACUCCGCCCGGCGCCUGGCGCCACGCCGCGUCCCGGCCCCGCACGCCACCGCCGGCGCCCUCCCCGCCGCCUAUAAAAGCCGCCCGGCCCUCCCCACUCUCCACCCACCAACACCACCACUCCCCGUCUCCCCUGCCUCCGCCACCCGAGCCGCCGCCGCCGCCGCCGAAACCCACCACCGGCCGCACCCCCUUCCCUACCCAAAUCCCCGAGGUGAGUAGCAAAAUGGGGCCUCCCCGGACCCCUCCACCUUCUCCCGCCGCCUCCCCUCGCCGCCGCCGCCCCCAGGCCCGGCCGUGCCCCUCCCUCUCUCCCCCUGUGUACUGUGCGCACCAAAGGAAGAAGAAACCCAAAAUUCCGAUCUAACCCCCUGAAAUCCACUAUUCGCGAAAUAGUCCUUCCACCACUCUUGUAGCAGUUUCACAAAUAAGCCCCUCCACCCCCAAAAGUAAUUACACAUAGGUCCCUGGUUUAUUAUAACUCAGCCCUAAGCCUCCGUUUAAGCCCCUAAUCCAUGUUUAACCCGUCAUUUCAUGCGCCAAACUUCCUCCAAUUAAUCCCAAAUUUUACCACGUCAUCCUCUGGAAUACUUUCGCCGAUCUAUAUCCAAAUUUCCCAGAAAUAAUCCUUCUACCUAUUUUCCAUUCGCGUUUCCUGUUCGGAGCUCACGGUUAAAAAUCGUUUCCUUUUUUAUUUAUUUGUGUGUCUACUUGUGUGUGCCGUAGAUCGCGGAUUGACCGAGGAGGAGCCCGAGGAAGAGUUUGACCGUGAGCCCGAGCCCGAGGACCAGUACCGCGAGCCGGAACUCCCGGAAGGCUUUGAAGAUGGCAAGUCCAAUCUCACCCUUUGAUGCAUACUUAAUACCUAGUUUUUCAAACACAACCUAUUGGCCUGUUUUACAAAAAUGCAUAUUAUUUUAUCGCAAGACAUGGUUGGAUAGCCACCCCUUGAUUGUUAUGAACAUUCCUUGUUGUCCUAUGCCUAUCUCUAAAUAUGACUCGCUCUGUUUAGAUGAUAGCCACUGCUAGAACGCUUAGGAAAUUGUGACUCAACUGCAAUCAUUAUUACAAUAAGUGUAUUCGGAAAAUAAGUGUGUGUGUGUGUCCACGCAAGAGAAAUGGCUUUUGGGGUUGGGGGAAAAGGAUGUGUAGACGGGAUGGAUGGGUGUUCCUCGUGUGGGAUGCCAUGUUGUUGUGCUCGUACCUUGGUGGUUGAGCAAUGUCGGGAGAUAUCCAUCCUGUCGUAAUUAAGGACCGAGUUGAUGUGUCAUCUUGCCUAAUUCCACUAUCGUGCAACCACUCGACCGUUGUAUGGGCAACGCCUUAGCAUAAAUCCCACUAGCUGGAUGGUUAGUCCUCAGGGGUGCUGGUGAGCAACGGAAACCCAUGGAAAAGGAGUAAGAUCUUGGUGACUUAGGUCCCGGUUACGGUCUCAUGGACGAGCCGUGAACCCCUUGGGUGUUUUCCGUGAGGGCUAGCCAGCCUUAGCUAAGGUGGGUAAUGGCUUUGUUAGGAUCCGUACCGUCACUAAGGUGAUCGUGCUGCGGUACCCUACUUGUGGGAAAAGUGUACACCCUCUACAGAGUUAAAACCUAUCCGGGUAGCCGUGUCCACGGCAUUGGACGAGUUACGGCUUGGUCACAUAACUAGCAAUUGGGCAAGAAUGUCAUGUGUGUGUGUGUGUGUGUGUGUGGGAUUUUGGAAGAGUCCGGCAGUUGUGCCGUGCGCUAUGACGGACGGGGAGUCCGAUAGCGAUAAAAACUUGGAUCCUUUGUGUAGGAUCAACCCCACUCAAUGUCUCGAGUAUUAAAGGAAAACCUUACAAAAACCCUUUCAAAACGAUCCCCUGCAUGUGUUAAAAUUUAGCUUUUCCGCAAAUAAACUCUAGCCUAUCCUUGUCAUACUUGUGCAUAAACUUGCUUGUAUCCCCUCCGUGGAUGGGGUUGGACUUGUUGAGUACGUUAGUAAUCACCCUUGCUUCAUUACUACAGAGGAAGACCCCGAUUUCGUCGCAGAGGACCUCGAGUAGAGGUUGUGUCCGCACCCGACGCUGCCUGUGGUGUUGUCUUGCCCAAGAUGCUGCUGCUGCCGUGUAGUCCCGAGUGCUGUCUUUUGGCAGUCGCUUGGUUAGCCGCCGUUAUUUAUUUACUGUUUAUCGCUGCGUGGCUUUCACGUCCACUCCCUCGGGAGUUGUACGGUAACUGAAUUAUCUGUCGAAUAAAUAUGUUAUCAGCCUCCUGGGACUGAUAUUUGUAUCACAUUUAGUCUCUACUUAUGUGGGGACGCUUCAGGUGGUAUCAGAGCCGUCGUUGGCUGUAGGACGCGACCUUAGGACCGGAUUAGCCCUUUUUGACCAAAACAAAAGAAUUACAAAAUUUCUUCCUACCUUUGCUCUAUUGUAAAACUAAUUUGUGCCCCGGAUCUUUUCCAGAUGGCCGAGGAAGGAUGGGUCAACAGCCACUGCCUGGAAGAGCCUGGUUUUCCCAGAUUGCUGUUCGCCUGCAUGGACCGCCUCGGGAUUUAUGAGCGUCCGGAGUACACCAGCAGGGAGUACGAGGACCGCGGGACCCCUCGAUGUGAGAUGAUCAUCUACAUCGGGCGGAGUAGCCACUAUCCGGAUAUCCAGCCAUGGAACGUGACUGCCACCGGCUUCCGGCACAAGGAUACCUAUCAAGUGGCAGCCCGGAAGGCCCUCCGUUUCCUGUGUCAGAUCUAUGAGAGGCACAUUGGCCGCACUCCGAUGAGGUUCUACCCGCCUGUCAAGAAAAACCGCCCGGUUUGGCUGGCCCGGGUACGGACCUUGGAAGGACGUGGACAGCGCGAGGAUGACCCCACUGUGCUGCACAUGGCUGCCUACCUUCUCACCUUGGAUGAACUCUACGACGAGCAGGCUGCUAAGUUGAAGCAGCAGACCCGUAGGGCCGAGGACGCAGAGGUUAUGGUGAGGAGGCUUCAGGUGAAGUUAGCCGCUGCCGAAGCCCGAGCCGCAGCCGCUCAAAGCAACGAGGCCAUUGCCGUUGAGGCUCUCAAGGAGGCUGAGGAUCGGCACACCAAGGAGCUGAAGGAUGCCCACCUCACUGUUCGUGCCAGAAGAAGGAUGGUGGCCAUCGAGGACGACGAGGCUCCGAUCCUUGAAGGGAUUCCCAUUCUUCCAGGGCCCAGUAAGCGGAAAAGUCCGGACGCCACCCCGGCACCACCACCUUCGGAAAGGAACUCCGAGGUGUCGGAUGGAGUGGUUCCCGAGACCCCUCCCACGGGCGGGACUCUGAAGGAUGAAGUGCUGGCCCUUCUCCUCCCAUUGGAGGAUCACUCAGUCCAAGGAGAAGACUCGCCCCGCGAGUAGUGUGCCCAGCCAGGAUUGCCCAAGGAAUGAAGCCGUCAUGGUCCGUAGUUUAGAGUUGUACCCCCCAGUUGUGUUGCUGUAACCGGUCGUGUAGUGCGUGUUUUGGCCUUACCCCCAGCAGUGUUGUACCCCCGUGGCAGAAUAAAUAAAAUCGUUUGUGUUUGUUGCUUGUUAGUCUGUGUGUUUGUCGACAGAGGUGGAUUCUGUCUCUUCGAAAAUACGAAAUAACCACUUUAAAGAUCACUAAAAUCCAAAUCAUACUCUCAUAAAAAGGUCUCACUCAAUCUGCAGAUGCCGCCCAAGCGUGCCACCAGGACUUCCCCCAGUCAGGCCCAUGCCUCCCCCAGUGCAGAGAGGCAGCCAGAAAGGCAGGAGCCGCCCCCGGCAGUACUCCCUGAGGAGCAGGAAGUAAGCCAGCCAGAAGGAAGGGGAGAAAGCCAAGUGGGAACGCAGCAAUCACCGCCCCCACCGGUUAUCGAUCUGGUUCAAGUGAUGAACAACCAGACCCUUCUGCUGGAAGCUCUGGCCAACGCCGUUACUCGCCAGAGGCCCCGCGGGCAGAACAUGAAUGAGAAGUUGACGGACUUCCUCCGGACCAAGCCACCCACUUUUGGCGGGUCUGUCAACCCUCUGGACGCAGAUGACUGGCUACGCGUCAUCCAGAGGAAGCUGGAGCCCUUUGGUUGUGAGGGCAGGGACAAAAUUCUCUUAGCUGCCCACCAGCUCACUGGGACUGCCCUAGCUUGGUGGGAGAACUACUGCUCUGCCGCCCAGGAUGCCUCCACUAUCACCUGGGAUGAGUUCGUGACGGAAUUCCGUCGCUACCACAUUCCCGCCGCCACCAUGAAGCGCAAGGCGGAUGAGUUCCGUGAGCUCCGCCAGGGCAACCGAUCUGUGGAGGAGUACACCUUCCAGUUCAUGGAGCUGGCUCAUUAUGCUCCAGAGGAGGUGGACAAGGAUGAGAAGAAGCAGGACAUGUUCAAGAAAGGCUUGAACGCGGAGCUGAGGACCCUGCUCACUCCCCAGAUCUACCCCGACUUCAACACCUUGAUGAACAUGGCCAUCUUGACCGAGAGGGCUAAGGCAGAAGAGUGGAGGGACAACAAGCGUCGGUUCCUGGAAAACAAGGCGCACCAGCAGGACCGAUUCCAGAAGCCAAGGAGCUUCGGUCACCCCUUGCCCAGAUCCCAAGCUCCCAUGCAUUAUCGGACCCAGUCCCAAGCAUCUGGUUCGCAUCAGACUGCUGCCCCAUUCAGGAGCCAGAACUCUAUCAAGGCCCCACAGAGCAGCGCCAGCCAGGUCACCAGCAAUGGUAGAGCAUGCUUCAACUGCAGAGAGCCAGGACAUUUCAUCGCCAACUGCCCCUAUGCCAACAAGCCAGCAGCAUCAGCCUUGUCCAACUCAGUAGCUGGACCCAGGGCCGCCCUGUCAGGAGCCAACCGUGUGCCAGUUCGCAGCAGCGGCAACCCCAGCAACAACAACAGCCAGCAGAUGAGGCCGCCCCAGCAGUCAUUCGGACGAGCCCGUGUCAACCACAUCGGCGCGCAGGAGGCUCGCGAAGCUCAAGGCGUGGUGCUCGGUGAGUUCCUAGUCAGCUCAGUCUUGGCAACAGUACUUUUUGAUUCUGGAGCAUCACAUUCCUUCAUAUCCUCAAGUUUUGUGGAAAAACAUCAUAUACCUACAGUACUACUAAAGUUACCCCUAUUAACCCGGACUCCUGGAGCCGACAUUCAGUGUCGACUAGGCUAUUCUCGGGUAAGGAUCAAUUUAAGUGGGGUAGAAUUUCUAGCAGAUCUAGUAGUACUUAAGUCUAAGAGGAUAGAUGUGAUUCUUGGAAUGGACUGGCUGAGCCUACAUGACGGUCAUAUAGGGUGUGCCGAUAAGGUAGUGCACCUGACCAAUCGAGAUGGUGUGCAAGUGACCUGUCACACUAAGGGAAGUGGUCCAGACCCCAUGGUGUUCAGCAUGGAGACCAAGACCUUAGAAGGAGUCCCAGUAGUGAGUGAGUACCCGGACGUCUUUCCUGAAGAACUACCUGGAAUGCCCCCUGACAGGGACAUAGAGUUCUUAAUUGACCUCGUCCCCGGAACCUCCCCUAUAGCUAAGAGACCCUAUAGAAUGGCAGCCUCAGAGUUAGCCGAGCUGAAGAAACAGUUGGGAGAGUUGCAACAGAGUGGCUUCAUCAGGCCCAGCUCAUCCCCGUGGGGAGCCCCCGUGCUUUUUGUCAAAAAGAAAGACGGGAGUAUGAGGAUGUGCGUGGAUUAUCGCGCAUUAAAUGAGGUCACCAUUAAGAAUAAGUACCCUCUCCCCAGAAUAGAUGACCUGUUCGACCAACUGAAGGGAGCCAAGUAUUUCUCCAAGAUAGAUCUGAGAUCGGGGUAUCAUCAGCUCAAGAUCAAGGAGAGCGACAUCCCGAAGACCGCCUUUGUCACCCGUUAUGGUCAAUUUGAGUUUACAGUGAUGUCCUUUGGAUUGACCAAUGCACCGGCUUAUUUCAUGAACCUCAUGAACAAGGUGUUUAUGGAUGAGUUAGAUAAAUUUGUCGUAGUCUUUAUUGACGACAUACUUAUCUACUCCAAGAGUGUUCAGGAGCAUGAACACCACUUACGGGUGGUCUUGGAAAAACUGAGAGCCCACCGACUCUAUGCUAAAUUCAGCAAGUGUGAAUUUUGGCUUGAGAAGGUGGCAUUCCUUGGUCAUAUCUUGACCGCGGAAGGAGUAGCAGUUGAUCCUGAGAAGGUGGAAGCCGUCUCCAACUGGCAACAGCCCACUAAUGUUAGUGAAAUCAGGAGUUUCCUGGGUUUAGCAGGGUAUUAUCGGAGGUUUAUUGAGGGAUUCUCCAAGAUAGCCCGUCCCAUGACAGAGUUGCUCAGAAAGGACAAGAAGUUCACCUGGACCGAGUCAUGUGAACGGAGUUUCCGAGAGAUGAAGAAGAGAUUGACAACAGCCCCAGUGCUAACCCUGCCAGACAUCCAGCGAGACUUCAUCAUCUACUGCGAUGCAUCCCGACAAGGAUUAGGGUGUGUCCUCAUGUAGGAUGGGAAGGUUGUGGCCUAUGCUUCCCGACAACUUAAGCCCCAUGAGCAGAACUACCCAACCCAUGACUUAGAAUUUGCAACCGUAGUGCAUGCCCUCAAGAUCUGGAGACAUUAUCUGAUUGGGAAUAAGUGUGAAAUCUACACCGACCAUAAAAGCCUAAAGUACAUCUUUACCCAACCCGAUCUGAAUUUAAGGCAGAGGAGGUGGCUAGAGCUGGUAAAGGACUACAACCUAGAAAUCCAUUACCACCCCGGCAAAGCUAAUGUUGUAGCUGAUGCCCUGAGCAAAAAGUCCUAUGGACAGCCCGGACCCGAGAAUGCCCGUCUACGAGAGGAAGUGGCCCGGUUGAAUGUGCAUAUCAUCCCCCAGAAUGCUAGCCGUAGGCUAAGUGUCCAGCCCACCUUGGAGGAUAAAAUCCGAGAAGCCCAGGGUUCAGACCAAGACUUAGCAAAAAUCCGCAAGCAAACCGGAGAAAAUAAAGCCCCGGAUUUCAGGGUAGAUGACAAAGAAACCUUGUGGUAUAAGAACAGAAUUUGUGUCCCCAAGGACGGAGAAUUCCGGCAGAUCAUCAUGGAUGAAGCCCAUAACUCAGCAUACUCCAUUCACCCCGGAUCCACAAAGAUGUACAUGGACCUAAAGCAGAAAUACUGGUGGAAUGGAAUGAAGGCAGACAUAGCUCAGUUCGUCGCCCGUUGUGACACCUGCCAAAGGGUCAAAGCCGAACACCAGAAGCCAGCCGGCUUGCUGCAACCUUUGACUAUCCCGGUUUGGAAGUGGGAUGAGAUCGGCAUGGAUUUUGUAGUAGGCUUGCGCAGAACUCAGAAGGGAAAUGACUCCAUAUGGGUAAUAGUGGACCGACUCACCAAGGUUGCUCACUAUCUGCCCGCACGGACCACAUACGGUGGAGAAAAACUGGCUCGACUCUACGUCGACAACAUAGUGAAGCUGCAUGGUGUGCCCAGCCGGAUCGUCUCAGAUAGAGGAACUCAGUUCACCUCUAGGUUUUGGAGGAGCUUACACAAAGCCAUGGGCACCAAACUGGAUUUUAGUUCAGCUUAUCACCCCCAGACCGAUGGCCAAACAGAGCGGGUAAAUCAAAUCAUGGAAGAUAUGUGGAGGGCGUGUGUCCUCACCUAUGGGAAGGAUUGGGAACAAAGUCUACCCUAUGCAGAAUGCUCAUACAACAAUAGUUACCAAGCCAGUCUAGGCAUGUCACCAUUUGAGGCUCUUUAUGGUAGAAAGUGUCAGACCCCUUUGAUGUGGUCAGAAGUCGGAGAACGUUCCCUGGUCGGACCAGCUUUUAUCAAGGAAGCAGAAGACCGUGUAGCAGAAAUCCGAGAGAAGCUGAAGGCUGCCCAGUCCAGACAGAAGAGCUACUCGGACAAGAGAAGACGGGAAUUGUGCUUCAAUGAGGGAGAUUUUGUCUACCUCAAGGUAUCCCCGAUUCGGGGUACUCGAAGAUUUCAAGUGCAAGGAAAGCUAGCCCCUCGGUAUAUCGGACCAUACCAGGUGUUAAAGAGAGUUGGAGCCGUAGCGUACCGUAUCCAACUGCCCGAAGAAAUGUCGGAUAUCCACCCGGUAUUUCAUGUUUCCCAGCUAAGAAGUGCCUGAGAGUACCGGAGGAACAAGUGCUAGUGGAAACAAUAGACCUACAAAAGGACCUUCGGUAUCAAGAAGUGCCUGUCAAGAUUUUGGACACUGUCACCAGAAGGACAAGAAAUACGACAGUUCGGAUAUGCAGAGUACAAUGGAGCAGGCAUGGCGAAGAAGAAGCCACGUGGGAACGCGAAGACGCGUUAAAGAAGGAAUUUCCCCAUCUCUUCAGGACUCAGUCGAAUCUCGAGGACGAGAUUCAAUUUAAGUGGGGUAGGUUUGUAACGCCCGCAGAAAUCACUAACUAAAAUCACCCGUUAAAAAACCGUCUUUAAAAUCUUUUUACCGCUGAGCUCCCGGAAAUCGGAAAUCUCCCCGGUGUUUUCGCCGUCCCGGUACCCAUGCCGGCCCCCACCUAUCUUUUUCCGUGCCCGUGAAUCUCGCCGCAUGCCGUUGUCAGACGCCGUGCGCGUGCCCCGACCGCGUGCCGCGAACGCCGCCGGUCUCUUCCUUUUUCCUUCUCUUUUUUCCCCCUUUUCUCCUUUUCUUUUUCCUUCUUCUUUCUUUCUCUUUCUUCUUUCUUCUUCCUUCCUCUCUCUCUCUCCUCCUCUUUCUUCUUCCUGGCACUCGGCGCCACCCCCCCUGGCGCCACACCUCCUGGCCGGCCAACGCCAUUUACUCCGGCGCCCCCAUCCCUGGCGCCAUACUGCCCCGUCGCCCGGACCCGCGCCGCCCGCCUGGGGUCCCGCCGGUCACCUCCGCCCGUCACCGGCCCCCUCGCUCAGCUCGGUCCCGCCAGUCACCUCGGCCCUGCCGGCGCGCCUGGCGCCACGCCGCCCGGCCGCCUUGGGCCUGCGCCCGGGGCACGUGCCGCCACCCGAGCCGCCGCCGCCGCCGCCGAAACCCACCACCGGCCGCACCCCCUUCCCUACCCAAAUCCCCGAGGUGAGUAGCAAAAUGGGGCCUCCCCGGACCCCUCCACCUUCUCCCGCCGCCUCCCCUCGCCGCCGGCGACCCUAGGCCGCCGCCCCCAGGCCCGGCCGUGCCCCUCCCUCUGUCCCCCUGUGUACUAUGCGCACCAAAGGAAGAAGAAACCCAAAAUUCCGAUCUAACCCCCUGAAAUCCACUAUUCGCGAAAUAGUCCUUCCACCACUCUUGUAGCAGUUUCACAAAUAAGCCCCUCCACCCCCAAAAGUAAUUACACAUAGGUCCCUGGUUUAUUAUAACUCAGCCCUAAGCCUCCGUUUAAGCCCCUAAUCCAUGUUUAACCCGUCAUUUCAUGCACCAAACUUCCUCCAAUUAAUCCCAAAUUUUACCACGUCAUCCUCUGGAAUACUUUCACCGAUCUAUAUCCAAAUUUCCCAGAAAUAAUCCUUCUACCUAUUUUCCGUUCGCGUUUCCUGUUCGGAGCUCACGGUUAAAAAUCGUUUCCUCUUUUAUUUAUUUGUGUGUCUAAUUGUGUGUGCCGUAGAUCGCGGAUUGACCGAGGAGGAGCCCGAGGAAGAGUUUGACCGCGAGCCCGAGCCCGAGGACCAGUACCGCGAGCCGGAACUCCCGGAAGGCUUUGAAGACGGCAAGUCCAAUCUCACCCUUUGAUGCAUACUUAAUACCUAGUUUUUCAAACACAACCUAUUGGCCUGUUUUACAAAAUGCAUAUUAUUUUAUCACAAGACAUGGUUGGAUAGCCACCCCUUGAUUGUUAUGAACAUUCCUUGUUGUCCUAUGCCUAUCUCUAAAUAUGACUCGCUCUGUUUAGAUGAUAGCCACUGCUAGAACGCUUAGGAAAUUGUGACUCAACUGCAAUCAUUAUUACAAUAAGUGUAUUCGGAAAAUAAGUGUGUGUGUGUGUCCACGCAAGAGAAAUGGCUUUUGGGGUUGGGGGAAAAGGAUGUGUAGACGGGAUGGAUGGGUGUUCCUCGUGUGGGAUGCCAUGUUGUUGUGCUCGUACCUUGGUGGUUGAGCAAUGUCGGGAGAUAUCCAUCCUGUCGUAAUUAAGGACCGAGUUGAUGUGUCAUCUUGCCUAAUUCCACUAUCGUGCAACCACUCGACCGUUGUAUGGGCAACGCCUUAGCAUAAAUCCCACUAGCUGGAUGGUUAGUCCUCAGGGGUGCUGGUGAGCAACGGGAACCCAUGGAAAAGGAGUAAGAUCUUGGUGACUUAGGUCCCGGUUACGGUCUCAUGGACGAGCCGUGAACCCCUUGGGUGUUUUCCGUGAGGGCUAGCCAGCCUUAGCUAAGGUGGGUAAUGGCUUUGUUAGGAUCCGUACCGUCACUAAGGUGAUCGUGCUGCGGUACCCUACUUGUGGGAAAAGUGUACACCCUCUGCAGAGUUAAAACCUAUCUGGGUAGCCGUGUCCACGGCAUUGGACGAGUUACGGCUUGGUCACAUAACUAGCAAUUGGGCAAGAAUGUCAUGUGUGUGUGUGUGUGUGUGGGAUUUUGGAAGAGUCCGGCAGUUGUGCCGUGCGCUAUGACGGACGGGGAGUCCGAUAGCGAUAAAAACUUGGAUCCUUUGUGUAGGAUCAACCCCACUCAAUGUCUCGAGUAUUAAAGGAAAACCUUACAAAAACCCUUUCAAAACGAUCCCCUGCAUGUGUUAAAAUUUAGCUUUUCCGCAAAUAAACUCUAGCCUAUCCUUGUCAUACUUGUGCAUAAACUUGCUUGUAUCCCCUCCGUGGAUGGGGUUGGACUUGUUGAGUACGUUAGUACUCACCCUUGCUUCAUUACUACAGAGGAAGACCCCGAUUUCAUCGCAGAGGACCUCGAGUAGAGGUUGUGUCCGCACCCGAUGCUGCCUGUGGUGUUGUCCUGCCCAAGAUGCUGCUGCUGCCGUGUAGUCCUGAGUGCUAUCUUUUGGCAGUCGCUUGGUUAGCCGCCGUUAUUUAUUUACUGUUUAUCGCUACGUGGAUUUCACUCCCACUCCCUCAGGAGUUGUACGGUAACUGAAUUAUCUGUCGAAUAAAUGUGUUAUCAGCCUCCUGGGACUGGUAUUUGUAUCACAUUUAGUCUCUACUUAUGUGGGGACGCUUCAAAGCCGAUGGACUGUCAUUGCCCUGCAAUUAUAACAUCGAUGCGAUGCAGAUGCUACGACUAAACAGAAAACCGGUGAGGAACUCAUGCGGAUGAUAGCCCUUUGUGCCGAUGUCGACGUAGCCGAGGUGAGGACAAAUAGCCAUGGUCGAGGAUGCCGUGCGUAGGGUAGCUGUGGUCGACGUAGUCGUCAAGGUUGCCGAAAACGAGGGAGUUGGACAUGAAGCUGCGGGCGUACGAGGAGACACCACGGGGAUGGUGGCGCAUAGGGGAAGACACCAAAGACGAAGACGGUGACGCGUCGAGGCAAUUGUAGAAGGAGAGGUCGAUGCGGAAGUCGAUGCUGUCAGGCCGACGUGUAGACCAGGCAUAUCCGGGUUUGCCAAGCCCGGAAACACGUCGGGGAUGAUGGCACGCACCAAUGUUGCCAAUACUAAACGUGCAAGGUAGAGGGCACCGGCCAUGUGUCAGCGUCUGAGGGACUAGCAGAGGAGGCCUCCAGGAUGGUUGCGGGCGCGGAAUGGCGUGGGGGUAGAAGGUGCCGAUGCAGCCUGCGGUUGUCGGAGUAGAAGAAUGAGGUGGAUAUGAGACGGCAACACUGGCGACGAGGUGGUGCUGGACGAAGUAAGGAGGUAGACCCUAAUGAUUUGGCGCAAGGCCCGAUGAUCCGGAUGAUGCAGUGGUGGAGCUUAAAGGAGAUGGCGAAGAACUCGAACACCUUGAUGAAGACCAUGUGCGUGAUGCGCACAAUGACGUAGUCGUGGACAAGGUUGCAGACGCUGUCGAGGAAGACGACGUGGACGUGGUUGAGGAUGUAGUCAAUGGCGAUGAAGAUGCAACGACGGGGAGGACCAGGGAUGGCAGCGCUGUUGCUCGAAGAGGCAAAGUAGCCGCAACCCUCAUGUCGGUGGUGGUGCGCACGUACUUAGGACAACCGUCCCAAAUCCGCACAUUCCGCGACCAUGCAUUAUUAACUGAUCGGACAAGGGUGCACGUAUGAGAUGACGGACGACGAUGUCGUGCAGAUCGGAGUGGUAGCAGCGAUGUCGGGGAUGACCGGCGUGGAGAUCGUGUGGCAGAUGGACCUGGUGGUGCCCCUACGCGAACCGCACGCUAGCCCGGACCACACAGGUGUUGAAGAGGAAGGCCGAUGACGAUGUCCAAGAAAAGGAGCGCAGAGUCGACUGGCGUGGGCGACGCAAACCCAAUAUCUGAUAGGAAGAAAAAAAAGGGACAGCAGUAGGAUCGAUCUUCAUAUAGAACUCUGGGUGCGCAUAGCUUUAUUUCCCAACUCCUUAUCUCUUCCCGUCCUGGUGGUCAACGGAGACAGGAGAAAAGAAUUGAGGUCUUGUUUAGUUGCCCAAGUUUGGAGGUGCCAAAUUACUGCUAUAGCACUGUAGCACACUGUAGCAUUUCGUUUGUAUUUGUGAAUUAUUAUCCAAACAUUGACUAAUUAGGCUCAAAAGAUUCGUCUCGCAAAGUACAACAAAACUGUGCAAUUAGUUUUUUCUACAUUUAGUACUCCAUGCAUGUACCGCAAGUUUGAUGUGAUGGGGAAUCUUCUUUUUGCAUAGUGCCAAAGUUGCGAGUUGGGGGUGAACUAAACAAGGGCUGAGAGAGAGGGAGAACGUGGCCUGCAGCGCAUGUCAGCGGUGCGUCUCGCAGAGUUUGGUCAGCCCUGUGUCCCUGACGGCAGCGCCGCGCAGGGGUGCCCAUGCACGGCACAACGUAGGGGGUGUUUGAAUACUAGGUGCUAAACUUUAGCAGUGUCACAUUGGAUGUUCGGAUGCUAAUUAGGAGGACUAAACAUGAGCUAAUUAUAAAACUAAUUGCAGAACCCAUAUGCUAUUUCGCGAGACGAAUCUAUUAAGCCUAAUUAAUCCAUCAUUAGCAAAUGGUUAUUGUAGCACUACAUUGUCAAAUCAUGGACUAAUUAGGCUUAAUAGAUUCGUCUCGCGAAUUAGACUCCAUCUGUGUAAUUAGUUUUGUAAUUAGCCUAUAUUUAAUACUCCUAAUUAGCAUCCAAACAUCCGAUGUGACAUGUGCUAAACUUUAGCAUUGGGUAUCCAAACACCCCCGUAGUAUGGAAUCGCCACGCCGGUGGCAGAGCAUGUCGUCGGGAUAGGCCACGCAGCUUGGCUGGCCACGGUAGCGACACCGCCGCCCACCGGCUGCAGCGGAGGGGAUCUGGAUGGCGACGACACGACCCCACCCGGCUCGUGACCAAGCUUCAAUCUGUUGCUGCUUGACACGACGCGGGCGACGGAAUCAGCCGCUGAAAGAAGGACGCUGCCCCUAGCGAGAUUGAUCUCCCCGGAGGAGCACGGUUAGGGUUUGUCGUUAAGAAUUAGUCGUAAAAAAUUAGAACCUAAACUUGUGAUACCAUAUAGAAGGAAUAGAUUACGUAUAAUCGAUGUAUUGAUGGUUAUUGCAUUGAGCUUCUCGGCCGGUACAUAUUAAGUACAAGAUUUGGGGGCGAAGGCUCCCCGGAUACAUAUGGUAUCUACGACACGUAUAUCUACAACUACCAAAUAUACUCUAACAGUUCGUUUUGUUUUGGAGAUUCUUAUUGUAUAUCAGCACGCCAGGUUGAUAGUCCUGUUGGAACAAUAUCCAUGAAUUUAUCACCAUUUAAUAGCAGAUGCAUGCAAGUAGAGUGUCACUCCAUCAGCUUUCAACCACUUUAGAUUCAAGGGAGAUCUUUCUGUAAAUCACACUGUGGACUCUACAUGUUGUGGUUAUUAUUUCACUCAUCACAUUUGGUCAGAACUCUAAAGUUCAUUAUAGUGCAACGAGCCCAUAUAAACGUGACAGUUCAUAACGAUUUACUGUUACAAUCAAUUCCUAUAUUCAAAACAAAACAACAUGAAUUUGCAAUAGGGCAGAGUACUAAAUUCCAUAAUAUUAACCGCCCUUGUACUUGUUCUACUCUGUGUUUUAACUUCAAAGGUACAUGACAACUGGAAAAGAAGUCUAGAAGAGAUCCCAGAGUAUGCGUCACUUGAAGCGGAUUGCAAACAAGUGAAAGGAUGUAUGGAAAUUGCAAUAAACUGCAAGAAGAAGAAGCGUCAUGAAAGGCCUACAAUAGAGGAUAUUAUCAGCAAAUUAGAUGAGACGGAAACUGUUAAAAUUGACACGCAGUUGUCAAUUAAAAAGGUACAACCUAUCAUUCAUCUUAUAUAUGUAAAAAAUAUACAACCCAUAGUUUAUUUGUCCCUAAAUAUUACCAGUGGUCGAAAAUAUAUACUUGGCUCUUUAUACGUCCACAUGGCAACUUUCACUAUGUUUGUUUUUAAAUAUUUAAGUUGGAAACAGGGAAAAUAAAUUGUUUGAUUUGUGUCGGAAACAUGCAUAUAUCGAAUAUAAAAGUGAGCAAAAUACUCAUGACUCUCAGUAUAUUAAUGUCUCUCUUUCUUGCCACUGUUAAUUUUGUAUGCUGUAAUUCUAACUAGAGGUGCGCGCGCGCGUUAGAAAAUAAGUCUACAACAGAUCCCAGAGUAUGCCAUCAUGUGAAUUCAUACCGACACAAGUCGAUGAGAUAUCAGCCACGGCCCUUGCAAUCGUAGAAUACAAGACAAAAACAAUAAGUUAACUAGCUGUGCAGAUAUAAACGAGAGGCCGACGUCUCUGGAAUUAGCCACCGUCUCCUAUACGAAGGAAUGAACCACGACGAAACAUGAUUAGAUUAGUAGACGCCCGUCUGUGCAAAAUCACUAACAAUGUGCCAAAAAUAAAUUAAUUAGCUUUAGGAUCUGUGCUAUUUUUUUAAAGGAGCGCCGGAGCAAAAUUCACAAUGUAAUUUUUACUUUAUUUCGUAGGAUGAGCAAACACCAUUUUCCUAAGAUUUCCCAUUUGUUUUUAUUGACAGGGUUACUUUGAAGAAUCCAGAUUCUUAUCUAGUGGCAUCCUGGGCAGGCCAUGUCAAUGUUAGUAAUGUUACAUUUAAAAUAGAUCCCUUCAUUUACUAAAUAUUUAAUUUAUUUUUAUUGAAGUUUGAUAUCGAUAUAAUGUAGCAUGCUGUGUGUUGGUGUAAUUGUGUUGUUCAGUACAAUCGGCUGGAGCGGUACUCCUUGCUGUCACGAAGAUAGGUUCCAUUUUAGGAGAUGAAACCUCCAAGGCUGUUAUAAAUAAGCUGUCUUGGAAAGUUCAUUCUCUGAAGGAACUGCCAUGGAAAGUCGAUCAAAUAAGGAUGAAUCUGACAUUCAUGAGCCAAAUUAUACAGCAGAUUGGAACAGUCUACCUCACAGAUGAGCUUGCCAAUAAUUGGAUCGGGGAGGUCCGGAAGGUGGCUUACCGUGUUGAAGAUGUAGUAGACAAAUACUCAUACCAUGUUUUUCAACUGACGCAAGAAGGGUUCCUGAAGUUCUUCAUCAAGGGAACCCAUAAUGACAUUGUUUUCAGCGCAAUUACAGAUGAGAUAGCUCAUAUUGAAGAGGAGAUUAACCAAGUUAUUCAUAUGAAGGAUAAGUGGUUACACCAAACACAGCUUGUCUCUAACAAUCAACAACUUGCUGAGAUUGAAAGGCAGCGGUCCCAAGAUGGUUUCCCAGAUUUUGUCAAAGAUGAAGAUCUAGUAGGAAUUGAAAAAAAUAGAAAAUUGCUGUCUGGAUGGCUGUACUCGGAUGAGCUGGAUAGCACCGUGAUAACAGUUUCGGGUAUGGGUGGGUUGGGAAAAUCUACCCUGGUAACAAAUCUUUAUGAACGUGAAAAGGUCAACUUCCCUGUGCAUGCUUGGAUUGUUGUGUCACAGAUCUGCCCGGCAGACGCUCUGUUGAGAAAGCUACUCUGGAAGAUUGGGAACAAGAGGGCAGUACACGACUUGAAUUGACAAAAUGGAUGUACACGACUUGAAGGCAGAAAUAAAGAAAAAACUCCAAAAUAGAAAAUGUUUGAUUGUAUUAGAUGACGUCUGGGAGCAAGAGGUAUACUUCAAAAUACAUGAUGCUUUCCAGAAUCACCAAGCAAGUCGUAUUAUACUUCAAAAUACAUGAUGCUUUCCAAAAUACAUGAUGCUUCGUUGGACCAGCACCUUGAGCUAGAACCAUUGGAUGGCCCUGAUGCAUUUGACCUUUUCUGCAGAAGGGCUUUUCACAACAACAAGGACCACAAAUGCCCCAAGGAGUUUGAGGAAAUUGCUACAUCUAUAGUGGAUAGGUGUCAUGGCCUGCCGCUGGCAAUUGUUACUAUAGGCAGCUUGUUGUCUUAUUUGGAAUACAUUAUUUGGAAUCAAACAUAUAAUCAGCUAAGGAGUGAGUUGUCAACAAAUGAUCAUGUCCGAGCAAUAUUAAACCUAAGCUAUCAUGAUCUAUCUGAAGACCUCAGAAAUUGCUUUUUGUAUUGUAGCUUGUUCCCUGAAGACUACCCCAUGUCACGAGAAAGCCUUGUGCGACUGUGGGUUGCAGAAGGCUUUGUUCUGAGCAAAGAAAAGAAUAAACAUUUGGAAUCAAACAUAUAAUCAGCUAAGCUUUUUGUACUGCAAAUUGUCAACAAAUUGCUUUUUGUACUGCAGCUAGUUCCCUGAAGACUACCCCAUGUCACGAGAAAGCCUCGUGCGGCUGUGGGUUGCAGAAGGCUUUGUUCUGAGCAGAGAAAAGAAUACACCAGAGGAGGUGGCUGAGGUAAAUCUCAUGGAACUGAUUCACCGCAAUAUGCUUGAAGUUGUGGACUGUGAUGAGCUCGCAAGAUGCAUAAUAUUAUGCGGGAUCUGGCACUCUCCAUUGCCAAAGAAGAAAAGUUUGGUUCUGCAAAUGAUUAUGAAGCAAUAAUACAGGUGGACCCACAUGUUCGCCGAUUGUCAUUAUGUAGGUGGAAAGUUAAUACUUCACUUAAGGUUAAAUUUCCACGUCUCAUGGAAUGAUUUCGUCCACCCAUGAUUUGUUACCCUCAAUUUUGUCUGAAUCAAAGCACUUGACUGUUCUAGAGCUGCAAGAUUCUAAUAUCACCGAGGUGCCCACAUCUAUAGGGAAUCUCUUUAAUCUGCGGUACAUUGGGUUAAGGCGCACCGAUGUCAAGUCACUCCCAGAGUCCAUUGAGAAUCUCUUGAAUCUCCACACUCUGGACAUCAAGCAAACCCAAAUAGAAAAGCUACCACGAGGUACUGUUAAUGUUAAGAAGUUGAGGGACCUUUUGGCCGACAGGUUCGCUGACGAAAUGCAGUCAGAUUUCAGAUUUUUUAUCGGAGUCGAAUCACCUGAAGGGCUGUCGAACCUGGAAGAACUGCGGACUCUAGAGACAGUGCAAGUGAGCAAAGACUUGGCUGAGCAGCUGAAGAAACUGAUGCAGCUCAGAAGCGUAUGGAUAGACAAUGUAAGUGCUUCUGAUUGUGCAAACCUUUUUGCGACCCUAUCGACGAUGCCACUUCUUUCCAGCCUGCUUAUCUCUGCAAGAGAUGUGAAUGAGACACUUUGCCUCCAAGCCCUUGAUCCGAUUUCCACAAAGCUCCACAGGUUAAUUGUAAGGGGCCAGUGGGCUUCUGGGACACUGAAGUAUCCGAUAUUUCGCAAUCAUGGGGAACAUCUCAAAUAUUUAGCGUUAAGCUGGUGUCAGCUUGGAGAAGAUCCAUUGGGUGUGCUCGCUCCACACGUGCCAAAUCUCACCUAUUUAAGUCUUAACAGGGUGAAUAGUGCAAGCACUUUGGUUCUUUCUGCUGGGUGCUUUCCUCACCUGAAGACGCUCGUCUUGAAGCGAAUGCCGGAUGUCAAGCAGAUGGAAAUCGGAGAUGGUGCUCUUCCACGUAUUGAAGGUCUUUACAUUGUGUCCCUAGCACAGCUGGAUAAGGUUCCUCAAGGCAUCGAGUUGCUUCUUUCUCUGAAGAGGCUUUGGCUGCUGUACCUGCACGAUGAGUUUAAAACUCUGUGGCAAACGAGUGGGAUGCACCAGAAGAUGCAGCACGUUCCAGAGAUUCGUAUCUAGGACAACUAGAUGGUAAAUUCUCCAUUGGUAUGCUUGUAUGAUGUGUCUGCUCAGAACUGUGUUUGUUGGGCACUUUAUCCCUUUUUAUUCCAAUAAGCCAUGAAUUCUUCCUUUUGAUUUUUUUUAUUGUACAUUGAAACACCCAUGUAUGUGCUGUGUGUUGGUUCAGUUGCUUUAGGAAUACUACUUUUGUUCAAGAACACUUCCCUUCUGUAUUUAACUUUUGUAAAUGAUGUUAUGAUCAACAGAUUUUGUGCAUGUGAGGUGCAUAAUAUGUGAACUUACAAACCAGCAGAAUAUUCAUAAUUUCAGGGCGUUUACUUUAUUUAUAUGCUACUAAAUUGAACAGUGCUCUUCACUUUGCCACUAACUUUUUGCUUUUCAUUUUUUAUGCUGUUAUUCCAGAUGGUGCUUCUAGAAAGUUCAAUUUCUCGUAAUUCUCAGUCAAUUUUCCAUUAGCACCCAAAAAUACUGAAAAAUCCUUCAGAAAAAGCUCCAAAAAAUGUAGAAAAUUAUUUUGAACUAAGAAAAAUAGUGAAAGCCUGAAAGGUACUCCCCCCACACACACGCACACCCCAAACGAUGAAAGAACGUCGUAAACUCUUAAUCACUGAAAAAAUAUUUUCUAAAACAAUAUGUGCAGAGAAAACUAUCCUACAAAUUUACUUUUGUUGAAAUGUGUACGUUUCGAUCUUUACCAGCUCUUAUGGAAAAUCCUUUUUAAAGGAUUUCUACUAUAUUGUUUUUCUUCAAAGAUGAUAUAAAAAAUUUGUUUAAAUGGUCCGGGUUUUUUCAUGCUCUUUUUUACAUUUCCUAUGAUAUUUCAUGAGCUUUCUGUGAUCUUUAGCACAUUCUUUUACGUAUUUUUAGAGACCAUGUAGAUGAGCUUUCGCAAUAGAAUCAAAGUUGUGAUAGCAUGUUUAUUACUUGCAUUCUAAGGAAAUAGUGCCAUGAAUAAAUGAGAUGUGCUAAACUUCACAUGGCCAAGUUAAGAGCAUUGUUUGAGUUGAUGUUAUAAAGUAAAUGAUCUCGUAGAAAAAUAAAACAUUUGGGCACUAAGACACAUACUUUAUAAAAAUAAGUUCCUUUAGGAAACUAAAGGUUAUUACAAAUGAACUUCCUUUUGGUAGAUUUAUUCAUCAAUAAAGACAUUAUGUAAAUCACAAUCAAUUAAGACUUUGCAAAAACAGUUGGAAGACCUUUCUACGUGUUUUCUUCCUUUUUGAUUUUGCUUAUAAAAGAUGAUAGUUUGUUAGGGGAACUCACCUAAUAAUAUUUACAUGAUGCCAAAUAUCUAAGCUGUUCGAUUGGGCGUUUCGAGUGCAAUCAGAUGAGAUCCCACAUUGUAAGGGACUACAUUGGUCCUCUUCUGAUCAAGACACCGUCGAGAGCUCCGAUCCGCCGUGGCCCCUCCCUUUGUCCCGAUGAUGGCUCCGCCGCCGCCGGCCGGAUACUCUGGCGCUGUACGUCUUGGUGGUGCCGAGCCGAGGCGAUCGACUGCAGGGAUCUGGAACGGCAAGCGGCCAAGCCUACCUCAUCGCCCUGCCGCCGCUGCCCGCUGGAGUCGAUGAAACCCAUGGUUGAAGAGCGGGAAGGCGAGGUCCUACUACUCGACCGGCCGACCCCUCCCACCACUGAACUUUGGUUUGGAUCAGAACUCAGGUGAUCGCCCACUUCCAUCUCUCCUAUGUAUUCCUUUUCCAUUUGUUCCAAUAAAACACUAUUAUUGAACUGAAACCAUCUCCCAAACGAACUGAACAAAUCUCCUAAGAAAUCCAGCAAACAACGGUGCAUUUGCAUUCCAUUACCCGUCAUUCCGUUGUGUGUAUGAAGUAAUAAUCCGUAGCAGGCCUCAGGUUUCCGAAUGUCAUAUGUUCAUUGACAUCUUGGAUAGCAUAAUUAUCAAACGAACUAUGUUCACUUUAAUACAGAUUCUAAAUGGGGGAAAACAUGUAGACAUGCAGAAAGGUGCAGGAAAUACUCCUGGUUUACAAGAAAAUGAUACAACACUUGCAACCUAUGAGGCUAUUACUGAAUUCAAAUACGAUGGAAAAAGUAUUGUAGCUAUAACUCAAGAGUGGAGUAAUUUAGACAAUGGAAUGAUAAGAUACUUCAAUGAUCAUUAAGGAAGGAAAUUUUAUGACUUGAGAUGGACCACCUUGAAAUAUUCUUCAUAGUAGUCUGGCGAACCAAAUUAUGUAGUAACUCUACUAGCUCACGAGAAUCCUCCACUGAAUGUUUCACCUUUUGCUCAAAAAAAAGGGCAUCAUAAACCAUGGGGACCUAUCUUUGGGUAGAAGUACAUGGAUCAAUUUUAAAUUUUUAUUUUCACUUAUCUUUAAUUUGCAGUUAUUGCCUUGUGCUAUGAAAUUCAGGUGCUAAAAAAUUUAUUAAUUUUAGAGUUAGUGUUAGAGUUUUAUUUGUUUCUGUAAAGGUGAGGCCGAUAUCCCUAAAGGUACAACAACUUUAUUUAACCAACUCUUUUUUUGCAUAAAAUGGGCGACAGUAGUCAGAGCAAGUGGUUGAUCAUCACAUUUAUUUAAAAUUGCUGCUGAAUCAGGCUGCAAGUAAUCUGAAUAUUCCCCUGGACAAGCAUUUCUCAGAAACAAUUGCUUUGAGUGUUUCUCAUCAAGUCUUCUCAUUUUGUGUAUGUAACCGUGGGUUGAGCUGCAGGUAUUGGCUACUGACUGGAUUUUUGUUGUCACCACUAUUCUACUGCUAACAUCUCGAGGGAAGGCAGACUUUACGAUACUCCAUUGAUCUGACCUCAUGCCAUCAAUUACGAUGAAGUACCUGGAAUAUUUAGAAAUGAGGAUAUAAAAGUUAUCAAAGAGUUAUUCUGCAACAACAGUAAACUAAUGGGUCAAGGAAGAAAGAACAGUUUUCUUAUUGGACUGCAUUGAGCAUCACAUAUAUAACAUAUAUAUAAUUUCUGUAGUUUAAAGGAAUAACUGAUGUUUACUGAUAUAUGCUUUCAAAGAAUAACAUACAUAUGCUUUAAGUAGUGACAUAUUCACACUUGGAGUAUAUAAUAUGGCCCAAAUUAGCAACUGAUUUAUGCAGUUCUUUCAGAUCCCUUUAGUUUUCUUAGCUAUUUCAGAAAUUUCCUUCCGCUUAUCAUUCACCCAGUAUAGGGAGCACAUAUUUCUACAUGUCACUUCCCAAAGAGAAGUCUCCUUUUCUUUUCUCCUUAUACUAGAAGUCUCAGACAUUAGAUUCAAAGUGUUUGUAGGUAGUUCAACUGAGUGCAUGAAUCUUUUCUGAAUCCUCAACAUGUUCUGUACGAGAAACUAUCUGAAUCUUUCAUUUCUCAUAGCCGAUGUCUUUCCUGACUAUCUAUGUUUAUGGAAAGAAUUUCAUUUCGAUGAUAACAUUCAGUAAUCAGACUAAUGAGUAAAGUACUAUUUUCAUUUUGCUAAAGGAUGGUAGACAGUUUCUACCUCUUGUUAUUCAGGAAGUUGCAAAGAUCAGCACUGUGUUAGGAUCUGAACUGUAACUCUCAUCGAGAGGAUGGCACUAGGAAGAGUUGGGGCAAUUUUCUGGAUUUUCUUUCCACAAUACCAUGUCCAACCAAGGGUUGGGGAUACAUAUUUAUAGCUGGCCUGGCAGCCAACCAGCCAAGCAUCAAGGCAUAUGCUAGUCUAAGAUGCCUUUGAUGCUGUCCUAUCUAGUCUAAGAUGCCUAUGACUGUCUUACCCUAAAAGUAGUCAACAAAGUGGUGCUGCAGCAAGCAUAUGCUGCAGCCCCACUGUCCUCCAGUCAAAAACAGCUGCAGUCCCACAAGGACCAGCAGCACAAGACCAAGUACAGCAGCUGGUCCUUGAAGACCAGCAGGACUAGUACAGCAGCUGGUCCUUGAAGACCAGCAGGACCAGUACAGCAGCUGGUCCUUGAAGACCAGCAGCAAGACUUAUCCAGCAUUCUUCCCCUAAGUCUUGUGCGUCGUCUUGUGGGAAAGUUGGACCAUCCCGGUCCUGGAACAGAGCUCAAGGAACUUGAUCCUCCCAAGGGGCUUGGUGAUUAGAUCCGCAAGCUGAUCCUUGGUGUUGAUAGAGCUCGCCUUGAUGCUUGCUUCCUCCAAACAGCCUCGGAUGAAGUGAUACCUCACCCGGAUGUGCUUGCUCCGCUCAUGAAAAACGGGGUUCUUUGCCAGGGCCAGAGCGAACUUGCUGUCCACCCUAAGCUCCACCGCUCUAGUGUCUCUGCCAAGGAGAUCACCGAGCAGUCGGGCAAGCCAAAGCGCCUGAGUCGAAGCAAUGGAGGCCGCUAUGUACUUGGCCUCGCAGCUGGACAGCGCCACCACCUGCUGCUUGACCGACUGCCAGCUAAUGAGGCACUUGCUGAGGAAGAAGAGAAUCCCGCUCGUGCUCUUGCUAGUGUCGAUGUCGCCGGCGUGGUCGCUGUCGCUGUACCCGACGAAGUGUGCCGCCCCGGGACACCUCGGGUAGAAGAGAUCAUGGUCGAGGGUCCCCGCAACAUAGCGGACGAUCCUCUUCACGGCCUACUGGUGCUCCAUCGUCGGUCGCUGCAUGAACCGACUGACGUAGCCGACGGAGAAUGCCAAGUCCGGUCGUGUGUGGGCGAGGUAGUGAAGGCUCCGCACAAGAUGCCAGUACUGCGUAGGAUCUACCUCCUCCGUCGUGCUGUCGCGGCUCAGCUUCAGCCUCUCCUCCAUCGGAGUGAGAGCUGGGUUGCAGUUGGUGAGCCCGGCUAGCUCCACGACGCGCUUGGCGUAGGCGGUCUGUCGAAGCGUGAUCCCGGAAUCAUCCUGGUGCACCUCGAUCCCCAGGUAGAAGGAGAGAGGCCCUAGAUCACUCAUCUGGGAGGUGGCCUUCAUUUCUUCCUUGAACGCCGCCACCUCCGCAUCCUUGGUGCCUAUGAUCACCAAGUCGUCGACGUAGACACCUACCAGCAAGGCAUUUUCUCCAGUGCCCCGCCAGUAGAUGGCCGCCUUGUGCGGGCUUUGCUCGAAGCCCAUCCCUUUGAGCGUGGAAUCCAACUUGGCAUUCCACGCCCUCGAUGCCUGCCGCAGGCCAUAGAGGGCCUUGCGCAAGCGUAGCACCUUGCCUUCCUUGUUGGGGAUCGCAAAACCCGGCAGCUGGUGCACGUAGACCUCCUCCUUCAAGUCGUCGUUAAGAAACGCCGACUUGACGUCCAUAUGAUGAACGCGCCAGCCUUCCUGGGUGGCCAUCGCAAGGAGGAGUCGCACGGACUCCAUCCGUGCCACGGGGGCGAAAGCAUCGUCGAAGUCGAUCCCCUCUUGCUGCACGAACCCACGUGCUACCAAGCGAGCUUUCUGCUUGACGAUGGCACCGGCUUCAUCCCUCUUCAGCUUGAACACCCACUUAAUCGCACGGUGGCCACGAGGGAGGUCAGCAAGCUCCCAGGUGCGGUUCUUCUCAACCACGUCCAUCUCCGACUGCAUCGCGGCGUGCCAUGCCGCGUGUCUCUCGGCCUCCGCGAAAGAUCGAGGCUCGCCAUCAUCGCACACAAGGUGCAACUGUGCCUCCAGGUUGUGAGGCACCAGUCCUGGCACCGGCUGGUCGCCGAGGAGAUCUUCCAUCGUACGGUACCGCAACUGCUCGCCGUCGUGGUACACGUCGAUGCGCUCCUCGUCGUGAGAGAGCGGAGUAGCGAACUCCACCGGGCUGUGCUUGACAUGAGCUGGUGUCGGAGUAAACGUGCCCGGAGGGAUGGCCGUCAGUGCUGGAAUACGUGGCGUCGCCGGCUGUGGUGGUGCCGGCGAGAAUCUCGUCGCAGCCAAAGUCGCGGCUGGAGAGCGUGGCGCUGCCGGAGUAGCAGGCAUCGGAGUCGGUGGAGGUUCAGGGAUUGGGGUAGGCACACUCGGCGAAGAAGAGCUGCCUACUCCCCCAGCUUCCUCAAAGUGGAUGUACUCGACACUGAAGUUGUCGUACGUCGGAGUCAAGCUGUCGUCCACCGCCUUGUCCCACGCCCAUCCUCACCCUUCGUCGAACACAACAUCGCGCGCUGUGCGCACACGCUGUGUCUCCGGGUCGAGAAUGCGGUAGGCCUUCAAACCCUCCGCGUAGCCGAUGAACACUCCUGGAGUGCUCCUGUUGUCAAGCUUGCCGAUGUGGCCAAGCUCCUUGGCAAACGCGAGGCAACUGAAGACCCGCAGGUGGGACACCGCCGGCUUGGACCCAUGCCAAGCCUCGUAUGGCGUCCUGCCGUCGAGCACCUUGGUGGGUGAGCGGUUGAGGAUAUAGACAGCCGUCACCACCGUCUCUCCCCAGAGAACAGCCGGCAUCCCUAUCUGCUUGAGGAGGGCCUGAGUCAUCCCGACAACCAUCUGGUUGUGCUGCUCGACGAUGCCAUUCUGCUGCGGGCUGUACGGCACGGAGUAGUGGCGCUGAAUGCCCUCAUCAGCGUAGUACGACGCGAACUCAGCCGCCAUGAAUUCGCCGCCGUUGUCAGUGCGCAGCACGCGCAGCUUGCGGCCGCACUCCGCCUCCGCAGCAGCCUGCGUGCGCCUGAUGGCGUUCGCAGCCUCCCCCUUGCUGCCAAGGACCAUCACCCACAUGUAGCGGGAGAGGUCGUCGACGAGCAGCAAGAAGUAGCGUCGUCCUCCGGGUGUGGCCGGUGUCACCGGGCCACACAAGUCCCCGUGCAUAAGCUCGAGCCACUCCUUGGCUUGGAAGCUCGCGUGCUGGGGAAAGGGGAGCCGCCUCUGCUUUGUCAACACACAGACAUCGCAGAACUGCUCCACGUGAUCGAGACAUGGUAGGCCUCGCACCAUCUCCUUGGCAUUGAGCCGCUUCAGGGCCUCGAAGUGAAGGUGCCCGAAGCGCUCGUGCCACUGCCACGCCUUGUCAUCCUAAUGAGUAGCGAGGCAGCAGGGUUGUGCCACCUGCACAUUAAGGAUGUAGAGUCGAUUUGCGCCUCUGGUUACCUUGGCAAGAAGGCGACGACGACGGUCCCAAAUCUUCAUGACUCCGUCGUCGAUCACCACGCAUGAACCGUUCUCUUCCAGCUGUCCCAAGCUGAUGAUAGAGUUUCUCGGCGUGGGGAUGUAGUACACUCCGGUGAGUAGCCUGUGCUCUCCAGACUCGACGGUGAAGAUGACGGAGCCGACGCCCUUGAUCUCUACGCCGGAGGCAUCCCCAAACUUGACGGUGCCUCAGACGCUAGAGUCAAGCUCGGUGAAGAACUCCCGCCGACCAGUCAUGUGCUGGGUAGCGCCGGUGUCGAGGCACCACCCCUCAGUCUUAUCGUUGCUGGAGCCAUCGCUGAGGAAGGCGUGUGCCCUCGGCUCGUCAAGGUGGAGGAGAACCGCUGCGGCCGAUGCCGCUGGAGUUAGCUCGAUGCUUGCAUGUGCCAGGAGCAGAGCCGGCUCCUCCUCCUCCGCUAGUGCGACGUGAGCCUGGCCGCGUCUUGGCUAUUGAUAGUCCUUGGCCUAAUGGCCAAGCUUGCCACAGUUGCGGCACGCGUCGUCUCGUGGCGGCGUGUGCUCGCCAGCGGCACCACCCGAGGCACCUCCUCGCACGCCGCCAGCACCACCCUAAGCGCGUCCUCGCGUGCCGCCCUCGGCGCCUCCUCGUGCCUUGGGCGCCUUGCGUGGCUUGCCGCGCCUGCAGCUGCCUGUCGAGAAAGAAGGCUCCCCCUUCGUCCUAUCACCUUGGCGGGCCUCCCACUGCUCUUGAGUGCAAUGGAGCUUCUCGCCAAUGAUGACAGGCCUUGAGGGAGGCUGUGACUCGUCGCUGUCGACGACCUUGAGGCGGCCUAUCGCCUCCUCAAUCGACAUCCUGGAGAGGUCUAGCAGAGACUCGAUCGAGCGAGCGAUCUGCUUGUACUUCUCAGGUACGCAGCGGAGGAGCUUCUUGACAGCUCUCUAUCCGUAGGUGUCGUCGCCGUACUGCACCAUCUUCUACAACAGAGUGUUGAGAUGAAGAGCAAAGCCAUCAACGUCCUCACCUGGCUUGAAGGCCAGGUUCUCCCAUUCCUUGCGAAGUGCCUGCAGUGUAGACUUGCGGGCGCGGUCGCUGCCGAUGCGUGCCGCAGUGAUAGCGUCCUAAGCCUCUUUGGCAGUCCGCUUCUGGGAAAGCAAGAACUGCAUCUCGAGCGAGACUGCAGCGAUGAGGGCAUCCAGCGCCCGUCGAUCCUCAUCGUAGUCGACGUCACCGUACCGGACUGCCUCCCACAUGUGCCGCACCUAUAGCCUCACUCUCAUCACCGCGACCCACUCGACGUAGUUGGUCUUGGUGAGGGUAGGCCACCCACCACGGGGCCGACUUCCCUGACAACAGCCUGGGCCCCGUGGCGACCAUGACGGCGGUCCGGGACGGGAGAGCUGCGCUCCCUGUAAGGGCCGCGCUCUCCGUCGACCCGGCCGCCGCGCCGCCGAUCGAACUCCAUCUCAGCCUCCAGCUGGGCAGCCCUCUCCCGCAAUCGCUGGGCCUCCAGUGCGAGAUCGAUGUGUGGGUCGCCCUGGGGGUCGCGGCCACCAUGUCCGCCAGGAACACGGUCGUCGCACGCGCCCCCGCCGGGAGCGCCGCCGGCGCGUGCACGCCCAUCUAGGCUGCCGCCGCCGCGCCCGCGUGGGUGCACGACUGCCCACUGCACCGCCCGUUCCUGCGUCGCCUCCCUUGCUAGCACGAGCUCUACGUCGGUAUCGCCAUCGGCAGAGGUAGCGCUGCUGAUGCUACCACCACGUAGAGUCUCGAGCUCCGCUGCCGCCGCACGUGCGACAUCUGCCGCCGCCGCCGCUUCCGCUUCCGCCCUCGCUGCAGCCAGCUCCGCUGCCACCAGCCUCGACGCCCUUGCCGCCACCACAGCGGUCUCUGCCGCCACUCGGGUACGCUCCUCUGCCGCAGCGAGCUCGGCCUCCUACCGACGCCGCGCGCUCGAGGCGACUGAGUGCUGAGACUGUCCUACGGACAUGGCACGCCACCGGGGGGCUACGUGGGGAAGAGGCUACUUCCGAAGGAGCUGCUGCUCGUCUGCGUAGGAGGAGAGGAGUGAACAGGGACAACCGGUGUUUCUGCUACCGGCUGGGGACGAAGGGUGGCUGGGGAGGGAUGUGAGCAGGAGAUGUUCAAGUUACAGGAUAGUACGGCUCUGAUACCAGUUGUUAGGAUCUGAACUGUAACUCUCAUCGAGAGGAUGGCACUAGGAAGAGUUGGGGCAAUUUUCUGAGUUUUCUUUCCACAAUACCAUGUCCAACCAAGUGUUGAGGAUACAUAUUUAUAGCUGGCCUAGCAGCCAACCAGCCAAGCAUCAAGGCAUAUACUAGUCUAAGAUGCCUUUGAUAUUGUACUUUGAUGCUGUCCUAUCUAGUCUAAGAUGUCUAGGACUGUCCUACCCUAAAAGUAGUCAACAAAGUGGUGCUGCAGCAAGCAUAUGCUGCAGCCCCAUUGUCCUCCAGUCAAAAACAGCUGCACUCCCACAAGGACCAGCAGCACAAGACCAAGUACAGCAGCUGAUCCUUGAAGACCAGCAGGACCAGUACAACAGCUGAUCCUUGAAGACCAGCAGCAAGACUUAUCCACCGCACUAAGCUGAUUGACAUUGGAGGUAACCAGAUCUGGCUUGUUCAGUUGACGGAGUAUCUCACUUAAGAGCUCCCCUGGAUCCCCAUGCGUCCCAUAAACCCAUGCCCUUUCCUCAAACUGCUUGCCAAUCUCGCUGUUGUACAACUCCCGGGCAAGGAUGGUCUUCCCCAAUCCAGAGAACCCAACUAUGGAGAUCACCCUCAGCUGCUUAGGUUGACCCUCCGCUUCCGCCAACUGCUCCAGAAGCUCCUCCAGGGGAGCAUCGAUGCCAACCAGAUCACCAGGAAGGACAUGCUGAUCCCAGGAUGAUUGUGCCAGCUGGAUGAGGAUGAAUGGGACACUGAAUACCUCUGCUGCCGCUGGAGUGCUUCCUCCAGUCUGUACCUAAGGUGCUGCAUCUCUUCGCCUAACUAGGAACGUGAUUUUCUCUUUCUCCCAGAUUUCAUAUAUUUAGAGUACCAUGGUUGCUGAUCCCAAGACGCAUCAUACAUGAUGUGGUCUAUACAAUCCUCCAUUUCAUGAGCUACAUGACGCAAUUCUUCAACCGAUAAACGCAGUAUGUGAUCAUCCUGCCCCAAGAGCUGCCCGUCAAUGGCACUAGUGAUCAUGGGAAGCUCUCUCAUCAGGAAAGUCACAUCUCCUUCAAAGCCCUUGUACAGCUUGUAUUUCUCCUCCACCAGCGAGAACAAUCUCGACACGAGGUUGUCUACAAAUGCACUCAACAGGCCAGGGUCCUCCAUCGAUCACAAUGGUUGUUAGCUAGGCACUGACGGUUCCUACUUCCUAGUGAGGAGAUAAAGUGCUCCCUGUCUUGCAAUGUAACAAUGGGGUGGAUAAAACAGACAUGGAGCACAUGGACCUUAAGGAGCAUCUUGUAGCAGGGGAGGAGACCACAUCUGGCUUUUCCUCUGACAGUAAAUUGCAGUUGUUAGCAGCACUUUUUACAUUAAAUAUAUCAUAAGUAUGAAGCCAUAUUAAAUUAGUAUUAAGUCCAGCACAGAAAUGCAAUGGUUAUAUGUAGUCAAUACUUCCAAUGAUUUUAUUACAGUGCCGAUGCUUAUGUAGAAACACUGAUAUUCACACUGUAACCCCUGAAAAUAAAAAUUGUACAGUGACAAGGAUGGAUCAUUGCAGAAAAGCUAUAGGGAUCAAAACUACUAUACUUUUCUAAAGAUGCAGUAGUAAGGUGGAAUAGUGCAGUGUGGAAGGGGGAGGAGAGCAGGAUUUGUGGAGCUUAGUUGCAACUGUAAACUCCUAACUGCGAUUCAGUGAUUGCUUCAAAGCAUGAUGUAAAUUUCUUCAAGCCAACGUCAAAUAUUGAAGAACUGGGGUUGUAUUACAAGAUAUUUAAAAUAAAUCUAUGGUGAACUAAUCAAGUGAAAAAAAUUUCUUCAAUUUCUUGUGGAAAAAAAUCAGCGCAUUAUUAUUUCCUCGGAAAGAUGCAAACCUACAGAAAAUGACAGAGAUUUCUUGGCAAAUAAAAACUCUGAUGACCAAAUAAUAAGCUUGAAGAUCUGGAUGUAGAUGAACAGCACCGGGCACACCGCACACAGGCAUAAGACUUUAGAAGAGAGUAGUACACCUUACUACCUCAGAGCUUUUCCAGAAUUAGACUGGGAGUGUUUGGAUCCAUGGACUAAUUUUUAGUUCAGGUCACAUCGGAUAUUUGGAUACCAAUUAAAAAGACUAAACGUGAUCUAAUUAUAAAACUAAUUGCAUAAGCCGUUGGUAAUUCGCGAGAUGUAUCUAUUAAGCCUAAUUAAUCCAUAAUUAGCACAUAUUUACUGUAACAUCGCAUGGUCAAAUCAUGAACUAAUUAAACUUAACAGAUUAAUCUUGCGAAUUAAUCUUCAUUUAUGCAAUUAGUUUUGUAAAUAAUCUAUAUUUAAUACUAAUUCUAAUUAGUAUCGUAUUCGACGUGAUACAGGGACUAAAGUAUUGUUCGAUGUGACACAGGGACUAAACAGUUUGUGCGGCCGGCUGCUGCUCGAGCUCGCUGGUGGGGGAAGACUUUGACCCGGACUUGGGAGAGAUGCACUCAUUUGUUUUCUUUUCUUAAUUUUUUAACGAAAGACAACAAUACCCCUGUCUUCUUUCUCUUUCCUAUUUGUAGUCUGAACACAAGAAAACAAAGCGAAGUGUUUGGCAUAAAUUUUGUACGCGCAUCAGACUUCAGCAAUACCUGUCAAAGCUCGCUGGCACCAACCGCCUCCCUCGCCUCUGUCGUCACAAUUUUUUGUCAAAGCUUGCUGGCACCAACGAGCCCCGGACCAGCGCUGGUGUCUGAUUGCCUCCAGGCAGUUAAAUACAUUCAGAGUCCAUUCCUGGAGGCUUCAUGGAAGCUUCGUCCUUGGAUUUCUCAAUGCCAGCAACACGGUCUUGAUGUGGAUUUGCAGGUUACAAAAAUUUCGAGGGUUCAAAACCAGGCAGCCCAUCUUCUUGCUGUCAAAAAGCUAGGACUUCAUCUUCUUAUACACAGCUCAAUCCUGUUUGUACAAAACCAAGACAUGAUCCUGCUUGUGCUGCUCUCUCAGCACUUCUUUCUGUACAAUUGGGUCACCUGACCCUCACCCAUGUACACUGCUUUUAGCUCUUGAAUGAAGUUCUUUUUCAAAAAAAAAAAAAAAAAAAACGAGCCCUCUUUACCAGCCACAACUCCUCUACGGGCUCCACUAUCUCCUCGGCCACCACCAGAUCCAUCAACAGCAUCUGACGGCCAUAGUGGCUCGAAUUUAUCAUGCCAAGCAUAACUCGCCCAAUUCAUGCCAAAGAGGCUGGCACACCAAGUGGAAACCUCAUUACUGGAAAAAAUAAAAGAAAUUGAGGUGUGACCGUGGGAGGGGUUUUCUGGUCUUUUAGCAAGCUAUCAUUUUCAUUAUCUCUUCUACAUUUAUUUUAAUUGGGCAACAUAAAACAAUGCCUCACGUCCAGGGGCGGAUCCAGGGCCCGGGCUGCCCGGGCUGCAGCCCGGGGCGAGACCAUGGAGUCCCUUUAACCUAUGUGUUGUUUAGCCUAACAAAAUGAGGUUUAGGAGACAAAAUUAGACUAUUUUAGGUGUGAUUCAACAGCUCAGCCCGGGGCGCAACCCCGUUCUGAAUCCGCCCCUGCUCACGUCGGUAGGGAAUGGCCAAGGUUUGAUUUCUUUCUUUUGUGGGUCUACCAGUCUCAGCCUUGCUUCUGUCUUUUUGUUACGUACAUAAUUAUAAUAUUUUGUUUGGUAGCCAUUAUUGGAGUUUGGCCUAGUCACGAGAUGGCAUAGUCCAAAUAAUCAGACAGAACUUUGUCAACCCCAGAACUCUAUAAGCAGAGCCACUUUUGUUUCUAAUUCCCUAGUUUUGCAUCUGUGGUGCCAAUCCAAGGCUACAUGAUACGGAACGAAGAAUAGAUUAAUAAUAAAAAACAAGGAAUGGAAUAAAGUGGCAAGGAGCAUCAAGGAACGGCUGGUUCACUGCAUUAUUGAGUUGCAUCUCACUGCAGCCCUCCUCACACUGGUACGGUGAGCUCCGGCUGCAGCUGCAAGACGACUAGCAGGUGCGUACUUGCUUCUCUGAAUUCCCGCUUAAUUGAAAGACAAGGCUGAACUCUGAAUUCCUUUCUCUGGGUAUACAUAUGAUCCUCCACAACUGCUUCAGUUUAUUUCUUUUUUGUGAACGUCCUGUGAGGCUGUGAGAUCUAUCAAAUCGGUUUGGCAACUUUCAUCGCAGAGAGAUCUGCUUCUACUGCCAUGGCAUCCCCAACAUCCAGUAUGGUUUCAUCACAAAACUCUACUACUUUUGCAUCUAUUGGUAAUUGGUUUCGUGUUUCUUUCUAAUUUCGUUCUUUCUUUUUUUUUCAAAAGAUUGAUUUGAUAGGAAGUGGUAGGAAACGAAUUGAAGAGAAGGUUUUCUUGGUAGUACCUGUACAAGGCUGCUAGUCUUGAUGUAGAAGAAUAACGCCAUGAAGGGUUGGACAGAUGACCAUCCAAGGAAGCUACAAUACUCACUAGUUAAAGAGAUUACAAAUAAUUUUGCAGAUGAACUUGGACGCGGUACAUUUGGACGUGUGUUUAAGGUACCCCUAUUAAAUUAAAAAUCUCCUUUGUAAUGUUCGUUGUAAAACAUACGAUGUUUUUAAAUUUAUUUACAUUCAUAAUCUCUGACCUCCUUCUAUCUCUUACAGUGAUUGUGGGUAAACCUUUAAACUAAAUAUCUCUUCUUGCCAAGCUAACAUUUGAACCAGGGUCAUGGUAUAAUUAAAAGUGUAGUUUAUAAUCCAAAGCUCUAUUUGUUGCAUAGGUGUCCUUUGAGCCAUGGGAAUGUCUCCAGAAAAACAUAUGUGGAAAAUAUAUCAAAGAUGGUUUCUGUUUCUAGACCUUAUCAUUAGCAGUUUUAAAUAAAAGAACAAUUUGCAAUGAGCUCAUAUCACAGAAAGUAUUACAAAAUAUAUCGCAAAUGGUUUUUAUGUCUAAACCUUGCCACAGAUACUUAGUUUUGAAAGCAAAACAGUCAUUGGUGGCCUUGAGACUAUCUGUAGUAGUGAAUGUUGGAUGAUAUUGUUGUUUAUUGUCUUAACAUCGGUUAUAUGAGGAUGUGUGCAAAAGGAACCGAGCUAAUCGUAUUCAUUUUCAUUUAUAAUUCUCUGUUACUAUAUAUCAGCAUAGAAAAAACAAAAUUAUUAUGUGUAAUUAAAGAAGGUGUUUAAUAGGGGCUGCUUGAUGAUGGAGAAGAGGUUGCUGUGAAGCUGCUUCGUUAUUUCACGCCUGAGAUCAGUGACCAGCAGUUCCAAAAUGAAUUUGGAAACCUUAAGAAGCUCAAGCAUCCUAAUAUUGUACAAUUGUUGGGGUUCUGCGAUGAACCUGAGGAAGAAAUUAUUGAGCACAAAGGAAAAUUAAUACUUUGCUAUAGGAUACGCAGGGCACUAUGUCUUGAGUAUGUGCCCAAUGGAAGCCUUCGCAAGUUUCUUUCAGGUAAGGUGCUCAUGUGUUAUUGCGUAAUAUUAUUUCGGACAUGUGAAUAAAAAUAUUCUUUGCAUUAUGUAUAUUGAGAAUAUUAUGUUUGUUCUUGUAGGUGGAUGUCUUAGCAAGAAUUGGCCCAUACGCUACAAAAUAAUUAAGGGAAUCUGCGAGGGUCUACAGUACCUUCACAAGAUUCCCAUUUUCCAUCUUGACUUAAAACCUGAUAAUAUACUGCUAGAUGAGAAGAUGUUGCCAAAAAUCGCCGAUUUCGGUUUAUCUAGGCUCAUUGGUGAAGGGAACACCAAAAGGACAAUGACGCCUCUAGGGACAGUGUAAGAUUAUUGUCUCAUGUGAACUUUUGAUCUGCUAAAUUGUAGUUAUUCCUUAGUCUCACUUUGCUAUGUCAUUUAUGUUCUGCUGCAGUGGAUACUUGCCUCCAGAGUUCAUUGACAAUCAAAUAAUCUCCAGGGAAUAUGACAUAUAUAGUUUAGGUGUUAUAAUUAUGCAGAUAAUCACUGGUGUUACAAGCUUCUCUGAUUUUGCUGACAUGGAGCCCCAAGAAUUUAUUGAACAUGUAAGAAUAAUUUAAUUAAUCUUAAUUUAUAAGCCUCUUAGAUACUAGAACAUGUAAGAAUAAUUUAAAUAAUCUUAAGCGGGUUACGUAUAAUGGAUCGAUUGUUAUUGCAUUGAGCCUCUCGGCUGGUACAUAUUAAGUACAAGAUUUGUGGGGCAAGACUCCUCCAGAUACAUAUGGCAGUCUACAACACGUAUAUCUACAACUACCAAAUAUACUCUAACACUUCGUUUUGGAGAUUCUUAUUGUAUAUAAAGUUGGCAGCACGCCAUGUUGAUAGUCCUGUUGGAACAAUAUCCAUGAAUUUAUCACCAUUUAAUAGCAGAUGCAUGCAAGUAGAGUGUCACUCCAUCAGCUUUCAACCACUUUAGAUUCAAGGGAGAUCUUUCUGUAAAUCACACUGUGGACUCUACAUGUUGUGGUUAUUAUUUCACUCAUCACAUUUGGUCAGAACUCUAAAGUUCAUUAUAGUGCACGAGCCCAUAUAAACGUGACAGGUCAUAACGAUUUACUGUUACAAUCAAUUCCUAUAUUCAAAACAAAACAACAUGUAUUUGCAAUAGGGCGGAGUACUAAAUUCCAUAAUAUUAACCGCCCUUGUACUUGUUUUACUCUGUGUUUUAACUUCAAAGGUACAUGACAACUGGAAAAGAAGUCUAGAAGAGAUCCCAGAGUAUGCGUCACUUGAAGCGGAUUGCAAACAAGUGAAAAGAUGUAUGGAAAUUGCAAUAAACUGCAAGAAGAAGAAGCGUCAUGAAAGGCCUACAAUGGAGGAUAUUAUCAGCAAAUUAGAUGAGAUGGAAACUGUUAAAAUUGACACGCAGUUGUCAAUUAAAAAGGUACAACCUAUCAUUCAUCUUAUAUAUGUAAAAAAUAUAAAACCCAUAGUUUAUUUGUCCCUAAAUAUUACCAGUGGUCGAAAAUAUAUACUUGGCUCUUUAUACGUCCACAUGGCAACUUUCACUAUGUUUUUAAAUAUUUAAGUUGUAAACAGGGAAAAUAAAUUGCUUGAUUUGUGUCGGAAAUAUGCAUAUAUCGGAUAUAAAAGUGAGCAAAAUACUCAUAUGACUCUCAGUAUAUUAAUGUCUCUGUUUCUUGCCACUGUUAAUUUUGUGUAUGCUGUAAUUCUAACUAGAGGUGUGUGCGCGCGUUAGAACUGCAGUUUAAUUUCCCAACCAAACAGCACCUUAGUUUUCUGAUAUAAAAUAAGUCUACAACAGAUCCCAGAGUAUGCCAUCAUGUGAAUUCAUACCGACACAAGUCGAUGAGAUAUCAGCCACGGCCCUUGCAAUCGUAGAAUACAAGACGAAAACAGUAAGGUUCUGUUGGGAUACAGUAUGAGUAUGUUAAAGUUUAACGAGGUGUUAAAGUUUAACACAUGUGGGAUGUUUGGAUGGUCUGUUAAAUUUUAACACCAAAGGUUGGAAUUGACACCAUUGCCCCUCAAUUACUCCUCCUUUCUCUUCUCUUCUUUGCCCCUCCUCAACUUCUUCCUUUACCGCCGAAUCCCCCGGCCCCGCGGCUCCCGCACGGCCAAGCGCUGCCGAUGCCGCACGGCCAGAUCCCGGUGGAGCUCCUCAAUGGCCGCCGCACCGCCGCUCCUCCGCCGUGGUGGCCCCCCGCGUGUGGCGCGUCGACCCAAUGUUCGCCGCGGUGGGCAACCGCGUCGUCGCGCUUGGCGGCGCGUGCCGCCUCCCGCUGGCCGAGGGUGAGGACGAAGUGGUAGUGGAGGUCCACGAGGGCGGUGGGUGGACGGCCUGCGACCCCAUGCCCGACGCGCUCAGGGACUCGGCGUCCGCGACGUGGCUCUCAGCGGCGGCCACAGACCAGCAGGUGUAUCUGGUGGAGAGGGCCACCGGAUGGGCAUGGCCGGGUGGAGGUGGCGGGGCCUGGCGGAGGAGCUGAAUCAGGGGCCGCCAGAUCGGAGAGGGACCUGAGCAUGGCGGCCUUGACUGCCAUGCUAGAGAAGGAGGCCUCGCGCAUGACGCGCGCCAUGGACGGGUCGUCGAGGAUGGCGAGCACGAGGUGAGGCAUGCCGACGCGGAGGAGCUGAAUCGGGGGCCGUCGGAUCGGAGAGGAACCUGAGCAUGGCGGCCUUGACUGUUGUGCUGGAGAAGGAGGCCUCGCACAUGACGCGUGUCACGGACGGGUCGUCGAGGAUGGCGAGCACGAGGUGAGGCACGCCGACGCGGAGGCGGCGGGGCCAGGCGGAGGAGUCGGGGCCGGCGGAGGAGAUGCGGAUGGGGAUGGUGCCGGGAGGGGAGAAAGGGCUAGCGGGGAUGGGAGGACUUGUGGGCGGUGAUGGCGGCCGGGAAGGAUGGACGGCUGGGGGAGCUGGCGGCAGGAGGGGAGGAUGCAAUGCGGGAGUAGCUGGCGGCAGGACAGACGCGAUGGGGCGACCAGGGAAUUGGGGGCAGCGGAGGAGAUAGAGAGGGGCAACCAAGGAAUUGAGGGUAUUAAAACUCACUAGGGGAUCACUUUUAACAGUUUAACAUCCUCUUUAUAAAAUUGGGAGUGUUAAAGUUUAACAAACUCUUUUAACACAUCUGUUUGGAUGGGCAUAUGUUAAAAAAGUGUUAAAAGUGGAGCAUUAAACUUUAACACCCCUAUCCAAACAGGGCUUAAGUUAAGCAGCCAUGCACAGCCUGUGCAGAUAUAAACGAGAGGCCGACGUCUCUGGAAUUAGCCACCGUCUCCUAUGCGAAGGAAUGAACCACGACGAAACAUGAUUAGAUCAGUAGACGUCCGUCUGUGCAAAAUCACUAACAAUGUGCCAAAAUUAAAUUAAUUAGCUUUAGGAUCCGUGCUAUUUUUUUUAAAGGAGCGCCGGAGCAAAAUCCACAAUGUAAUUUUUACUAUAUUUCGUAGGAUGAGCAAACACCAUUUUCCUAAGAUUUGCCAAUUGUUUUUAUUGACAGGGUUACUUUGAAGAAUCCAGAUUCUUAUCUAGUGGCAUCCUGGGCAGGCCAUAUCAAUGUUAGUAAUGUUACAUUUUUUUAGAUCCCUUCAUUUACUAAAUAUUUAAUUUAUUUUUAUUGAAGUUUGAUAUUGAUAUAAUGUAGCAUGCUGUGUGUUGGUGUAAUUGUGUUGUUCAGUACAAUCGGCUGGAGCGGUAAUCCUUGCUGUCACGAAGAUUGGUUCCAUUUUAGGAGAUGAAACCUCCAAGGUUGUUAUAAAUAAGCUGUCUGAAAAAGUUCAAGCUCUGAAGGAACUGCCACGGAAAGUCGAUCAAAUAAGGAUGAAAUUGACAUCAAUGAGUGAUACUAUACAAGAGAUCGGCACAGACUACCUCACAGAUGAGCCUGUCAAUAAUUGGAUCGGGGAGGUCCGGAAGGUGGCUUACCGUGUUGAAGAUGUAGUAGACAAAUACUCAUACCAUGUUUUUCAACUGAUGCAAGAAGGGUUCCUGAAGAAGUACUUCAUCAAGGGCACCCAUUAUGCCAUUGUUUUCAGCGCAAUUACAGAUGAGAUAGCUGAUAUAGAAGAGGAGAUUAACCAAGUUAUUCUGAUGAAGGAUCAGUGGUUGCAGCAUUCCCAGCUUGUUCCUGACAAACUUGCCGUGAUUGAAAGGCAGCGGUCCCAAGAUGGUUUCCAAGAUUUUGUCAAAGAUGAAGAACUAGUAGGAAUUGUAAAAAAUAGAAAAUUGCUGUCUGGAUGGCUGUACUCGGAUGAGCUGGAUAGCACCGUGAUAACAGUUUCGGGUAUGGGUGGGUUGGGAAAAUCUACCCUGGUAACAAAUCUUUAUGAACGAGAAAAGGUCAACUUCCCUGUGCAUGCUUGGAUUGUUGUGUCACAGAUCUGCCCGGCAGACGCUCUGUUGAGAAAGCUACUCUGGAAGAUUGAGGACAUGGUACCACCAGUACCAUCAGAAAUUGACAAAAUGGAUGUACACGACUUGAAGGCAGAAAUAAAGAAAAAACUCCAAAAUAGAAAAUGUUUGAUUGUAUUAGAUGAUGUCUGGGAGCAAGAGGUAUACUUCAAAAUACAUGAUGCUUUCCAGAAUCACCAAGCAAGUCGUAUUAUCAUUACUACACGAAAGGAUCAUGUUGGAGCCAUCGCUUCAUUGGACCACCACCUUGAGCUAGAACCAUUGGAUGGCCCUGAUGCAUUUGACCUUUUCUGCAGAAGGGCUUUUCACAACAAGAAGGACCACAAAUGCCCCAAGGAGUUUGAGAAAAUUGCUAAAUCUAUAGUGGAUAGGUGUC
rnacentral:lncRNA from 1 species